rnacentral:lncRNA from 1 species
UAAAGUUGAAGAAGAGAUGAUUUCUAUGAAGUGAAAAGAUGAAGAAUCUAAACACAAAGUUAAGUUAUCUUUCACACUACAAAAAAAAAUCUUAGAAUAUAAGUGUGUAAAAAAAAUCUUAAACUUUACCUAAUGACUAAAUGACCAUAGUCAAGCAAAAUCUUACAACCAUGAACUUUAUUUCCUAAAAACACUCACAAGACUUGACAAGAAUGUCAAAUUAAGGAGACUUCUCUACCUAAAUCUUCUAAUCCUAGUUGACAUGACAAAAUCAACUACUAUAGAAACACUAAGUGGAUAAAAAAUCACUAAACCGAAAUAAACUACAUCCAUCCAACAUGGUUUGGCACUCAAUGCCACAUCAUGUGACAUCCCAAAAAAAAAAAACUUAGUCCACCAGAUCUCAAUGCCUUCAACUUCCUAGCAUUUGAGCGGUGAUCUCACCAAUUAUUGCAUACUUUCCUAUUCUUACUUCCAGGUUCAACAUAAGGUGGGAAUUUGCAAAUCAGGCCUUCUAGGGGAGCACAGUUCACACACGCUUAUUAUCUCCUUCUCAUACAAACGUCGCCCAGAUAAUAUCUAUCCCAUUUAAAAAAAAAAAAAAAAAAAAAAAACAGAAAACAGAAAAGGAACUGAAGCGCCAUCCUCUGGUUAGCGUUGCGACGACCCAAUUUAGCUCACUCCAGAAUGUGAACUUGUUGGAGUUGUUCUGAGCAUGUAUCCGUUGGAGAAAAAAAAAUGGCGCUGCCAACCCGGAGCGAAGGUAUCACGUCGAGUUUCCUACCUUGUACUACUGUACAUAACAAGUUUCCAAUUAUGGCUGGAUCAUCAUCAUUUCACACAAUGUUGAGCGACGCGCAAGCUCAAUGUGCGAUCCAGGUACCAGAAUACCCAAAUGGGUGUUUAAGCCGGCAGUGCAAGAGCAAGUAGGGUAAAAUGUUGUCGAGUUUUCCGAAAAUAGUACCUCUAGCGGAUCUUUGUGUUCAAAAACAGGCACGUACAUUCCAUUUUCCUAAGACGAAUUUCACCCUUACCAUAGCAACGCACUUCUCAUCUCAUCAGAAUCCAGAGACAUCUCAUGGAAUUGUGCAAAACAUGGCAAGAAAAAGAAAACCCAAGUCUCAAACUGGGACGUGCCCACCCAUCAUCGUCGCCCCCAUCUCAGACCGUUCAGAGAUUCCAAUUCGAAUCGACGGCUUCCAGUGCGAAGAUGUCCUUGCGCAAAGGAGGCUGUCGGCGCAGAGUGCAGCAGAAGUGAGAUUUGUGGGGGAAAAAAAAGGGGUCGUACCGAUGGCGAUACAAUGAGCACGAAAAUAGAGAGAGAGAGAGAGAAAGAGAGUGAGAGAAGCGAAGGGCGGGCGGUGCAGUAGCCCCAACAAGUCUGGAUCCAGAGGAGCACCCGUCUGACGCAAAAUCAUUGAACCCAGUGCGCUGCUUUCAAUUCUCUUCCACCAUCCCCAGCCUGUCGCACCCCACGCGGCUUCCCCAGACGGUCAUGGACAUGCCAAUACAAAAACAAAAACAAUAUAUAUAUAUAUAGAUAUAUUCUGUGACGAUGGCACCGAAUCUUUCUUGGGCUCUCAGCUAUGGUGGUAAAUUCCUGCGCAAGGUCAUCAAUGAGGCAAUGAAGCAAUUCAGCGGCCCCAGCGUACGUGCGAGCAAGCUGCCCUCCAUCAAUGCCUCCACGCGCAUUACUACUCUACCGUUUCCUCUGCCGUUUCCUCUGCCGUUUCCUCUGCUUCCUCCGUCUUCUUCCUCUUCCUCCCUCCUCCGUUGCCUUUACCCUUCCUCGUUCGUCGACUUUUUCUUCGUCGUCGUCGUUUCCUUCUGCGUUUUUAACGCCUUGCGUCACUAUUUGGGUCUUGCUUUCAAGUAGAGCUUAUCUUCGUGAUGUUGGUGGCAAAUCAUAGUUGAGAGAGUGACAUAUACACACACACACACACAUAUAUAUAUAUAUAUAUAUAUAUUCUGAGCUGCUCAUACUGCUGAUUGGUGAUUAAACAGGGAAGUAAACAUAUUGUAUAUUAUGAUUUUGCUCUUGAGCUCUUUCAUAUUUCAUUGUUUCUGAGGCAAGAGAACAGCGGUUUAUUAACUAUAUUGUUCACUUCCGUAGAAACUUGUAAAGGCUGACAUCUGUUAAUCGAUAUGUAAUUAGGAUCACUUAUUUGCAAGUCCAGAACCUAAACCUGUGUUUUGAAUAUUGAUUUUUGUUUAUUAUUUGUUUAAUUGGAUUGCUCUCAAGACGUUGAUACAAAAACAACUAUUAUCAUGGUGUACAAAAAAAAAAAAAAAAAAAAAAAAAAGAAAAAAGUUAUGAUUUUUUUCAUUUUUUUCAUUGUAUCCCCUUUAAUUUAUUUCAUGAUUGAAAUUCUGUCAACAGAACACCUGUAUUCUUCACCAAAAAGUCAAUACUAAUAAUAAUAAUAUUAUUGGAAUGCUUUAUUCACAGAGAUUCUUUAGAUUGAGUUUGCACAACUGUUACUUCCUGUUCAUCCUCCAAAUUAGUGAACUGAUGUCAACAUUUUGUGGACUCUGUAUGAGACAAGUAUAUGCAGUGAAGCUUAAAUACCUCAUUCAUUUAUUCAUUCAGGCAAAGGUUGAACAAUGCAGUGUGAACUUUGCAAUUUUGAAGCUAUUCACUUGCCGGAUCUGCUCUGUGCACAGGGAGUAAGAAUCCAAGAUGUAUUGUAAUUGUUUUAAAAUAAUCUAAAACACCAUGUAUACCCUUUUAUGUGUCAAAAAAAAAGGAAAAAUAAUGUUGAACAUUACCAAUGUCAUCAAUAAAAACACAUAGAGCCGUUAAUGAAACAAAUAAGUUGGUGUGUAUGUUCAUAAACAUCCUUCCCUCCCCUUUAUGUAUUCAUUUUGUCAUUUCUUAUUUAUUGCUGUGGAUUCUUGGGAUGUGCAAAAUUUAUUGUUUGGGGAAGGGGAGCAAACAGCAGCAAAUUUAAUAGAAAAAAGUGGUUUUUUUUUCCUCCCUUUCACUAUCACUUUUUCUAAUUUUCUUUUUCUUUUUCUCAUAGAUGAAAGAGGUUGCUGAGCUGAAAUGCAUUAUAAAAGUAAGAAAAGCUAGGACCUUUUUUCCUUCUCCCCCCACUUUCUCCUUUCUGUUAUUAUUAUUAUUUUUUUUUAUUAUUUUUUUUUCAGUUUAAAAAAAAUACAUGCAAGGGCCACUAUUGGGAUUCGUUGGGAGUUGUAAGGGAUCCACUAGAGGAAUGUUGUACAUAAAAUGGGAUGGACUUGUUUGUUUUUGGGUACAUAUAUGUACAUGUGCACAUGUGAAUUUACAAGGCUGCCUGCUAAUGAAAGUAAAAAUGGAAAUUAGUAUCUGAAAAGGAGAAUUGGGCACACCAUAGAGUCCCUCAGGUGGAAUGUGCCAUAUACAGACAAAUAAAUAAGUAAAUGAAUUUGAGUUGAGGUGGGGAGGAUACAUGCUACAGUGGGCUCAGUUUGUUACGUUUUGUUUUGUUUUGUUUUUUUUUUUUGUUUUUUUUUUUUUUUGUCAUCCUGUGCCCAUAUUAGCAUUGUUAAUAUAAAAAGGAAGAAAGAGAAGAAAGAGGGAGAGUUUGUCCAUAAAAGUCUGCCCUCUUCCCUUUCCCAUCCAUGAAUUCAUCCACACACUUUCAGCCAUUCGUGAGCUCCUCCUCCUCUUCUUCCCCACUGUGUCAUGUCGCCUCCACUUGGCAGCACAACUUUUCGUGCUACAAAUGCACUCACAUAUGAACAUUCAAAAUAUCAGCAGAUUUCAUUUUUUUAUAUUUAUUUUAAAAUCUUGUAGUUACCUUUAUUCAGAUGUUUUGUUUGGAUGAGUGGUGAUCAGUGAUGCAUGGUAUCUCACCGCCUUCUCAAUUUCACAGCAACUCUUUCUCUCUCUUUCUCUCUCUCUCUCUCUCUCUCUCUAUAUAUAUAUAUAUAUAUAUAUAUAUGUAUUAUUUACUCUUUUUUAUUUUGUUGUUCAUGAGGAGAAGCAGAGCUGGCACUGGGUAGAAAGAGUGGGAUUGGGUAGUUCUUUCUUUCUUUGGUUUAGAGGCCUUUCAGUGUCUCGCUGCCUGUCUGUCUGUCUGUCUGGCUACCACCAUGGCUGGGCUGGGCUGGUGCCUGCCUGACUGCCUGCCUGUCUGUCAGUCAGUGUCUGCCUAGUUUCAAAGCAUGGCAGGGCAGAAAAGAGGAAUGUGCACAAGGAUAUAUAACUUAGACAGAGAGAGAGAGAGAGAGAGAGGGAGGGAGAGAGAGCUAGGCUGGGUGGAGAAGCUAUAUAAUUUGGUUGGUUGAUAUAUAUAAUUGAAGGAGGGGGGGAUUACCUACUUCUCUCUCACUACACUACCCCACUUUUUCUCUCUCUCUCUCUCUCUCAUUUCUGCUUCCUCUACUUCUGACCUACCUACUUACCUACCUACUCCAUAACCAACACAUGCCUCCCUCACCAAAUACCCACCCUUUCUUAUGCGCAUGCUUGCCUGCAAAUGUGUGUGUGAGUGAGUGAGUGUGAGUGUGUAUCACUGUGUUGGAGAAGUGUGUCAGUCUGUGUUUGCAUCUAUCAAGGGUGGGUCAGUCAGAAUGUCUCCUUGGAAACUGCUUGAGCAACAGGCUUAAAUACACAUAAUAUUAAAAGAGGGAAGAAAGAAAAGUAGGCAAGGGAGGGAACUUAAUUGUGGGGCUGUUGUUUUUUGUAAGGUUGCUAGCUUCCUCUGUUGCUGCCCUUUUGUCAUCAUUUGGGAAAGGGGUGGGUGACAUUCUCGCUUUUGUCUUCAUCUUUACCCUCUCUGCAUUGCAUGGGUGGAGACAGACAGGAAGAAGAAGCAGAAGAUGCAGAAUCAAAGGAUGACAUGGCAUGCAGACACACACACACACACAUGCAUACAUAUACAUAUAUAUAUAUUCAUAUGUAUGUACAGAUUUUCUUCAACUCAGCUCGUGCUUGUGGCUGGAGCUGUACCAUGACAAUCAAUCACUGGUCAUCAGUAUGCAAUGUAUUUAAUGGAACUGCUUGUGCAAGGAAGGAAGGAAGGAAGUGGAACAGCACCCAUGGAAAGUGGGGUUGAUGGAACUCUCUUUUUGCAUGGACCUUCAAUAUAUACUUAUGCACAUACAUGUUAAAAAACUUGCAAAGAGGGUCAUAAGAGUCAUCACAAUAAUAAUUUAAUAGUACUAGUAGAAGUGCCACAACUGGUUUGUUGGCUUGUUUUCUCUCUCUAUAUAUAUGUAUACAGAUGUGGAUUUUUUUAAAAAAAAUUUACUUGCCUUUCUUUCCAUGAGAGGUGAUUGGAUGUGAUAGGAAAAAAUUAUGAUUUUAUUUUCAAGGUUGAGUUUUUCAUUUAGCGGUUUCAUGGGAUUCUUAUGCAGUUAUAUAUGCAUGCCAUCCAGCCAGCAAUGUAUGUAAAAUGUUUGUGAAUAUGUGUGACUGUGUUACUAGUAUUUGUUUUUAAAUGAAAAUUUACAUUAUAAAGACAACUUUAUUGCAAUUUGAAGUUUGUAGCAAUUUAUGUCUGCUUCAAAACAGAUUACAUAUUUUGAUUUUACAUCAACUCUUCUGGAAGCCCUUACUUAAGGAGAACUAAUGAGAAGUUUGAUUGAAAUUUAUCUGAUAGAUAAAAUUACAUAUGAUUUUAAAUUUCCCAUCAAAUUUUUUUCACAAGUUAUUUUUAUUUUGAUUUUUAUUUGAUAUGAUCAAACAAAAUCCCAGUUUUACUUCUUCUUCGACUCUAAUUCAAUUAUCUACAUCUAAAUUAACUACAGAUGUAAUUAACUGACCCCUCUGAUUCUUUUCAAAUUCCAAAAUUGCCUUCUGCAGGUCAAGUGUAGUAGUUGAAAGGCGAAGGUGGGAUUGAUUGACAUGAGACAAAUUCAAUACAGAGUUAUGAGUGGUUGGCCACAAAAAUCAAUUGCCAUGGCAACAAUCUUAACUCCAACAUGCAACCCCUAAAACACACACACACCAUUUUUCUCCAAAUAUUAUAAAAGCAACAAAAUAAAUACGUUAUUAUUACUAUUAUUAUACUAUUACCCUCUUUCCCAAGAGGUGCUGAAAUGGUGUGGGGCCAUGAAAACGACAACACAACAGAAUUGAUGGUGCAAGUUGCAUUUCCUGCAACAGUCGCGACGAAAAGACGAAACCACAAACCCACUUCUGCUUUUCACUUUUUCAGUCGAAACGUUUUCGUCUGCCAUUCUCUUCCACCACCUCACCUCUAUCGUCGCCUCUCCGUCAGCGAAGGCUAACGAAAGAUAACGAAGGUCGAACGAAAGUCGAACGAAGUCGUGGAGGAUCAAGGUGGUGGCUAUGGCGGCCAAGUGGGCCGUAGCGAUGGCAGGGCCCCACGCGAGAGCGAGCGAGCGAGCUUGACCCUCCUUGGCCUCGCCGGAGCGCGCAAUGCGGCCGUUUUGUUUUCUAGUUUCGAUCCAAACCUGGUCGACAAGCGCGCGCUGCCUGCGCUCACAAUUGUACCGGACCAGCUCUUUCCACGACAUUCGCCAGAUGGUGCCGUGAUAGCUCAUUUACGGUCACCUUGCGAAGAAGGAGAAGCAGUAGAAGAAGCAGAAGCAGAGCACCAGGGUUGAUACUCCACAGCUAUAGCUGCUCGUAACGCUCGCGCCCAGGGUUGCAUGGAUUGGUGUAGUUUUGUUCGUGGGCUCUCUGUCGUGACCAUACUGCCGGUCCUGAGAGAGCUCGAGCUGAGUUGGGAUGCAUAGGAGCUGCUGCAGGAUUGGAGUGAUUAGUGUGCUUUUAGGUACCUCCAGGUUUUGAAAAAAAGUGUUCUUAGGGGGCAUUGGGGACAAUGGGGAUGUGGUGGGACGAUUGGAAAUGUUGGUUCGUUGUUCCGAAUUUUGUCUAGGUGUCGUUUCACUAGUGUUGGCCAGUGGCACUGGUCUUGAUGGUUGCGGAAGAGCGUGAUAACGAGGCUUGAGUCUCAGGGACUUUCUCGUAGUUUUGCACUGAGGAAUUGUGCAAAAGCGUGGCGGACAUGGCUUGGUUUGACUCGAGUUUGAUGGUCUCAGGAUCAGUUCGUGAUGUGGUUUUGUGUGGGAGAGUGCUUUAGUUCUGGAAGGAGGCACUGGUUUUGGACUGCGUCAGUGAAGUCUACCUGAAGUGUUUCUCUUUGCCACGGUUUCAUGAUUAGCUUAGUUUCGUGAGUGUGGGCGGCUGGAGAAAGUGUCAUAGAUGAGGGUGCUGGCAGUGUAUUUGCAAUGGAGUUGGAAGCGUAAGAGCCGUUAUCGACAGUUAUCCUCGUCCUGCCUGCUCUUGGAAAUGGAAUCAUUCGGAGUAUCGUAACUUGGUUUGGUGUGCUCCCCUCUAGCACAUGAAGUGGUGCUGUGCGUCUGGCUAGUAGUUUCUCCGUACAGUAAGCGAUCCUCGUAAACUGGCCUAAGUACUUCGUCACUGGUCGCUGUGAGCGCCAUGGCUCAUUACGAUGUAAAGAACGAAGGAUAGAGUUUGAUUGAUUGAUUGAUUUAUUUAUUUUUAUCUCUCGUAGAUUAACACGAUAGCGUACAUCGUUGUGCUCGCACCCCCAUCCAAUGUCUAUUGUCCUUGUUGGGAUUUGGCCUUGAGUGAUCGAGUUGCUGUAGGUUAAUUUUCCGGAACCCUGUUCGCCUUCUUGCUGGGACUGGUAUGUCUAGCUAACUCGUUACUCUGUAGGGAGAUCCUUGUGUAAAUUUUUGUACUUGUUUACUGUUUUCAGUAAUUGGCCUUGGACCCCUUCAAUUUCAAUCCCUUGUUCACGUUGUUCCUGCGCAACUGUUUCGAUGAAUUAGUAGCAUUACCCGUGUUCAUGGGUUGCCUACUUGUUAAACAGGUUAUCGGGCGCUUUGCGUAUGCUUUCACAACGUACCGUAGCAAGAUGUAAUGAAUGCUGCUGUCUCUAGUGACGGUGCACGCUUUCAUCUCUACCUACUUGCCAGUGCGGGAUUUGAUGUUCCUACUCCAGUUUUCAAUUGUGAUCAACACUGUGGAAGAUGGGUUCAUCCAUGGCCGAGGUGGCUCCUGAGGUCUCAAUAGUGGAGGAAAUGGUGAAGAACAGUGAAGAUAAUCAUUGUAUGAUAUUUAAAUGUAGUAGUGGGGGUGAGCUGGAUCGUAGAAGUGGUCAAAUGGAUACCCAGAUGGAUGAGAGGAAUCCUAGCGAGGUUUCGGCGUUUAGAUCAGCUGAGAAUAAAAAAGUUCACGAAAAUCAUGACCCCUUAAAUAAUUGGGGCUAUAAACCUGGGGAGCCUGAUUAUACACUCAAAGGGAAUGGAAAUGCUGUUUCUCAGGUUCAUGAAAACGGGGAUGGAGAUUUGCCGUCUUUUUCUAUCAAAAGACUCAGAAGGUUGCCACAUCGAGUUAGUCCUGAUAACCAGCCAAGCACUUUGGCCUUGAGAUGUGAGCUAAUUGAAAGCGUAGUGGAUCAGAAUCGUGUGCAUGAUGAGAAGGAGAUUAAGCGAGGUGUGGGUGAAAAUGUGACCGAUGCUUUAUCAGGGGGCAGAAUUGAAGCUGGAUCUAAUUGCCCGCCACCAUUGCAGGCCGAAGCGACUGUUCACCAGAGACAGAAUCUUUCUGAUCCUGACAUUGUUGACACUGGUCAUUGUAGCGGUGAUUCGGUAAGUUUAUCCCAGCAGAUAUCGAAGCUUGCUAACAUUACCAGCACAAGAGAUGACGUGGGAGAUGCUCAAGAAGGUUCACCGAAUGUUCUGAAACAGGGCACAAGUCCUAUUUUUCCGCCUGGCGUGUUAAACGGAGAGAUUCGGGACAACGAGCCCGUGAAGGUUGGAAAUGAAGGAACCGAGCCUCAAAAUCCUAGCAGCUCUGGAUCAGACAGUGCAGAAAAACCGCUCGAUCCCAAUUUUCCAGAUGGAGUUGUUGCAAAUCAGCUUUCGUCGGAAACGAAAGGCCAGACAGGAAGUAUUUUGGAUAGAGAAAUGGCUGCAGUCAAUGGAGACGGUUCUGCAGCUUCUGAACAUGCAUCAGAUAGUUCAAACCUGUCACGAGGAGAUGAUGGAAGAUGGCUGAGCACGUCUCCGUCUGCCGUCCCAAGUUCCGUACUUGAACCUCCUGCACGUAGGUUGCAAGUUGAUGACACUGUUCAGGGAAAUGAAGCACCUGGAAAUUCAGAUAUGGCUUCGUCAUCUGCCGGACAAGGUAGUGUUUCUGAAAUGGCUAGCUCGGGGAACGCCUCGGCAGUCACACCCACUGAGGACUUGAAACCAGGUAUGUCUGUAUUUCGUUUGUUUUUUGUGCAGCGGAACAACCUGUAUCGAUCGUCCGAACAAGCUUUCCACUUAAGCUUGCAUCACAAACUUUUCUGAUUUUGUUUUCAUAACGUCGUGCGAUGUGCGAGAGAUGGACGAUUCUCGGAUUAUGACUUAUUUACUUAAUGUGUUGCAGACGCACUUACAGAGAAUGAUGGAAUCAUUAGGGACGUAGUUAUCUCUGUUGCCUCAACAGAGCUACCAGAGGCACCCUCCUCUGGUAUUGUACAGAUUCUGGCCCCAGUUACAGGGAGCAGGUUUGGAAGUCCAGGGGAGACGACUGAUGAAGAGACUGACUCACCAAGGAGCAGCGAAGGCUUUUCUUAUCCUGACUCUGAUAUGAUGGCGCUCCCAUACUCGGGACAAAACAUGUAUCCUGCACGCUAUUCCUAUGCACAGUCGCAGAAUGGGCCAAGUAUACUCCAGUAUGCUGGAAGUGUGUCCUUGCGGUCUGAUAGCAGCACUACAAGCAACCGGUCUUUUGCUUUUCCAAUGUAAGGAGGUAACCAGAUGGAGCUCUUGGAAUUUUGCGACCUUGGUUGCGUCUCCUAAUGAGUCAUCAGGACAAUUUUCUGCACUAUUGCUUGAGUGGAUUCUUUUUUCAUGAACAGCAGUUAGAAUUCAUUUCUGCAUCGAUGACCCGAUACAGCCAUUUACUACACGGCAACUGUGGCUUUUUCACCAAAUUUACCCCAUCCCUUGGGGUAAAUUUUGCUCAAUAUCGGGGUUUUUUUUCUUCUUAGAAUUUUACUUGUAGGUAGCAUUUGGACAAUGGUUUCCCUUCCAAGUUUUCCCUCUCUCAUUCUAUUAAAGCAUACUGGUUGUAUCGUCUGAUGGACGGUACUACACUUCUUUCUUUAGAGAAAUGUCCUUGGCUUGAUGUAGCCGACAAUUGUAAUUUUUUGUGCGCAGCCUGGCCCCUCCCGAUUAUAAUAGCAGCCCAGUAAGAAUGGCGAAACCCGACCCUCGGUAUUUGAGACGGAAGAGUCGAUGGGGUAGUUGCUGUUUCUUCAGCUUAUGUCGGUCAGGUUCUAAGUACUAGGUGAGUUUAUCUCUAUACUCUAAAAGUCACAUGUAUCACAGCCUGUGGACAUUUCUUUUCCCUUCACUUUUGCCGCCUGAAAAUGUUUCCAACUCUCUUGCCACUUUAGGAAAUAGCUUUUGAGUUUGGUGAUACUUAGUGGUUUGAUUAAUACAUUGGUUCAUUUGGAUCUUCCUUUCUUGGAAGUUUUGGGGAGUACCGUGGGUACAUUUAUGAGGUGCUAUUUCAAGUUAGAAACAAGGGUUGCCAAUUUAAUCCGUCUUCUCUCAAAUCUUUUUGGGUCUUUCACAGAUCUAGGGUUUCAUACAGGGGAGUACACUAACUUUUCGUUUUCUGUCUGAAUUGUGAACAAUGCUGUCCAGGUUUCAUUGUGAACUGAACUCGUAUCUGCUGUGCCUGAUUUACCGCGUGCUCGUUCAGCAAUAAAGUUGGUAAUUACUCUUCAGCAGAGACUUCUACACCGUUCUUUUGAUGACCAAUUUUUCAAGAAGCAUAGAAAAAGUAAUUAUAAUAUCUUUGAAUUAGGUUUCGAUGCGGUUGUGGUUGUUAUUGAUUUAUUUAUUUAUUUUGAUAUCCCUAAAAUGAACCGUAUUUAAUGUGAUAACUAUCUAUAACUUGUAAGUUCAUUCGGACUCUAGUAUUGCAGGCACUAAUUUGCACCUGCUUACGAGCUAUGCUGCUAAUGAACUAAUUAUGUGCCUUUUUGGAGCAGGUCUCAAUUAAUGUAUGUGCUGUAUAAUUCGUAUUUUUGGAGAGGGGCGCUCAGAGACGAAUCAAAUGCUCGGUACUAAAGCUUGGGACUGCUCUGCAGAAGAGUAAUUACGAGGAGACAUCCUACAUUCCUUUUUCAACGUAAUCCGAAGAGAUCAUCGUCACAGAAAAUGUCGAGAGUUUUGAGCCUAUUCCCUGAUCGUGUUUACAGGACAAAAGUCUGUCCACACUUCUCUCGGGAUCCUAAUGUUUAAACUAUACAGUAGAAUGAAGCUGACAACUUGCCUUCACGGUUUGUGUGAAUUGAGGCUUUAUUCGAACAUCGACAGUGGAAACAUUGCAAUAAUAAAAAUUAAGACCUGUUUUGUUGGAGCAUGGCGGCCUCUGGUUGAAGUGAAAAAGGUGCUGUUCUAUUAAUGAACGCAUUUCGAGCUGGUUUCCGAUGUUGGUUUCUCGUUUAUGGUUAUAUAUACCUGUCAAGUAUGCGUUUUGUGAAUGUUUGCCGCUGAAAGAUGAAACUGAAGGUAAUUCAGGACCUCUCAGUUCCAUCUUAGUCUUAUUAUCUUCGCCAAUUUUUAUCAAUGUCUCCUAACUCAACCUAAUUUUUCAUGAUAAAUAAUAUCUAUGGUAUAUAUUACAAAUACGGAUGCAGUCGAAACGAAAUAUCUGUGACUAUUUACAUGAAACUAAAAAUAUCGUUCCCAUCUUGGACAAUUUCCGCUAGUGGAACAAUUUUUUUUCAAGGAUUCACCAAGUACACUACAGUACAAUAAGUAUGUGUCACAUGGUUAAAAUUUUCAUAUGUACAAACAAGGGACUAUGAACUGUAAAAUGAAGGGCCUUUUCUUCUGUACUACCUGAAAACACAAAUGUAUAGUCCUUCAUAGAACUGUCAAGACAGUAUUUUUUAUUAAAACGACGAAUUUUAUUAAACGUAAUAAUUUCAAUUCAUGAAUCUUGAUGUAUGAAGAUUCCCAACUAUUCCAAUAAUGAAGUACGAAAAAUAUUCUUGAUUAAAUGAAGAAAAAGUGACAUUAGACAAGUAAAUCUUAUUGAUAUCAUCAUAAAUUUUUUCAUAAGAUAGUAUCAGAGAAGUGAACGCCUUGAAGGUAUAUCUAAACUUCUAUUCUUGAAUAAAAAAGUUAAAAUAAGUCAGCAAAGAAACAAACAGAAAAAAAUAUAGUUUUUAAAUUUAUUCGUUUUGCUUCCAAUUUCUUCACACAUCACAAACAAGUUAGUAAGAGUCUACUCUACCAUUCAUCUACAAAUCAAAGUUAUGCAAAGACAUUGCAUGAUUUACCAUUAUCCUUCACCGACGGCAAGGUUGAUCACCAAAUAGAUGUGCAAAAACAAGCAUCGUUGAUCGAUAGAAACUCCCACAUGGACAGCAUUGCCGUGAUUCAUUCAACAAUCAAUUCACCAUGUUCGAUGCAUGAAGCAGGCUGCAAGAGUCGACGAAGUCUCGUAUACCAGAUGGGUUCCACGUUAACCAAUGUCAACUAUCGAAUGUGAGUUGCAUAGACGCACUUUCGUGGAUGGGAUCAGGUUUGGAGAGAUAAUCUUUCGUCGUCGAUGUGCAGAUUGCAGACGCACACAUGACGAUGACAACAACUACAACGACGACGACCACGACGACGACGACGGCGGCUCCUAGAAGCGCAGUGCAGUGCAGUCGAGUGCUCAACACAGUGAUCAGGGAUUAGGAGGAGGAGAGUGGACAAGACCGUGCGAUGAAAAGGUAGAGCCAGGUGGGAGGCGAGUCCCAGCGACGCGAUCUCCCGCCGCCAAGUGUGCAGCUCCGUGAAGGAACAAUCUCCCGCAGGCAAUCUCCGCUGCCCACCUCUCCAACCCUGCGCGGCAUCCCAACCCAGACCAAUGCUUCGCCCGCCACAUGGCCUACACACUACCUUGCGCUUCUUCUCAUGCGAGACAGUAUAUCAACCCAUAGUUACACAAUGCUUACAAUCGAAAAAAAAAACACACACACAGCAUCGACGUUGCAUUACACAGGAAUCAGUUCUAGCUAGUCAGAUAUCAAGCAAGCGAGAGAGCGAGAGAGAGAGAGAGAGAGAGAGAGAGAUUGUAGUCUUUUGUUUGAUUGUGUGAGAAGUUCAAGUUCGAAAUGGCGGCAACGAUCAGCGCUGCAACUGCGAUGGUGGCAACCACCAAGCUGUCGUCCGGCAGCUCCGUGGCCUUCAACAACUCCGACUCACUGAAGAUGAAGAUGGCUGUGUCGCGGCGCAACGCCCGAUCUCUCGUCAUCCGCGCUGCAGGAGAGCCCGGCACGGGAAAGGACGAGAGGGUGAGCGAUGCUACCCCCACUCCCUCACUCCCAUCGCUGCUGCUGCUGCAUUGCUCGUCUUCUCAUUUCACCUCACUCUCUCAACCCCAAUGCAAUUUAUUAACGAGGCGUUGAUCGACGUGGUUUUGGUUGCAGAACUUGGGCGACAAGUUCAACGACGCAGUGACGGAAGUCUCCAACAGAAUCCAGGACGCGAUGCCCGCCGGCACUCAGCCAGGAGGUGUAGGCAGGAAGCCCGGAGACGAGUGGACACAAUACAGCUCCACAGGCGAGCUCAACCAGUCGAAGAAAGAAGCAGCGGAGCGCGACAACCCAGACGGACUCAACGUCAUGGUAAAAACUUCUCUCCCUCCUCUGUCCCAAUUUUUGUGGCUCAUUCUCACAAUUUCUCCUACACUUCCAUUGCCAUUACUGCUGCUUUCUCUAACUCUGUGAAAUACUUCUCUCCUUCAACAGGACAAGCUGCAAGACGCAGGCAGGACGUUGAAGAGCAAGACCAACGACGUGGUGCAAUAUGGGAAGAAGCGCAACCCCAACACCACCGAGGACAACGCCAUGGAGAAGAACAUCAAGGUCCAGUCUGACUACACCAAUAGCAAGUGAACAAAGCUCAUCUAAAGAGAAAAGAGAGCCGUUUGUUCUUUUGUUACAAAGACAGAAUGAAAUACAGAAAGUGUGUGUGUGUGUGUCUGGCUAUCUGAGUGUGAGUUGUUCUUUCUAUGUAUACUUUGUACAGUUGUGCCAGGCAUAUCUUCGGUGUGUAUGUUGCAAGAAGCGUAGUUCGCAUCCGCACUUUAGUUUUUGGUGCAGAAAAGCGUGCUCGCUGUGCACAAUAUGGCCCAGUCUGGAAACUUGAAUAAUUUCCUUGAAAUUGAGCUCAAAUGUUUUUGAUACCCAUCUCUCUCUCUUUCUCUCUCGCUUUAUGUGACUCUGGAUUUUGAGCAUUCUGUGCGGUUUGAUGAUUCAGUUUGUUUGUGUGUGUGUGUGUGUUUGUGUGUUUCGUUUGAUCAUCGUCUGUGUGUUUUGAGAUUGUGUGUGUUCUUAAACCAUGCUUUCUUUUGUUUGUGUGUGUGGGGGGGGGGGGGUAAUGUUGUGUUGUUUUUAUGCACGUGUUGUAGAAUAGUGCAGUUGAUUACUUCAUGCGUUUGUGUUUGAGUGUCAUCCUUUUUUCUGGUUCUAGAUGUUGGCCUGUGUGUACUAUUAUGUGAACUAUUUUCUUUCGGUGUUUUGUGUAAAGAUUAAUGGAAUUCUUUAUUCUUGUGUGUUCGUGAAUACUAAGUUUUUCAUUUUUUGGAUUGAGCUGAGUUGCCCAGGAUUUGCACUCACUCACAGACCAACAGACCAGUUUUGAUUUUAAUUUGAUAAGUUUUCAAUUUGUCGUCUGGUCAUUAAUUUUUAAUUUUCAAUUUUUUUUCAAAACUAAUGAGUUGUUUUUUCUAGCGAGUUGUUAAGACCCUCUUAAUUAUUUUCGGGCAAAAAAGGAAACAAUUCUGUUGUUUUGAAUAUCUUUCAAAUGUGCUGCAUUUGUGAAGGAAAAUAACUUUCUUUAAAAAUCUAUGGAACAAAUAUUUAUGGUUGUUUUAAAACAUCAUAUUUUUUAAAGUGAGCUUUAAACAAGAACUUGGAAAAUUUACAAACACGCCAAAUUGAAAAGUAUACAAUAUUUGUUCUGUGUAAGAACAUUUAUUAUCAGUUUUUCAGAAUAUUAUUACUUGUAUAUUCAUCAGUUUUGAUUUAUUGUCAAUUUAUAUACAUAAACCAAUAGGUGUUCUGUAUUUUACUAAAUUGAACCACUUUCUUAACAAUAUCAAAAUCAAAAUUUGAUUUUUAUUUACAUAUUUAAAUAAAAAAUAUACAUAAAUACAUUAAAUAGAAAAAUUAUAAUUAUAGAUGAUAAAAGCAGUCUCUCCAUUUAAAAAUAAAUUCACUAAUUUUGUUUCAAACAAAUUAUUAUUGACGUUUUGAUGAUGGUUUUGAAAUUACAUUUUUAGUACACCUUUUUGAUAUGUUACAAUUACACUCAUUUUCUAAACUAUUUUCAACUACUUUCCUUCUCACUUUAUCUUGUACAUUUACGUUACCUUCAUCUAUAUUGCUAGAAUGCUACAAUUGAUUAAAAUCAUGCUCCCAUGUUUUUUGAACUGUGUUGGAAUAUAAGUGACGUUCAUUUGUACAGUUUAAUACUUCUAAGCGAGCUUUUUGCAAAGCAAUACAUUGUUCCCGACAUUGUUUGCCAUAUUUUGUACACACUUUUGGAUCAUCUCUAUUAAUGAAUUUCCCGGUUUUUAUUACAUCAAGAGGAUCACUUUCAGAGACAUAUUUAUAGCAUGUUUUUGUAUGUCUAUUGAUUGAAUUACAAAAAUACGAUUUGCCAUAAAUCUUUUCCAAGUUACAUUUUUUGUUAAUAUGAUGGCACUCAUCUUUUCCUUUUAAUGACGUCAUUGUGAUUUUAUUCUCAUUUUUAAGAUGAGGAUUAUCUUGCAUGUAGUCAUUACAUGUUUUUUCUUGCAAACUAUUCCAUUGAUCAUCAUUUAUCAAUGAAUCUUCUACACUUGGAGAAGUUUGAGUAUCUUCAUCAAAACAAUAAUUUUGACCUUUGGAAAAUUUAUGGUUUUUGUUUAUUUUGGGUAAGAAAGUUGGCGGAACAAAACUUUUCCUUGUACUUUUUGCAAAUGGUUCAAUCUUCUUUACUACCUCUUCAUAAAUAUUACAAAAAUCAAUGCUUUCAGAAUCAUUUUGCAUUAUGAAUUUUGCAUCAUCAAACACAAAUGGAAUAAAAUUUUCAUCACUAAUAUUGUCUCGUGCUUUAUGUUUGAAUUGUGACUUUUGAGAUUGGAAGAAAAAUUCAUCUUCUACUAUGAAUUGGCAUCUUCUAGAAUAAUUGUGUAGAUUUGGCAAAGUCGAUUUUGUCAUACUUCUUUUCUUUUGGUAAGUACCUACACUCAAAGAAGUUUUUUUCUUGGUAGAGAAUGUAUUCAUAUUUUGUUUCCCAUAGUUGCACUUUUUAUAAAAGGGAUAAACAUUUGGUUUACUUUGUUUAGAUUUAUCAUUGAGUUUACUUUUGUAGGGUUCGUUUCUUUGAUAAGGAUAUGGAUUGCAAGGAUACAAUGUUUUGUUUUCUUUCUCACUUAAUUUUAUUUUUGAACAAAGAUGUGCUUUGCAACGAUGUUGUGGAUUGGGAAGAGUUGAUAUUUCCCAUGAAUCCAUUGGAUCUGUUGCAGCAUAAUGUCCUUUAUUUUGAAAAUUGCCAUCAUAUUUUGGUGUAGCUGAAUGGCUUUGAGAAGAUGACUCUUUGGGUUGAUUUAAUAUUUUUUCAUCAUUUUUGUUAUUAUUAUUAGUAGUUCUUUGAAUGGAUUUUACAUAAGGUGUAAUAUUGGGUUUUAAAGCUUUUGCACCAUUUGGUAGUUGAUAUGAUGUGGAGCUAUCAUUAUGUCUAAGAUUAACUACAUGAUUUUGAAAUAUAUCUUUUUGAAAAAACAUCUUAUCACUUGUGCAUGGAGGCUUCAAAGAACAUGGGAUACUACUUGUAAAAUUGGUUGCGGAUUGUCUACAUUUGUAUGUGUAAUUUUUAAGAAGGAUAUUGAAUUCAUAUUCAUUUUUUAGUGCUACUAUUUGAAUGUGCUCAAUAGUUGGUAAUUCAUGAUGAAUCACAUUGAUACUUUGAUCACUAUUAAAUAAUUUCUCAUUUCUUUCACUCAAAUCAUGUGAACAUGUAUCAAGAGACAACUCAUGCAUUUGGUUACCAAACUCAAUGUUUUGUUGUUUUUGUGGAACAAGUAUUUUAUUUUUUUCGGGAUUUUUGUGAAUUUUAUUGGGUGAAUCUUUUGAAAUGGUUUUGAUUUUUUUGAUUGCUUCUUGAUUGAUCUCAUUAGUUGGUUCUUGCAUAAAGUGAGAAUUUUGAACAAAACAUUUAACUAUGUGGCAAUCAGAUUCAAUGUGACAAUAUUUUGAUGAAUAGUUUGUGAAAGAAAAUUUUAAGUGGUAACAAUUAGAUUCAUCAUCAAAUACGUUUUGUCUCACACGUUCGUUACUAAGGUUGGAAAUUAAAUUGCAUUGAAUUUCAUCCACUAGAAGUUGGUUAUUUUCAUACUUUUGUCCUUUAUUCACACAAUUAUCAAUCAAAGUAAUUUUUGUAGGAAUUUUAUCUUUAUAAUUUCUAAAUUCCUUCGUUCGUACAAUAUUCUUAUCAAAAUCCAAAUAAAAUUGCCUUCUCUUAUCAUCAACAUGCUCAUUUUUUAUCUUUUUAUUCAUUACUUCAUUAUAGUAAGUGAUAUUAUGCAGUUCCUCUAAUAUAUCUAUUAAAACAAAAUGAACUUGGAGAAUAACAUUCAUGUUAUUUUCAUUGUGGCUUUUCAAUGGUACAUUUGGUUUGACAUAAUUAGAACUCCCAAAUUUGAAGUUUUGUAGUAAAGUUAGUUGUUUGGAAUCAUAUUCUAGUUCAAGAGUUCUUUGUAAGUUAUUGACUACAAUUGAAGUUAAAAUUAGUUUCAGAAUAGUGUUACAAUUAUUUAAAGAGUCAUUGUUGUUGUGUUUUGUAAGCAUUAUAUCUGUGAAAAAUUGGAAAAGAACGCCAUUUAUAAAUGGUGUUUCGAUUUUGUCUAUCUCAUGUGAAAAUGUGCUUCUAACCUUAAUAACUCUUCUUUCAUCUACAAAAUUGCCUCUGUAGUACUCUGGAAAUUCUUCCUCAGCCUCUAUUUUAUAAAUAUUAGAUACGUUCUUGGAUUUUUGUAUUUUAAAAAUAUCUUCCAAGCACAAAAUGUGGAGAAAAUUUGGAAAUUCAUUGGUACCAGUUUUGAAAUUGGAUUCAUCCAUUAUACAUGAAAACACGUUGUCUUCCAAUCCUAUAAGUACACAAGAAUUUUCUUGAGGACCAUUAAAAACAAACUUGAAAACUUCACAAAUGGAAUUAUUCUUCUUGUUAAUAAAUAACUCUCUUCUUAGACACGAAGCCUGAAAUUUACACACCAGAAAUUGUUUUUGUUGAGUUUUUGAAAUAACUUGGGGAUCCACCUUUGUUGCAGAAUUACAGUAUGAUUUCAAAUUUAACCUAACUAUCCAAGUUCUUAUAAAUUAAGCGAUCAUAAUUCAUGGAAAUUGACUUAUUCAAACGAAUAACAUGAAUUAUAAAAGAAUUAGAAUAAGUUUAUAAUUUUGAUUUAAUUCGUACAUACAUCUUCAAACUAAUUCACAAACACAUGAUUAGCAAAACAUAAAAUAAUAAUCAUCAUCAUUAUUAUCAUUAAUAUCAUUAUUGUAUUUGUAUAAAAACGAAACGGAUUCAUGUACAAACACAGAACUAGUUUUACAACAAUUAUGGAAGAAAACAAUACUUUUCAACUUUUACCAUUAUAAAAUGAUGGUAAAUAUAUGUUGAAAACCAUUUUUUCAUUUUUUUGAUUGAAUUCUACAAAACAGGAAAAAAAAAAGUGGUUUCUAUUUCUUCAUAUUUGGUAUUUCCUUUCUGACGAAAAAUCAAAUCUUAAAAGUAUGAAAAGAUAUAAAAUAUUUAAGAAAUAAGAAACCAUAAUUCUAAGUAUUGAAAUGGUGUCUGUUCUCAAACAAGAAUACUAGAGUAACCCAACUUACAUUUAAACUAAAUCCACCUUAUUUGUUCUGGUAACCAACUCUCACAAUUGUUUAAACAUAAAAAAAAAUGCCAUUUUGUAAAAUAUUUCAUGGUUUUUGUAAAUACCCUUUGUUAUAUAUGUGUGUAUGUAUGUAUAUACACUAACAUACUUACAUACAUAUAUGAAAUAAGAAAGUCUAUUGAAAUAACUAAUUUAACACUCUUUUGAAAAGCACAUAAAUAAACUAAUAAAAUAUAAAAAUGAAUGUAAUUAAAUUACAUGUUAAGCAUCAUACCAAAUUUUUUAUGUGGCACAUUGAAUUAUGUAAUAUAGAAUGAAAUUGGUUAAAGUAAGCUCCUUGGAAUAACAUGUGAAUAUGUAGGGUUUCAUUAUUGCCAAAAGCUUUGCUUGCACAAUAUAAUAGUUUUUUGGAAAUAGCAAGAAAACUGUAUCCAGAUCAAAAGAAAUAUCAUAUAUAUAUAUAUAUAUGAUAUAAUAUUUUUUUAAAUUCAAGUUUCAAAACUAUCAGAUUUUAUAUUUAGAAAAAAUUAUAUAUAAGAAUGGAAAGGAAUACCAUUCUUGUUGAAAAUCUAAUGUAAGACAAUGGCUCCACUGUUGCAAAUGCUUAAAACCAAAAUAUACGUUCCAUUUAUAUGUCUUCAUGCAUAUGUAUUUUUUAGGUAUUUGUUCCAUUGCCUUUUAAGAAUUAAAUAAAAAUUUAUUGGUUUUAACAAUUAUAUAAAUUCUAAAAUUUAGAUUAAAACUCUAUUGUUAAUAUGUAAAAACAUUAAAAAGAAGUAAAUCAUGUACCAACUUUUAUGCAUUGUAGAUAUGUAUUCUACAUAUCUAGGUCUAAAUUGAUAAGUUUAAACAAAAAUAAAAUAAAAUAAAUUAUGAUGCUUAAAUUUUUUUGAUGUGUGCAUUAAUGCAUAGGCAUACCAAUAACAAUUGAGACCAUAGCUGAUAGGUUGAGCCGAAGAGUAAAAUUGUUGCAAUUGGAUAUAUAACUAUGUAUUCUGGUAAUUUAAAUUGAGGUCCAAAAGUAAUUUCAUAACAAGAGUUUUUAUUUUGAUUCGAAGAAUCAAUAAUAUAUUUGCAUGUAAGAAAACAAGAAUUUGUCAUAUGUACAAGGGUUAAAUUUGACACAAAUAUGGGAUGCUCUUUAAUCUUUGACCCGUAUUUACAAAAGGACAUUUUAUUCCAACAUUUGUCUUCAUCUUUCCAUUUGAAAAUAUUUGCAUUAUCUCCAAAAUUAUAAUCAACUAUGUCAAAAGUAGAUUGUCUCUUGUAAAUAAGAUCUUGAGCUACAAACCAAACGUGAAUUGAAUCCACUUGAAGUCUAAUAGCUUUGUUAUUAUUAGGCACCCAACACAAAUCAUCACAAUGAGGUGUAUGUGUAUAUUUUUCUAAUUUAUUUUCCAUUAAGAUACACAUUACAUUCUUGAAAACUAUAUAUUCAACCAUGGUUUUGAAAGCCAAUAUAUUUUGGUGAAUUUUUUCUUGCAUUUGAAAAUCCAUAGAAUAGUAUUUAUGUGAUUUUUUUUGUAAAUCCUUAUUUUCAUAACAAUUUGAUGUGCCUUUUAUGUCAAAGAUUUUUGAUUGCUGUUGCCCAACAAUUGCUUGUAAACUACAAAAACGGUCAAUUAUGACUUCAAAUGUUUUUCCAAUAAAUUCUACAACUUGGGUUUCUUGUUGUAUAAACAUAGCUUUUUGAAUCCCCUCAAAAUAUGCCACUUCAUUAUAUUGUGAAGUAGUAGCUAAAAACUUGAAUGUUUUUGGAAAAGAACUACCACAAUUAUGUUUUUUUUUCAAAGAAAGUGAUUUCAGAAUCUUGUUUCCAAAAUCAUCAAUUGUGAAAAUUUGAGAUGUACAUUUGAUACCAACCCUUGUUGGUUGAAUUUUACAAGGAUAUAUUUGCAUCUGUAAUCUAAUUUCACUAUUAUCCACAGAAUGGACUUUCAAUCCUUUGAUAUUAAAGUGUUUAUUUUUUGGGUGUUGAGAAACUUUAUCAGCUUGUAAUCUUUUUGAUUGGUUUUUGCAAUUUCUUUGAAGAAGGAAUUGUGAGCCAUGCGUAGAACAAUUGUCAUUUGAAAAAGAUUUUCUCUCAAGUUCCUAUUACACACAAAUUGCAAAUUCAUGUUAAUUAAAAUUUUCUAAUGUGAUUCUUAUAUAUAUAUAUAUAUAUAUAUACUUACAUAAAUUCAUACAUACAUGCAAUGAAUCCCUAUUAACAUGGUAUAAAUAACAUAGAAUAGAAAAUUGUCAAAUGAUAUAUCAUGGUAUAAAUUUAUGUAGUAAAUCCAAUAUUUUUCAAAGCAUGUUCAUAUUAUUCAGAAUUAAUUAAAAAAAACACAAAAAAGAAAUCAUAAACUAAUUUAUAUUUGAAUAUGAAGAUCAAAAGCAUUUCUUUUAAUCUCUUCUUUUUUUAGAAGGAAACGCAUUAUCUAAAAUUAUAUAUAAAACUGAAUCAUCUUAUUCAUAAAAAUUAUUUUGAGCCCUGCAACCCUUAAAAUUCCAUCAUGUGAUAUUCUUAAAGCAGAAUGAAUGUAGACUUAUUAGAAGUUAAAUCAAAAUUGACGAACUUGUUCAAAGUGAUACAUGAAUUCAUAUGAGCUUGAACAUUGAUAUUGUUGCAAAAAGAUACAUUCUUAAGGUAUAUUUUUAACGUUGUUAUCAGAGGCUCCUUUCACUUACAACUUUGUUAACAUAAAAACAGCAAUUCUGAUCAUUAACUACGUGAUUUAAACAAGGAUUUAUAGCUGACAAAGACCCAAAAAACUACGACUCCCAAGUCCGUACUUCCCACAGGCAACUAAUUAAUAAACAACGCACACAGCAUUGAAAGCAUUUUAGCAGUCUAUAGACCUACAUGUCAGCAACGUGGGCAAUGCGAGUCUUCACUUCAUAGACUUAGAUGUCCUCUCAUACUGUUGAGCAGGUAUUGAUCUGACCGAUUUGCUACGAACAACAAAAGCUUCUAUCCUGCAGAACGAAGUUCGCCCUGCCAUGGUGCUGGUACUUACAGGCUGAGGAAUUGAAGGCCGUUCGACAAUACAGGAGGCAGAGGUAGCACUUACAGUAGGAAGCUGUGGAGAACUGUUGGGAAUAAAACUAGAACCACGAGCUUCAUCUUCAUUGACUGCUGAAACAGGAAAGUCAUUGACAGCAAGAGAGGCUACAUUCUCUAAGGAACAAGGAACUAAAGGUCCACUACAAUUGCUGUGGCCAAACUCGAAGUUCUCGGAGGCAAGGUCAGAAUUCUCACAGGUUUCUAGUUCAGUACAAAUGAUGUCAGGAAGUUGGAUCUGAGAGGACUCUUUGGCAGAAAUGGAGACCUGAGUUUCUGAAAUUGGUGUACACACAGAAGGAUCAGGAAGCUUCAACUCAUCACGACAGCUAUGAUAUGAAUCGACAUUUUCUGGGGGAUUGAAUCUAAGGUUCAAUGCAACAUCAAAAGGUGACGCACGAGUCACAUGAGAAGGGACUUCACACAGCAGCCCAGGCACAUGCUUAUAUUGGACUCCCCUGUCGAUCCUGGUUGGAACAUCAACCUUAUGUCUUCCUGGCAGGACUGCACGAGCAUUAAUCUGCUCUAGCAAUAAGUCACAUGCCUGCAAAUGCUGUCUCAAUCUGCCGUAUUGCAACCAAAACGAUGAUCUCUGCCAUGUCCGAAAUCCCCAAUGACACAAAGCUUCAGACUUAUCAUCCAUGCUUGCAGAUUUCUACAGGACUGAGAGUAAUGCUUUUACUAAAAAUUGAAAAAGCAACUAGUGAUUCAGAUAAUCAUUGAAGGUAAACCACAUGCAGAAGACCUCGUAGAAUAUGAAGAGAAGAACAAACACUCAAAAUGAAUGCAGUGCAUUUUAACGAAAACGAGAUUACCGGGGAGAAUGGCAAACAAUAAAUUCAAAAGUUCUUUAGUUUCAGCGUGUUGCUUUUUUGUGCGCUAUCAAGAAAAAUAAAAUCCAUGGGGGCUAAAAUUUAACGAAUCAUAGGAAGAACAUCAAGAGACUACUUAGUUCUGACAUCCAAAAGAAUCAUAGCAAAGACCCGCAAUUGUAUCAACUCUCUUGCAUAGUCUCAUUUAAAUGAGAACAUCGCAACAAUUGGGAAUAGAUUUUAAGUUUCAGUAACUUUUCCCACAAUGCGAGACAAGCUGAAACUGCCUGCUUGAAACGCAUCUCAAAGGGCGUGAUAUGGUUGAGUUAGCAUUAAUUAUACGCUCAAGUAACUAGUCUCUGAAUCAUAAAAUCAUGAAAUACAUCUUUUGCUUCUCUCAUGAACAAAUCAAUCUCAGAAAAAGGCAAGACACGUUGCGGAGCUAUUGGUUCGCAUAUAUGUAUGACCCAAUUCUUUCAAGAAGAUUACCCACCUUCAUAGGAGUAUCCUUCUAGAGUAAAAAGCAAUUCAGUUCAUUCAAAAUGAGAUUUGAAAACUCAUGACCAACUCAAUGAAACACAAGAUACAUGCCAAAGAGAAGAAAGAGAAGGAUAGUUAAUCCACUUGAUCAAGGUUCUCUGACGAAGAAUGUUGGAUCCUAUGUGCUUCCUGCGGUAUCUUCAACUCAUCGAAGUCUCCAACAACCACCUGCGCUCAUCGACGCAACAUCUUAGAUGAAAAAUAUGAAUGAGACAUGUAUCGCUUGUUUCUUAAAACUUGCAAGCACAGAAAAUGUGAACUCAACACCCAACGAAAAUUAAAGUCCAUUGUUCAUUUGCAUCAAGUAAGUCCGUACCAUUCCAAAUAGAAGGAUUUUAUCCCACUCUUGUAGGCAUUAAUAUAUUUGCGUUGUUCCAGUUACAAAAAAGAAAAACAUACCUCAUGUUGACAACCUGAAUAGCUAUAAGCCACCUUCAACUGCUUUGAUUUACCCGGGCAUGGAUCACAAAAACCCAUAAGACCGGCCUUACUGAUUCCUUCGUGCAGCUAUUAAAACACCAACGCAAAGCAUAAAUUAAAUGCUCUUGACAAAAAUCCAGAUACAUUUCAGUAAGACUAAGUUCUAGGGUCCCAAAAGAGGGCUUCAUAAAGCAAGAGAAUGUUGGUUCCUUUUCCGGAUCACCAUGCUGAGCUUCAACCAGCACCUUGAAACUGUUCCUACGAUCUAAUUACAAGACUGAUAAAGAAGAAGGUAAGCAAAGUGCAAAAGAUACAAAUACCUGAAGGCGUCCAAGAUCAUCAACCAAGAACUGUAAAGGAAUGGCAACAUCUAAAUAGGGAGGAGGUAGAUCCGCAUCAUUGUCUUCGGUGCUUGCAGACUUAUCCACACAAUUUAUCUCUAGCUCAUAUUCCCUAAUAUCACCAUAAACGGCUGCCAGAACAACUAACCCCUGCCGUUGUGCUUGCUUUUGUUUCUUCCUCUCUGCUACAUUCUUCAAUAAUAAUUGUGAUUUCUCCGAAGAAGCCCUCGCCUCAAUAACCUGGAUGCAAGAAGACAAGAUUACUUAACUUAUGACACAAAAUAGAAUACACAAGCAGCCUUCCAGUACUGAACUCAUUGUUACGUCAGGAAUUUUCCUCACUACGUUUGUGUUAAAGACUGAAAAACAGAUCAAACUUCGAUUCAGAAAAAUAGAAUGUCCAGAGGUAUGUAAGGGACGUUUGAAAGAAUCAUCGGAGUAACCUGUGUGUAAGUUGCUCGCCUAAGUUCCAGGCUCUUUCGUCUAUUUCUUCGGAGGUUGUAAGGUUGAAAAACGAAGGUCUGAAUAUCGUGACAAAACACACGAAUUCAGUAUGCACGAAAGCUUAUAUAUUUCAAAUUUUUAUGACAUCAAGUGUUCACAAGCUAAAAAACGAAGUCGCUAGUUGUGGAUACACUCUUUCUCAAUUUUUCGAAAGCGAUAGGAAUUCAGGACAUCAACCUGUAAAGAUUGGUGUCCGAAUAAACAAGAAGAGAAGGUACCUUAAGUAUUGCGUAAAUGGAUGAUGGCAUAAUUAAAGCACCAGCAGCAAUAUACGGAUUCAAUGUUGGGCAGAGCAUAAUCUGGUGAAACAUUGGUGUACUAUACCUCAAUUUCAUCCUUUGUAAUUAUUAUUUAAUGCACAAUCGAUGGUUAUCUAAAAUGACCUCUGCAUGAUGACGUUCACAGAAAAUCAAGCUGAUGCAGUUCAGACAUCUCACAUCCUAACAAUCACUAAUCAAAACAUGUAAAACUUCUAGUCGAUAAUCACCAGAUUACACAUCCAGUAUGUAGAGACUAAGAAGACCACUCACAGGAAGGACGAACUUCUGGCCUCCUCGGGUGAAUCGGACUUUCCAAGAAACACCCUGCAAUACAACUCAGUGAAAAUGCUAAGGGGAGGACUUUCAAAUUGCAAGCUGGUGGAUGUGAAGAAAGAAUGCAAAGGUCAUCAAAGACAAUAUAACUAGCUUCAACUAGCAAGAUCGCAAAGAAAACGAAAAUUGGUUAUAAGACACAAAAAUCAAUACGCACACUGCUUGCAAGCAAUUUCAAUUACCGUGCGGCAUGUAGAAGAUUUUCUUUAGAUACACCUCAAAAAUUAAGAGAUUUUGGAAAUUAAAGAUUCAGAAUCUAAUAGAUGCAAUUGAAAAAAGUGGUGUGAAAACCUGAAGUCCAAGCACGCAGAACAUGGCAGCAGAACUGUGCUCAGAAAGUCUUCUCUCCCCACCCACCUUAACUUCUACUCCAGUGCUGAACCAUUCACAAAGAAAGAAAAGACAAAAAAAAAAAAAAAUUCCAAGAACUCAUUGAGCAAAUACUGUGAAAAAUAUGAACAUUAAUAUAAACUAGCUGCGAUUUUUGUCACAGAACAACAAUCUGAAAGAUCGCUUGCCCGAGGAAAAACGAUCAUUCUAAGAAUGGUAGCAUCCUCUUCACAAUUCAUACAAUAUGGAUGGCUUGGAAUAAUUAGUGAACAUUUGAGUUGUUUUCCACCAAGUUGAUGCCUCAGAUGUCGGUAAGUGUUACCAACCUGCCGAUUUUUCCGGAGAGUCGACCUUGCGACUUGGAAGAAAAAUGGCGAAUGUAUUGACCUGAUACUCCAAAGGUGGUAGGACCUACCUUCAGAAUCACCAAGUAAGCAAAGUUCACUUAGUCAGAGGUUUCUUUGAGUUGCAGAUUCUAAAUUACACAGUGAUGUUGUAAUGAUAAUUGCCAUCCACUUCAGCAGCAACAAACUGAUUCAUCCAGUAGUUCAUACCCACAAUCAAUGCGAAAAACUCCAGUUAUCAGUGAUAUGAUCAAGUUUUAAUGCAAUCUGAUCAGUGUGGAGUAUAUAAUACACUGUAUGAAAGUACUCACCUAUAUUUGCACAGCAAUACAGUUCUCACAAUUAAUACCUUCACAUCUGCUGAGCCAGCAUUUUUCUUGCCAUAUUUACGCAAACCGACUGAGAUUCCAGUAUCUGACCCAAUAACUAGUUGUAUCUGUACAUUUUCAACACUAAGAUCAUGAGUAUCCGAAACUGUGAGCCAUCAAUACAUCUCAACAUUUCACAAGGAAGAGAAUCACUUGUUCUCCCUUGAUGGCAAUCUGAUGAUGAAUUAAAAAGGAAAAUAAGAAAACCCCACUCACAUUGCCUGUAGUGUCCUCUGUCAGAAGGCGUGACCAAUUAUUUGCUAACGUGACUGAACCAUCCCUCAACGAAACUGAUAAUCCUAAAGUCCCCCUUGAAUGUGUAGAAAGUUGCCUGCAACCACCAAACUCAGCAUUUUGAGUCAAGAACUACCAUAAAGCAGUUUCUCACUGCAACGAACCAGAUUAAUAAAACUAACACCAAUCUUAAAUCUCCUUGGACCCGCAACGAACAGAAAAUCUCAUUUACAAUGAAAACCACAUACCUUGAAGUUUGUAGACUCAAAAUCGAGCGGAGCCCAGCCAUAGCUAGAAAUUCUACCGUUGAUAUUGGUGAAAGUUGGCGCCUUAAACCCAUUGUCACAGAGCCCCUGCCUAAACCACUCCUCAAAGCCAUAUUCCCUCCCAACAUGACGGUAUCCCUUUUCGAUACCUGUGCUUGCACUAGUGUUGUCAUAGCCAUGCUGCACGAAAAACAAAAUUUAAAAGAUAAUCGAUGGACAGCUACAAAUAAAGGUCCGAGAAAUUUGUGCAUGGAUGCAACUUUCUCCUCAAUUCAUAAAUUUACAGCCGUCAACAGUCUCCAACUUGAAUCUAACCAAAUGCCUCGAGAAGCCCUCCGAAAUGUAAGUAAACAUUGAACGGGGACCAGGCAAUGAAGUACAUUAAAUUAUGAUCAGAGAACAAACCCGCUCAUGCUUAGGGGAUCAUACGAUUCCAACACUGGUAGUAAGGAUAAGUUCAUUAGCAAUGAUCCUCUGUGGUGGACAUGAGCUGCCAAUCUGCUCUCUUCUUGGCGUUGCUGUAAGCGUUCAAACUCAGCUCUAACCUCAUGUCUUGAUUUCAACUUCGGACCUAACUCUAAACCUGAAGUUAAGCCUUCCAUUCCGUAGACAUCAUACACUUGCCGCUUUCGCUCAUCACUCAAAAUUUCGUAUGCCUCCCGAAUCUUCUGGAAAUUUUGAGUAGCAGCAUCCUGCAUCUGUUGAUAACUAAUAAAUCAAGAUGAGUAUAAUAACAGUUUCUCAAAUGGGGAUCCAGUCACCUUGAACCAAGAUCUUUUGCUAAGUACACAGGAUAGUGUAAAGUAUAUAACGUAGUAUAUAGCUCCAGAAAUCGUUCACUAAGUUCAUAUACAACUCUUGAGCCACAUAAUUCAAACGCACGCCGCUUUGUGUCUUCAGGUCGACAAGAACAUACGAACGAGAGCAAGAGUCCUGGCGUGUACACAAUCUUCAAAGUAUGACCAGUGACCAAUAGCAGAAUCUGUAGAAGUGGAGGUUCCGAACUCAAAAAAACGACAUGGGCGAAAUCUAAAACAAAGGAAGCGGCUUUGAGCGACACAUACGAUUCAGUAAUACCUGGAAAACAAUCCCGCCAUUUCCUUGACAAGAAGGAGUACAUCACUUUGCGUUGCCAAACAGCCGAUAGGUUGAGCACGAAAUUCAUGCAAUUUCACAACGUACACAACAACUUAUGAACCUAAGAAACCUCACGACUCAGAAAAGAACCGCAGGCAUUUUAAUCCUUGAGCUGCCCUCAACGUCAUGACUUCACAAUCAUUAAGAGUCAUCAAGCAACGUUUGCACGGGAAAGAACUUUCUACGCAAAAAACCACAGGAUUGAAUUCUUUAAAAAUACUAUAGAAGGAUAACUGCACAUUCAGAGUGUUGUACCGCAACUAAAUGGGGAUUGCAAGAGUCGGGAUUUAAGAUAGAGGAUUUCAUGAGUGAAAAAUGCAGACGAUGACUGCUAGGUUGACGAACUUGAUUGUCAAUUGCAACUAAUGACUGUUGACUUCACACUUCCGACGCACGCAGCUAAUAAAAAAUGAUUCAACAGCAUGUCAACCUGAUUUAACCGCAACUCAAUAUUCCAGUCGAACGGCACCUCUAACUAAACGUGUACACAACUAUUACACUUAAUCUUGACUGUGUUCUGAGACCAGAGUCCAACCUGGAUUCUCUUAGCUUCCGCACAAACAUCCUCGAUGAAUAUAAUUUACCCAAGAUUUCAACAAAAUCAAAUAAAACAUCAACCAAAUCCAAAGGAUGAUUGAGCGCACCACAAAAAGCAGAAAAGGACAUGAUAUUACGACCAGAAAACCUUCAAACUAAGUUUGAGACCCUACAACAGUCAUUGCGCAUCUCACGAGAAUCUGACAGUUAUUCUGUGAGGAAGCUCCACUCUCUCAUCAUGCCCUAAUUACGCGAACAUCUUCAUGCUUCCGGCAGAUUCCGACACCAGCCCAAGCUCGCGACAAAACCUGAUACCCAAAAGCGGAGGAGUAAAACCUGCAGCGUCUGGUGCUUGUCAGGGUGGUAAAUUUGCGCCCAAUGUCUGAAAGCCCGCUUCACAUCAUCGUCGGAGGCCUCAGGAGAUAAAUGCAGCAGAGCAUAGAGCUGUCGAUCGGGUGGCCAAUGCCGCUCUCGCUCCGAAGUCUCCAUGACUCCUUCUAACAGACAAUCCUUCCUAUCGUCAAAUCUGCUUCCACUUCCCUAGCAAUACGCCAUCCAAGCCAUCCCCGGACGGUUUCAAGUUACUCCAAGCUCAAAGGGAAGCAGGUCUAAAGGCAGAAACCCCGAUCCAAGGCAGCGAGAGCGCAAUGCAGCGCGAUCGAGGCUGCGACCAUGAGGGCAAAAAAAUUAAGAGAGGGAGAAAGCUCGCGAAGGAGGGGGCGAGGGGAAUUCAAGGGAGGGUGGGAAUGGAGAGUCGCGCGGAAGGUGCGAGGAAGGUGCCCUCGGCCCAUGGUUCCAUGGAGGCAAGACUUGCUCGGUUUCUCAACUACGACGCAACCAACGUCUUGUCAGCCCUCCCGCUCCCAACCACCGUUCCCCGCGUUCCCAACCAUCGUUUUCCGCGCUCCCAGGCGGGGAACUAAGCUGUUGGAUUCCUUAUGUAUGAUUUCUUGUCUAAGGUGGGUCAAUUUAGAAGAAAGGUGGGCCAAUUUAACAAUUCUAUAUUUUAUACUAUACUUGAUACAAAUACAAUAGUGAGAAGAAGUAGGCACUCAACUGUCUUUUGUAUUAUAGAAAGGAAAAUUUAGCAAUAUAAAGUAUUUUUAAAUAUUACUAAAUAUUAAUGUAAAUAAUUCCAUUACACUAUGAUUGUAUUGAAAAAUUAAUAGUCAUUAAUAUUUUUUACUUUAGAGUGGGAUUUUAGUCUAUUUUAAUUUAGAAUAAUUGGACUCUAUUAAAGAUAUUAAAGGUUUUGCCUCUUGAUUAUAUGUACAAUAUAUGAGUUUUAUUAAGAUUGAAUAUAACAAGUGAAUGUCAAGUUUAUAUGCCCCACAAAUCUUGUAAAGAAGCCUUUACAAUGUUAUAAAUGAGUUUCUUCUUUUCUUUCUUCUUUUUGAAAUUCUUGUUUUUGUUUUUGAAUUGCAUAAAUUAUAAAUUUGAUGAAUUUUUUAAAACUAAUUGCAUAAAUUAUAAAUUUGAUGAAUUUUUUAAAACUAAUUGCAUAAAUUUUCAUAAGAUUUGAAGUUGUGGAUUUUUUGUUUGAUUUGUUAAACAAUGGAUAUUUAAAAGAUUUAUUUAUAAUUUAGGUCCAAUUUUAUAACUAAAAAUAUAUAAUUUGUGAAUAAAUUUAUUGUAUUUUUGGAGGUCUCAAGUACUUUUUUAAAAAAAAGUUUGAAUGAACUAUUAAGCAUGACACAAGAUAAUUCAAGCAUGUUACUGAUACCACAACAAUUUUAUGCUAUUGCCACCACAACUUGCCAUCUUCUACAUGUCAUCACAAUUUUUGCUAAUGUCAUCACAUGUUGCCCUGAACUUGUAUUGCACAUCACAAUAUACUUUAUAAAAUAUUAAAAUUUACAUCUAUAAAGAAUAUACAUUUUAUAUACUGUGAUGUACAUUAGCAAUGUACCAUAAAGUGUAUUAUGGUGUAUAAUGCUAGUUUAGGGCAACUUGCAGUAGCUUUAGUAAAAACUAUGAUGAUACGUAGUAGAUGACAUAUUGUGGUGGCAUUAGCAAUAUCCUAAUUCAAUUGCAUUAACUAAUUCAAUAUAGAAUUUAUAAAAUUAAUAAAUUCAAGGAUCAAAUAAUUUGUCAUCUUUAAAAAUAUUAAUGAUUAAUUUGAAGAAUGCAAACACAUUGAAAAUUUACAUUUAAAAUGUAUAUUUGAAAUAAAAAUAUUUAUUUUUUUUUCUUUUUUUAUAAAAAAUUAAAAUGUCAACAAUAUAUAUAAUUAUCAAUUUUAAAAUGAAACUAUCUUGAAUUUUUUAAAUGAAUUUACUACAUGUUUUUAUUUGUUUGAACUAUACUUUAUAUUCUUGAAAAUUGCUUAAUGAAUCAGAAUAAAAUCUAUAUAAAUAUAAGUAUAUAUAAAAUAAAUUAAAUAUUAAUUAUAGAUGCUUUCCAAAGGAUAAAAUAAUGUGUAAUUUACACUUAUUGUAUAAGUUCAAAGAGGAUACAAAAUAUAAAGAAAAAUUGCUUAAACAACUUGUAAGCUUUAACACUACUAAUUAUUAAUUUUCUAUAGUAUUACAUAUAUAUGAUUUCAGUACAUAGCAUCGUGACAUGAAGAAAUAAAUGGUAUUCUCACCAGAUAUGUUUAGAUUUUACUAAAACGAAUGAGAAUAUACAUAUGGACAAAGAUCGCACAUAAACACUUGGAUUCGAAUAAGUAAAACGUGUUUAUUAUUUGGUUCUUUAACUUUAAAAAGAAGAAUGAUAUCCAUGUGAUCUCCAACAACAAAAUAUGAAAAGAAUUCUGAGAGAGAGAGAGAGAAUGAGAGAGAGAGAGAGAGAGAAUGAGAGAGAGAGAGAUUAAUCUGAAAAGACUCCCAGGGAAGGCUCCUCAUCACUUUCCGAGCCUACGUACGUGAAAGUAGGGCUGGCAAAAGUAAGUGUACAUCAGCUCUACUACUUCCAGGAUAAAGGAUAAGUGGGGGAUGAACUCAGAUGGGAACGAAUGAAUAUUUUUCAUCCAUACGUCAAUAAAUUAAUCCAUCCGUCCGCCCUCUUUCCUACCUGUGUCGUCCCUGCUCCGCAGCGUUGUCCACCACAAUUUCAUUUUGCUUUGCCAUCGCAAUCCGCAGAGAUAUCUUCCUGAUGUUUCCUCGAUCCCUAGACUUCAUCUUCUUCCACUUUGCGCCUCUCUCUCUCUCUCUCUCUCGUAGUAGUACUCUGAAUUUGUGUGCUUUGCGGAGGUCUGAACCGAUAUUCCCCCAUCCUUUGCCAAGUUAGGAGCUAUGGCGGCCCUCACUGUGGCUUCCUCCGCCUGCGCUGCCUUGCCCGCUGCGCCCGUUGCUUCCCUCUCGCAAUCGACUUUCUCCACCGCUUCAACUGUCCGGAUGACGCCCUUGAAGGUAAACAGGCGGUUGUGCGUCGUUGCCAUGGCUACUCCCCCGAACCGGGAAGACGUCAAGGACAAGGUGAGUACCCUCGCGUUUGUCUGACCAUAAGGUUGGCCGAGAGAUGCCUUUGAUCGUUGUGCAGUGUUUGAGAUUGUGGCUACCAUGCGCGUCGUGAUUUUUGUUUUUAUUAACGGUUUGUGGUUUUAACCGAUUCCUUAGAGUUAUGCAUUCUGAGUGUCGCACUUUGGAAUUUGUAGAAAUUUAUCUGUUCAUAGUGGCUGAAUGAGAAUUUAAUUCUGACUCAAUCUUGGCUAAGAUUCCUACAGGUAAUGGAUCUUGUAAUAGUGGUGACAGUACAGUGGUAUUUGCAAUGAGUGAGCGUUGAAAUAGUGGCUGUAUUCUCUUGAACGAGGCUUACAGCACUGUGCAAUUCCCUUGCCGUUGGCUCUGCCUCCUUACACUGGCAGCUUUUAUCUUUCAUUAGGGAUGAUUAUUUAUUUAUAUCCCUCGAGUGUUGUUACUAGAUUUUUGUCCUUGUAGAAAACUUCCUUUUAAAACUUGCGAAUCGCAAUUCAUCUCCAUCGAUCCUAGCGAUUGGCAACUCACUGAACUUUCUUCUGCACAGAUUCCUAAUGCUAUUGCUGAGGCUCAGAAGGCCUGUGAAGAGGAUCCUACUUCUGCCCCAUGCGCCGUGGCAUGGGACGAGGUGGAGGAGUUAACAGCUGAGGCUGCCCACCAGCGCGACCGAGAGAAAACCUCAGGCGACCCCCUUGAGAAAUACUGCGCAGACAACCCCGAAUCUGAUGAGUGCCGAACAUAUGAGGAUUAGAAUACAGGAAUGUGGUUGCUACUGGUAUUUUACAUGCAACACUGCGCUGCGUUAAUUUGGAAUGAGCGUUUUCUAGGCUGUAUACUAUACGCGGUGCUACCGUUGUACAGAAGUAUUGGUAUUCUUUAGAGGAGUAUUCUGGAAUCCAAGUUUUUCUAACCAUCUAAACCGCACUCCUGAUUUCCACUCCUUCUGGGCACUUGUGACAUGUAAUUCCCCCUCAAUUUCGUGCUAUAUUUAUUCGUGACCGUGGAAUAUGUAUGCCAAUUGUCAGGGCCAUUGGACACUUAUCUUGAAAAUUUCCGAAAUGUUGGACAACGAAUUACAUUUACCAGCUCUCCAUUACAAUCCCGAACCGAGCGAAUAACCUAGCAGAGGUGAUGGCAAUGCUGCGGUUUGAGAAAAACGAAUUAUAUUUAAUUUGUCGUUCAUGCAUUCUUACAGAAUUUUUGAAAUUGCCAAUCAAACACUGCUGGCACACCUGGAUUGAUUCGCAGUAGUAGAUAUUGUUUUCGCUGAAGUCUAUUCUACUAAUAAAUACACUCAUGCUGUCGGGCGUUACUGGAAAAUUAAUGACAUGAGGUACAUUUCAACUUCGUCACAUGCAUGAAUUGAGCGUGCUCAUAGUAUCUGCUCAACCUGAACUUGUUCCCCUGAUAGUUGCAAACUAUACCAUAUCCGUAGUUCUAAUGUAAGCUGAAAGCAGCGAGAUGUGUGCAUGGAUAGCUCAUUAUGGUGGAAAUCAACUGUCAGCAUACAAGACCUUGGAUAGUCGAGGCCAAUCUGGUCUCGUCGUAACCUUGGUGAACGGAUCAUGUGUCAGAGGUGUAUGGCCCAGAAUGUCAUUUCAGGUGAUAUUCAAGCAACUCGGUGUCUGAAGCCAUGGAUCAUCUCUUCCAUUCUACACGCCCCCGCCUCACGUUUGGCAUUCAGAGGAGGUGGGUUCCUGGCAAUCCUCGCAGUCUCUGCAACAACUUCCAUUUCCUGGGACUGUCCAAUGUAGUUGCAAGUUAUCUGCCACUACUCGUUGAUAAAUACCAUCAACUAAAAUAGACGAGUUUCUAUAUCCAUGGACAGUACGAAAGUUUAUUUCUUAUGCUUAAUUUAAGCAACUUCUUAAUAAAGUGUGAAUGAUAUUCUUAAAUACAAAGUUAAAUAAAAUAAAUAAAUAAUAGUAAUGAUAUUUCAUCUUGGAAGUUACAUCACAUAAUUUUACAUGAUAUUAGAGCAAAGUGUUGCCCUAGUUUCUACUAGCAACUAGUUAUUGUCUUCUUGAUUUACAAAAAAUACUUUAUUUGUAUAAUUAUCUUUUAAAAUAUUCUUAUUUACUCACCGAUUGUUUUAUUACAUAAUAAUUAGGCAAUCAAGACUAUGCCUAAAAUUAUUAUUUAUUGGUUAUCAUAAUAUCUUAUCUAGACUAAGUUAAAUGUUCUAUAUUAAAUGUAUUAAUUGAUCCAUGCUUAAAGAAACUAAUACUCAUAGAUAUGCAUUAGAUUAUUUGUUUGCUAGAAACAAUACUUGUUAAACCAAGAACUAUAAGCCUUGGUUGACAUUCAUACAAAACAUUUUUAAAAAAAUAAGAUCUUUGGAAUUUAGUGAAAAGAUGAUCAUAAGAAGAUUGUUUUACAAAACUUUAUAGAAAAAAUAAGAAACACAAGCCAAGCAAUUAGAUAAAUCUUAGAAGUUGAUAGAUAGAAGAUAAAGAAGGUUAAAAUAAUAUUUAAAAUUUCACUUAAUUCCAACUUUUAUCUAUAUAUCAAUGACUUUUGAAAUCUUUGUAAGACUUAGAAAUUUCUUAGCAAUUUAUUUUAAAUAUAUAUUAUUUUUAAUAUUAUGAUUGUAAUGAAUAAAUAAAAAUAUCUUAAAAUAAAAAUUAUAUAUAUAUAUAUAUAUGUACUGAUUCAUAUAUCAUUUAAAUGAUAUUAUUUAUAACUUGAGAUCUAUUUCAUAGUUACAAAUAAAUAAAAUAAUUAUCUAUUGCAUAUUAAGUCAACUUCUUUGUAGCUUUGACAUUCUAAUUUCUUAGGUAUAGUUAAAAUAAUGAUUUCCAAUCUUCUAAGAACUUUAGAAUUAGUUGCACAUGCACACUAUUGAGUUUUUAUUACAAAAAAUAUCAAAAACUAUCAAAUAAAGUGUUAAUACUUAAAAUUUAGAGAAUGUGCAACAAAAGAUUUUUUGAGAUUUAUAAUUUAUAGAGUUAAUUGAACCAAAGGGAUUAAAAAUAGAAAAAUAGAUAAUAAUAUAAUUUAUUAUAUAUAUAAAAAAACCAAGUAUAUAUCACAAGUGUGCAAUGCAUUUAGUUUGCUUAUUUUAUAGCUAUAUAUCAACCUAUUUGUAAAUUUUGCAAAUAAUGCUAGAAGAGCCAUUAGAGCAUACAGUGCUUAUUCAACAAAAUAAUGGUUCAACUAUUUUUUAAAGAUCAAUUGAACAAUUAUUAAGACAAUAAUUUGAAGGAAUAUCUAUAUUUAUUCUUUAAAAAACGUCUUAAUAAUUGUGUUAUAACCAUAUAUAUUAACUCCAAUAAUUACCUAAAUAAUGUUACAAAUAUCCAAUACAAAGAUUUAAAGAAUAUUCUUAGAAUAUUCUAUUUAGUUUUAAAAGAUUCUAAAAGAUUCUUAAAAUAUUCUUAAAAUAUUUCAAUAAAAUAUUCUAAAAAGAUUUUUAGAAUCAUCUAGGAGGUUUUUAAAAUAUUCUAAUAUAUUUUAGAAAGUUUUAAGAAGAUUAAAGAAGUUGUUUAAGAAGCUUCUUAGAAUUGCUUUGUCUCCAAGCAAUAUGAAAACUUCUUGAGAAGCUUCCUAAUAUCUAGUAUACAUUAAAGUUGAGGUUGAGGAAAUCUGCAAUCUUGAUAAUACAUCUUUUGGAGCUUUAGCACACCAUUCUUAGUAUUGAUCUUAUAUUCAUCUAGUUUAAUGAAGUUUUUAUUAGCUUUCUUGUUGAAACUCUUCUACUCAAUUUCUUAUUCAAUCUUGUAUAUAAUGUGUGCAUGAUAUUUUAUCAAGACUGCCUUCUUAUCAAUAUUAGAGUUUAUUCCUUCUUAAUAGAGAGUAGAUUAUCCCUCUUCUUGAAGGCAUCUGAGUGCUUUAAAAGUUGUGGAUUAUCUUUCUUUAAACUAGUAUUCUUUAGAUUUGUUUUGUUUUGUUUUGUUUUAUUUUUUUUUUCUUUCUUUCUUUCAAGAUGGUUGGAGGUAAAGAUGUUAGUUUGGUUGAGUCUCCUAAGUCCAAGUUAGAUAUUAUUAUGAAUAUACUAAACAAUUUAUUUCAUAGAAGUACUGAAAUUGAAGGAUUUUUUGCUUCAAUUUUAGUACUUCUAUGAAAUUGAAGGAUUUCAUGAUAAUGCAAGUCUUAGAGUAAUUUAGCUUGUGAUGCAAUUACUUUUUGAAACUUCUACAUUCAAGAAGGUCGUAUCACAUGUACCUCAACAAAAAAACUUAUAUAUUCAAUAAUAUAAGAAGCCUCAGAUUAGUCUUCUAGAAAAGUUUAAUGGUACAUGUUCAAAGUUUUGAAGGUUUAUUAACCAAAUUUGAUUGAUAACUUUUCUAUAACUUGAGCACUAUCUAAUAGAAGAAUUACAAGUUUAUUUAGUUGAAACCUUGCUCACAAGACAAGCCAUAUUUUAGUUUGUUCUUUUAUUUGAAAAGAGAUUCCAAAUCUUGAGUAACUUUGAAGCUUUUGUAAAAGCAUUUGCAGAGGUAUUUGAAGAACAUAACAAGGACUAAUGGGAAACAAUAAAGAUUUGCUCAUAACAUUAAAAGUCAUGCUUUGCAUCAAUUUAUGCAUCUAAUUUUAGAUAAUUGGCUUAUAACAUCAAUUGAGAUGAAUAAGUUUUUAUGACCCAAUUCUAUUGGAGAUUAAAGGAUAAUAUGAAAGAUCUAUUAUUAUCAUUACUUAAUCUUCAAAUACUCAAUGAAGAUAUCAGCCAAGCUAUGAAAUGCAAUAAUCAAUUAUUUCAACAUCAAUAAGAUCAACACUUAUAAACUUUGACAAAACAACAUAUUAAAAUUUUUCACUCCAUUGCUUCAACAAAUAUUUUACUUCCAUACUUUGAAGUUGAAAAUAUGUAAAUUUAUGCAAUACAAUUCAAAUUUCUUAUAGAAAAAAAAAAGAAGUAUCAAUUUGAAUAAGGCCUAUAUUAAUAUUGUAAUGAAAGAGGCUACAAAUCUAGGAAUUGUCCAAAGAAACAAUGUAUAAUCAAGACUAAGAAUGUGAUUGUUUAGAAAAACAAAGAGGCAUAGUCACAAUAGGGACCAUAUGGUUGGAUAUUCCAAUACAUCAAAUUCAUCAAAGUUCCUCUUUUUUUGCCUAAUCUACUUAUUAUUUAAUUAUAUCUUUAUUUCUUGGCCUGUAAAAACUUCAAAAAAAUGCCUUAUUAGAUUUAAGAGCAUAUGCUUACUUUUUAGAUGAGGACUUUUUUAAACUUCUUAAAAUUCCUCUAGUAUGAAAGUCAAAAACUAAAUACAUAGAAGUAAUAGAUAGUCAACAUUUAUCUUCAAGCAAUAUUACUCAUCAGACUAUAUUGCUAGAAAUAUAAUAACAAAAUAAUAGAAAAAUAAUAUUCAAUAUUAUUAGAACCAUGUCCAAUUCUAUUAUUUUAGAACUUUUAUGGUUGAAAAGAUAAUCCAUCUAUAGAUUAGUGAUUUCAUAAGGUUGAAUUUCCUGUAGAAUCCCUUUGGGCAAAACCUAUCAAGAAAUCAUAAAUAACAAAGCCUUGAUUUUUUAGAGUAAGAGCUUUUAUGAAAAAAGUUAAGAAGGAAAUACCAUUUUUUAUUUAUGCAAUCUCAACUUGUAAAGAAGCAAGCUCGCUAGUAGCUAUUCUACAGCAAUAUAAAGAAUUUCAAGAUAUCUUCAAAAAAAAGAAUAUUAAUAUAUUGCCAAAACAUUGAUUGUAUGAUUGUGCGAUAGAUCUUCAAGAAAGGACUCAACCACCAUUUGGCACAAUCUACAAACUAUUACAGAAUAAACUUUUGGCAUUAAAAGAUUACAUCAACAAAAAUCUUGCAAAGAACUUUAUUUGGCAUUUCAAAUCUCCAAAAAGUACACCAAUAUUUUUUAUGAAGAAAAAAAAAUAGAUCUUUAUAAAUACAUGUUGAUUAUUAUGGUAUCAAAAAAAAUAAUGAUGAAUAAUUGUUAUCUAUUACCAUUAAUAUUAAGGCUUUUGGAAGAACUCAAUCAAACCAAAUUCUAUACUAAAAUAGAUCUUCAAAGAAUGUAUAAUUUGGUGUAGAUUAAAGAAGAAGAUGAUUGAAAGACAACAUUUUAGAUAAGGUACAAAUAUUUUAAUAUAAUGUCAUGCCUUUCAAAUUGAAAAUUUCUCCAAUUAUAUUCUAAAAUUUAAUAAAUGAUAUUUUUAAAAUUUUUUUGGACACAUUUGUUAUCUGUUAUCUUGAUGAUAUCUUAAUCUAUUCUAAGACUCCUAAAGAAUACAAAAAAUAUGUCAAAUUAGUCUUACAAAAGUUAUAAGAUAUAGGAUUAUAUGCCAAAUUGAAGAAAUGUAUAUUCUAUCAACCAAAAGUAGAGUUUCUUGAAAAUAUUAUAUCCAAUGAAGGCAUAUUGAUGGAUUCAAAAAAAGUUCAAGUUGUAAUAGAGUAAGCAACUCUAAAGACAAUAUGGGAUGUAUAAUAUUUCUUGGAUUUGCUAAUUCCUAUUGGAUAUUUAUCAAGAAUUACUCUCAAGUUGUUUUUCUUUUCACUUAGUUGAUAUCUAAAGUCAAAUUCGAAUGAAAACCUCAAACAUAAAUUUUUUUUCAAGAUUUGAAGGUAGUUUUUACUACAGCUCCAAUAUUAAUGCAUUUGGAUUUUAUGGAGGCCUUUUAUUUGGAAAUUGAUGCUUUUGACUUUGUAUUAGGAGUUGUAUUAUUACAAAUGGAAAAGGAUGGAAAGUUCUACCUAAUUGUGUUCUAUUCAAAAAAAUUUCAACUAUAAAGAUCAAUUAUGAGAUUUAUAAUAAAGUGCUUCAUGUAAUUUUAGAUUCUUUUUAAAUAUAAUUUCACUUACUAGAAGGUACUACACAUCUUAUGGGUGUAUAUAUAGAUCAUAAAAAAUUAAAAUAUUUCAUGUCAACUCAGAUUUUAAAUUGCUGCUAAGCUUGUUGAAACAUAUUUUUAUUUUGUUUUGAUUUUGUGAUUACAUAUUGAUAAGAAAAGUAACAAGGACUAUCAAAUUCUUUAUCAAGGAGAUCAUAUCUUGUUCUAAAGGCUAAAAAAGCAGCAUUUAAUUAGCAAUACACUAAUCUCUUGAAGCCAAAAUAAUUUCAUCUUUUUACUACUUCUAUGGUUACAUUUGUUGAUUCAAGUUUUCUUGAACAAAUUCAUGUAGCAUCAAUUAAAAACUUAUUAUUUCAUAAUAUUAAUUAAUAUAUAGAAAAUAAUAAAUUCAAGUUUUUAGAAUAUCUUUUGUAUUUUGAAGAAUGUUUAUAUAUUCCAAAAGGACUGAUGCAACUUCAUGUUUUUUAAUCUUGUCAUGACUUUCCAACUAUAGGACAUUUUGGAUUUAAGAAAAUAUUAGAGCUUAUCUCUUGAUUUUUUUUGAUGGCCACAAAUGUGGAAGAUCAUGCAAAUGUGGAAGAUCAUGAAGUACUUUGUUGUCUUAUGUGACAUAUAUUCAAGAUUUAAGAAUUAUCAAUAUUGUCCUUAUGGACUUCUAUAGCCACUACCAAUUUCAAAGCAACCAUGGUCUUUAGUAUCAAUGGAUUUCACUACUAAUUUGCUACCAUUAGCUACAUUGAAUACUAUCUAUAUUGUUGUAGAUUGACUUACAAAGAUGGAACAUUUUGUCUUGUGCAAAAAGACAAUUUUUGAAAAAAAAAAUAAUAGGAUUUUUUUUGAUCAUAUAUAUAUAUAUAUAUAUAUAUAUAUAUAUAUCAUGGCCUAGCUGAUGAUAUCAUUUCUAAUUGAAGACCUCAAUUUAUAAAAAAAUUUAAGAAAUUCCUAUUUAAGAUAUUGAAAGUGUAUAUAUAUAUAUAUAUAUAUAUAUAUAUAUAUAUAUAUUUUAUUUUAUUUUUGGACCAAUGGUCAAAGAAAAUAAGUCAAUCAAGUUUUGGAGUAGUAUUUGUGAUGUAUCAUUAAUUAUUAAUAAGAUGAUUAGAUAUUAUAUUUAUUUUUAAUGGAUUUUAUUUAUAAUAAUACUCUUUAUGCUUCAAUUUAGUAAAUACCAUUUUAUGCCAAUUAUGGUUAUCAUCAGAAGCUUGAUUUUUUAGGUACAUCAAAGGAUGAAAAACCAAUAGUUGAAGAUCUUAUAAAACAAUUGUAAUAGCUUUAAACAACAUUGGAGCUUCAUUUACAAAUAGAUGAAGAUUCUUAUAAAGCAUCUUCAUACAAGUUUAAAAAAAAAUUCCUUACUUUUUAAAUAGGAGAUAAAUUAUGGCUUCUUCAACAAAAUAUCUAGAUCAAUUGAUCUUACAAUAAGUUGAAUUAUGAAAGAAUGAGACCAUUUUGCAUUCAAAAGCAAAUAAAUUUAAUGACUUAUCAGUUGGAACUACCUACAUUCAUGACAGUACAUCUAAUCUUUUAUAUUUCUCUUAGAGGUGUAUACAAAAUCAACUAUUCUAGGAAGUAUACUACCAUUACCACCUUGUAUUCAAAUAGAUAAUUAUGUAGAAUAUGAGAUAGAAAAGGUCAUUGAUUUUCAACAAAGAAAAGGCAAGUUGGAGCAUUUUAUUCAUUGGUGUAGUUAUGAUAUCAAUGAGCAUAUAUGAGAAUCAACAAAAAAUCUAGUUAAUGUGUGUCACGGACAUACUCAUGUAAGCUAGUAAUUACAUAUACAAAUAGGUGGAAGUAAGUAAAAAUAGGUAAAAGUAAGUUAAUUCUAUAGUAUUUAAUAUGGAAGCUUCCUAGAAGCUUUAUAGAUGCUGUUUUGACUUCAUAGGUGUCUUUAAUUGACUUUUUGGAUUAGAAACGUGGUCAACAAGUUGGCCAUGUGCCACAUAUAUUAUUAGCUUGAAGAUCAAGCUAACUAUGUGGCCCACACGUAGAAAAACUUGUAUUAUAAGUCAAGGCAUGUGUUCUAUAAAGUCAACACAUAUUGGAGGUCCUAUAGAACGUCGCCAUGUAGCCCCUAGUUAGAUAAUAUAUAUAGAGACAAGAGUGAAGCCUUCUUCACUCUUGUCAACUCCUUUCUUGCUUCCAGUCUAGUUUCAAAGGUCUCUAGUUUUCUUGUCAUUUGGCAAUAGCCAUUCCAGUUUUUCUUUCAAUAUAUAUACUUGUUUAUUUAUAUUUUGAUACCUUUCUUUGAGUGAAGGCUCACUUGUGUGAAUUGAUUUUUCAUUGAGUUCUUGUCCUUGACAGAUUGACAAGAGUAUACCUACAAUAUCAGAGCUUUGUCUAAUCUUGAUUAAGAGAGGAUUACCUCUUUUUCUUGAAAAGUUAUAAGCAUAUUAGAAGUUACGGAUUACCCUCUUCUAAACUGAUAUUGUCCUUAGUAUUUUCUUUGUUUUCAAGUUCUCUCUUCUAUUUGUCUUGAGCAAUAUUAGACAUGUUCUCUUUUCUAAGUGUUAUCAUAGCAAAAAUUGUUGAAAUGAAGAGUGCAAUGGCACAAAUACAAGAACAAUUGAGGGAGUUAAUGCUUGCGAUGCAUCAACUCAAUUUACCACCAGAAGGAGCAACAAGAUUAGUAGGAAGUGAAGAUAUAGAAAUGGUUGGAGCUGCUUCAACAUCUACAACAAACCAUAUCCUUUCUUCUAUGGUGGAAUGCCCUUCCAGUGUUAGAGAAUCAAGAAUUGAACUACCCGAGAAGUUUGAUGGCACUAGAUCCAAGUUUCGAGGAUUUAUCAAUCAAGUGUAACUUGUGAUUGAACUUCAACCCCAAAGCUAUCCAACUCCAGGAUCGCAAGUUAGAUUCAUUGGUACACUUCUUUCAGAUUCAGCACUAUCGUGGUUUUCAUCUUUUCUUGAAUGACGAGAUCCAAUAUUGGAUAAUUUAGAGGUUUUUCUGGCAAAGUUUCAAUCCAUAUAUGGAAAACAUGAUGCAAUUCAUGUUGCAACCAAUAAGAUCUAUGUUUUAUGACAAGGCAAUCGAUCAGUAACGUUGUAUGCUUCACAAUUUUGACAACUGAUAUCAAGUGGGAUGAUGCUGCACUUAUUAGCCAAUUUCUCUAUGGAUUACAAUAUGAGGUAAAAAAAUUAAUGCUCAACUUACCUGAUCCUCAAACAUUGAGUCAAGCAAUUAACUUUGCUGUGAAGCGCGACAAUCACUUUUUUGAAUUUCGAUCUGCGAACCGUAUAAGUGGACCUCAACGUUACCAUAAUUCAAUGGCAACACCAACACCUCUUCAACACAUACAUUCGAAAGUAGAUGAUAUGCAAAUUGAUACAAUACGUUUCAAACCUCUUACUGAGCAAGAAAAGACUCGUCGUCGUCAAGAAAGAUUAUGUUUAUAUUGUCAAGAAUCAAAGCACACUGCUCAAUAUUAUCCAAAGAAAUGACGCAAUCACAAAAUGAGGAGUAUGGCUGUGAAAGAAGAAAAUAUGUCAAAAAACGAGUUUAUUCAGCUACAAUAGGGAUAGUGCGACUGGAACCUUGCACAAUAUCUAGUAAAAGUCCUAUUCUCUCUUCAGAGCCUUCUCCUUGUUUUACAUCAAAUAUUAUUUUAGGACCUAAAUAUUACAUAGCCUCUACCUUAUUAGAUUCAGGAGCCUCAGCGUAUUUCUUAAAUGAAGAAUUUACUAAAAGACAUAGCAUAUUUUUAAUAAAGAAAACUAAACCUAUUCAUGUAGAAGUCAUAGAUGGUCGUCUAUUGUCUUCUAGAGAUAUUACUCAUAAAACCCUUCCUAUAGAAGUAAUAAUCAAUGGUCAUAAUAGCUUUGUAGUAUUCAAUAUCAUUAGAUCUCCCUCUAAUCCAAUCAUUUUAGGUUUAUCAUGGUUAGAAAAAUACAACCCUCAAAUAGAUUGGAUUUCUCAAACUCUUACUUUUUCUAAAAGUAUAACUAACAGUGUAGUUAAUCAAGUAGAGAGUCAUAAGUCCAGUUCAAUUAAACCCGUAUUUAUAGGUGCAAAAGCUUUCUUGCAUGCUGCUAUGAAAGAAUCACCAUAUAUUAUUUAUGCCACACCUGUUUAUACUGGUGGAAAGACUUCAAGUGGCAUUCCAAGCCAAUAUCAAGAAUUUUAAGAUGUAUUCAAAAAAAAGAAUGCGGAUACAUUCCCGGUGUCGUAUUACGUGUUGUCUUGUUCGGAAAUACACUGGGUAUCUGGCUGUGGAAGGUAUAGUUGUUUUUGCAAAUAACAAAGAAAUCCUAAUAGAUUUUAUCCAUGUAUGAAGAAUAUAAUUGAAAUAUCAAUUUCUAAGUAUUUAAAAACACUCCUCAUAGUCAUUUUAACCAUACAAUAUUCCAAUUGCUUUAUUUCUUUUAUAAUUAAGUUGUUUUUGUUUUUCUUAACAAGCCCUAAUCCUAGCCAGUGAGCUUUGACAAGCUGUAACUUUUGAUCCAACCGUCCACUUAGUGUGAAAUUUUGCACCCAAAUACUUGUAUAAGCCUUCUAUAUGCUCAGAAAAUUUCAGCCCAACCCAACUUACAGAUUGUAAGAAAACGCCCAAAAAAACCGCACUGAUGACACUCGGCCGCAACCUUGAAAUUUGAUGUAGAAACUCCAGAAGUGAUUUCUCUUUUGUCAACCGUUAACUCCAGCUCAAAAUUGAAUAGCCGCUUGAUCUCCAAAUCUUCUAUUACCAAGCCAAAAAUUACGUCGAUCCAAUUAGUAGAUCUUCAGAUAUCACAAAAAUCCUAUCCAACCCUAGAUUGCCAACUUCCGACAACCCUUUAUACUAAAACCCAGAUAUCUCCUGAUUGCAUUGUUAGAUUAACACAAAUUUUUGUAUACACUUAGCACACCCAUCUAUCCAGAUAAUACUAAAUUUUGAUCUAUAGAUUCUACACGACUUGUACAAACCGAUUGAGAAUGCAAACCAUCAAUGUUUUAUAUAAAAUCCGAAACACCAAAAUAAACACUGACUUUGAGUAGCGAUUGCUCUCCCCUCACAAACCCUAAUGAAACCAAACUAGUGACCUUGAAAAGAGCUUGAAGCUAGUUCUUCGAUCCAAAAAAACCCGAUCUGAAAAAAAUCCUCCCUCCUAUUUCUUAACCUUCCUCCCCUUUAACCCUAAUGAAACCAAACUAGUGACCUUGAAAAGAGCUUGAAGCUAGCUCUUCGAUCCAAAAAAACCCUCACUGAAAAAACCCCCCUUCAUUUCUUAACCUUCCUCCCCUUUAACCCUAAUUCUCCCCUCUUUCAAAUCCUAGCCUCUAAAUUUCUUCAAUCUUCCAUCUUGGAUCUGGAAUUGGCUCCUUCCGUCUUGGAUCCGGAAUUGGCUCUUUCCGUCUUGGAUCCGGAAUUGGCUCCAUUGUCAGAGCUUUCUCCUCCAUUUUUACCUUUAAGAGAUCCUUUUACCGAAAGGACGUCCCCGGAACAGCCUGAAACGGAAUCGGAGCCCCGUAAUCGGGACAACAUUGAGUCGCCCGACCAAUUCAGGUCUCAUAUUGGAUAAGAGGCCCGUAGUAAGACCUGGAUGAUGCCACAAUUGGACCGCAUUGGGCUGCCCGAUCAAUUCAGGUCUCAUAUUGGGUAAGAGGAUCCGGAUUGGAUUCUUGAAAUUAGAUCCAAUUGGCUCUUCGAACCAGGCUCACCCGUCAUGUGAAUUGGUCCUUUCCCUUCCUGCUGACUCCCGUUAUUGGAAUCGAACGGUGCAUUUCAGUAUGCCCCGACUGACUGUAACGGGGUGACUGAACCUAGCCUCUCAGUAUUUGCACUGGAAUUGGUCGUUGCUCUCAAUAUUCGAGGUAAGUGAACAUUAAUAAAAGUCCUCUUUCUUUAUAUUUUCACAGUAUACUCGCGUUACAACAUGACACCAAAAAAUUGUCUCUAUGAUUGCUCAAUUGACCUUCAAGACGGAGCACAACCGCCAUUCGGACCAAUCUACAGUUUAUUACAAAAUGAGUUGACUGAACUCAAGGAGUAUAUUGAAGAAAAUCUAGCCAAGAAUUUCAUAUGCCAUUCUAAAUCUCCGGAAUGAGCUCCAAUUCUAUUUGUGAAGAAAAAAGAUAGAUCAUUACAAAUUUGUGUUGAUUAUCAAGGACUCAACAAGAUUACCAUGAAGAAUAGGUAUCCACUACUUUUAAUAUCUAGACUUCUUCAUCAACCGAAUCAAGUUAAGAUCUAUACAAAAAUAGAUCUCCGAGGAGCAUACAAUCUAAUACGCAUCAAAGAAGGAGAUGAAUGGAAGACUGCGUUUUGAAUUAGGUAUGGAUAUUUUGAAUAUAAUGUCAUGCCUUUUGGACUUACAAAUGCACCAACAGCUUUUCAACCUUUAAUGAAUGAUGUUUUUUGAGAGUUUUUGGAAAAUUUUGUGGUUUAUUAUCUAGACAACAUCUUGAUCUAUUCUAAGAAUCCAGAAAAAUAUGAACUUCAUGUUCGUCGUGUGUUACAAAAAUUAAGAGAUACAGGACUCUAUGCCAAGAUAGAAAAGUGUAUAUUUUAUACUACUCUAGUCGAUUUCUUAGGUUACAUCAUUUUAAAUGAUGGACUUAUGAUGGAUCCUAAAAAAGUUCAAACUAUUAUAGAUUGGAAGAUCCCAAAAAUGAUAAGAGAUGUCCAAUGCUUUUUGGGAUUUGCCAAUUAUUAUCGGAUCUUCAUCAAGGACUUCUCUCAAGUUGUAGCUCCACUUAUACAUUUGACUUGUAAAGACAAACUCCAAUGGAUUCAAGAAGCGAAAGUUACUUUUGAAUCUUUAAAGAAAGCGUUUGUUUCUACACCAAUCUUAUAUCAUGUUGAUUUUUCCAAAGCAUUCUUUGUAAAAACAGAUGCAUCAGACAUUACUUUAGGUGCAAUUUUAUCACAAAUGGGAGCAGAUGACAAACUUCAUCCAGUAGCCUUUCAUUCAAAAAAAUUCUCAGCAGCACAAAUUAAUUAUGAGAUCCAUAACAAAGAACUUCUUGCAAUUGUGGAUUCUUUUGAAGAAUGGCAUCUUUAACUAGAAGGCGCUUCUAGUCUAGUCAUCAUGUAUAUGGAUCACAAGAACCUCAAGUAUUUUAUGUCAACACACGUAUUAAAGUGUCGUCAAGCUCGUUGGAGCAUGUUUUUAUCAAGAUUCGAGUUCAUCAUUACUUAUCGGCUACAAAAAUAAGAAGGUUUGUCUGAUGUCUUAUCUAGACGUUCUUAUCUUGCACCAAAAGAAGGAGAUGUAGCUUUUGAGCAACAAAGAACGGUUCUCUUGAAGCCAAAGCAAUUUCAUCUUCGAGCAAUAAAAUUAAUAUUGACUGUUGAUUUAACUUUUCUUAAGCAAGUCUAGUCAAGUAUGUCUUCAGACCCUCUUGUUCAUGAUAUCAAGAAUAAUUCUUCUAAAUCUCAUGAUUUCUCUAAAUUUGAAUUCAAGAACAACCUACUCUAUUUUGAAGGACGCCUUUUUGUUUUGGAAGGAGAAGUACGUUUACGUAUUCUUCAAGCUCGUGACAACUUCCCAGCAGUAGGACAUUUUGGAUAUAAUAAGACUUUGGAGCUGAUAUCUAGGAAUUUUUGGUGGCCUCAAAUGUGGAAGGCAGUUAAAGAUUUUGUACAAUCAUGUGAUGUUUGCUCAAGAUCAAAAACUCCUCGUCAUCGACCUUUUGGACUUCUUCAGCCAUUAUCCAUUCCAGAACAACCAUGGUCUUCUGUUUCUAUGGACUUCAUCACGGAUCUUCCAAUCUCAGUUCUUAUGACUCUAUAUUCGUGAUAGUAGAUCAUUUUAUCAAAAUGGUAUAUUUUGUACCAUGUAUAAAAUCUAUCACAAGUGAAGAAACAGCUAAGCUCUUUCUUGACAAUAUCUAUCGCUAUCAUGGAUUAUUCAAGGAUAUUAUAUUAGAUAGGGGAAUUCAAUUUAUAUCAAGAUUUUGGCGGACUCUUUUCAAGAUUCUAAAAGUGAAUAUAAAACUAUCUUCGGCAUUCCAUCCUCAAACUAAUGGACAAACAGAGCAUGUUAAUCAAGUUUUGGAGCAAUAUUUAAGAUGUACCAUUAACUACCAACAAGAUGAUUGGACAACUCUUUUGCCAUUAGCAAAGUUUGUUUACAAUAACACGGUAUAUUCGUUUACAAAUCAAACACCUUUCUUUGUUAAUUAUGGUUAUCAUCCAUGACUUGAUACUUUUGGCUUUUCAAAAGUUGAUAAUCCUGCUGUGAAAGAUUUGGUGAUUCAUUUAUCAGAGCUACAUGCAACAAUGAAGGCGCAGUUAAAAAAGGCUCAAGAACAACAAAAGGUCAAUGCGGAUGUCUAUCGAAAGGAACAACCACCAUUCCUCUUGGGUGAUAAGGUAUGGCUACUUCGUCACAAUAUCAAGACCACUUGUCCUUGUGACAAGUUGGACUAUCAAAGACUUGGAUCAUUUUCUAUUUCUGUACAAAUGAAUCUAGUUGCUUAUCAUUUAUAUCUAUAGGAGUCAAUGAAAAUCCAUCCAAUAUUCCAUGUGUCUUGUCUUGAACCAUACAAGACAGUGGAUAUACAAAGAAGACGACAAGCUCCAUCUCCUCCUAUAGAAGUGGAUAAUAAUGAAGAGUUUGAAGUAGAAGAAGUCUUAGAUUCAAGGCGGCGCCAAAAUAAAUUGGAAUAUCUUGUCCAUUGGCACAGAUAUGAUAUUAGUGAACAUACAUGGGAGCCAAUAAAGAAUCUUGUAAAUGCAGCAAAGGCGGUAGAGGCUUUUCAUCGACGACAUCCAUCAAAAUCAAGAUAAAAACCUUCUUUAUAAAAGAAACAACAUCUAGGCAAGAUAACAUUCUACUUUCAAUCCUUGUUCGUAGCUGUGAUUGCUCAUUUUACUUAUUCCAAAAGAAACCUCUCAAAAUAAACUCAUAUAGGGAGAUUCGAAUACGGGAAAUGACCAUGUAUAUGAGCUCCAAUUGUUAGGAUCAUGCAAUUAACUGCUACUGCUGAAUGCUUAUCAUACCAAAGAACACUUAACUUUUCCUCCUACUGUCCACUCUCUCAUAUCAAUAUUAUAACAUCCACGAAAACGAUUUCAGUACCCUGUGUAAUUCACGAACACACAAGCAUAUCCCAAACCCUAGAACGAAUAACUUUCAAUCUACAGAAUCUAAUCAAGACAAUUCCUUCAAUUACAAUUCCUCUCCACUAAACUUACAACCUUGCGAUAAAUAGUGACUACAAACUUUCAUACGUCCUCAAUCUUUCACAACAAUUGAUAAAUAGUGAUCCAUAAAUAACUUUAUAAAUCAAACAUUAAUUCAUUAAAUCGAUUCUCUUCACUAGAAUCAAUACUAACACAAAAGAAAUAAGAAAAUUAAGAAGAAGAGAUAGCACCAAGCUUAUCUCCAGUCAAUACAAUCGUAGUCUGGCAUUUUCUUCCCCUCUCCCAUCCUCCUUAUACUACCCCGAGAUACCAAUUCCUAUACUACAGAUGAUAAUUACUUUUCCUGACUAUUCAUCCAUUCUACGUGCUGAACUACCUUUUCAGCAAUUAUCUAUCCCUCUUUACACUAUACACUAGGUAUCUACAUUCUGAAAAUAACUACUUAUUCUACAUAGCCCCACUCUUAAUUGUGCAGCGUCCUCGCAAACACUCAAUUGAUACCUAUCUAAAAAUUAUCUGAGAAAACUCUAUAAAAAUUGCGAUCCUUCUGGCCUAUCUAAUUAAUCAAUUGCCGCAGUAUGUGUUAUUGAUUCCACGAAUUCUAGUUCCAACUGCAAAUCUUCAUCUUCCUCCAAUCCUUUCAUCGGCUCCUGCCUCAAUUGAGCUGAAAGGUCAUCAUUAUAUUUGCCCAGUUCACAGACUUGAGCUUCCAAUUUCAAGAUCUGGGCAUCUCUCAAUUCCAACUGGUGCUGAAAGUGACUCCUCUCUUUUGGAACUUCGGAAACUGGCAAUGUCGAUACUUGUGCUUGACCAAUAUUGACUAAAUCCUCUAUCAAUCUUGUCACCUCGGCAUUCAAGGCCUCAAUUUUAGCCCUUAAUUGCUCCAUUUCACAUAUAUAUUGGUCACUCAAUACCAAUCUCUCUUGCGCCAAUAACUCGAUCUUUUCUCCUUCCAUUAUCAACUGACCCUUCACUUUUUUCAGUUCCAAAAUUGAAUGACUGUGAGCCCGGAAUAGUUCUUGCUUGUAGGUUUCCACCAUGCACUCUCUUUCUUUGUUCCAAGCUUCAUGUUGUUUCCUAAUUUGUCACUUUAAUAGCAGCUUGGAUUCCACAUUCGCCUAGAUGAUUCGUUCUUGCUCUUCAAUUCUUCGUGUUUGCUCCGACAUCACCUUUUUGCUUGCCUCUAAUUCCAGUUUAUCACUGCCCUCUACAUCCAAUACUCGUACCAUGCAAUGUAUUUGUAAAAUGUACUUCAAUAAAGAAUUUUUAAGAUGUAAACCUUCCAAAAGUCGGCCCUGUGGAAAUGCUAACUGAUUGAUAUCUAACAACAUUGAGACUUCAUUCUCCUCCUCCACCACCAAAUGAAUCGGAUCCAUUUUUGGUGCCACUGGACGACUGGAUUUCCCAAUUUCAUAUAUUACCUCCGUUGUAUUGACAUUCUGUGCCAACAAAUUUCAUUCUCGCUGCGGAAGCACUGACACUGGUUCAGAACUUCCCUCUACUGGUGAUGUUUGUCGCAAUGUAUAUGCGAUCACAGCAUACACAUAAUUGGAACAUAGCAACGCUGUAAACUUCCCUAUUUUGCGCUUGGCUCCCAUUUCAGCAUGAAUAUGGGUUGUUAUAUAAGUUGCCCAAUUGAACACCAUCCCUUCAAACGUUCCUACCAUUGCAAACAUUAACCAUCUUGACAUAUAUGUGUUGUGUCGAUACAACCCUAGAUGCCUCAACACGAAGCGCAACCAUUCCAUGAGCUCUGGUGUAAUUGCCUCACUCGUCCGCCAACCUUGGUUCUUCUCAAACAAUGAUAUGCCACUUUUGAAAUAACUACCCGGUCGGAAGUCACUGGACUCCUCAACACCCAUCGCAAUCUCUCCAACUGAAAGAAACAAUACUUUUUCGAGGAUCUUCUCAUCAAUAUCGAUAACGCACCCUUGUACUAUGCUCGAUCCAUCCUAUGAAUCAUAGUUCGCGAUGUAUUCUUUCACUAAUGCCAUAUUAAUUGAAGGCAAACUAUCUGACCUUCACAAAAACUGAAACAUUUACGCGUUUUAAAAAUCUCGUAUUCUCUUUGGCAUCGAGCAAAUCUCUAGCUUCAUAGGCUCCAUAUUGGUAACGAUUACUACGGAUGGUGGUCCUAAAUUACAUUUAGCUUUCACAUUUCAGCCACUUUUUUCUCUGUCCGCAACUCUCUUUGCACUCUCCAUCGUCAUGAUGCACACUCUUUCAAGCUCUAACCGUCAAUACUAUGCUCCAGUACUCCGAAACACCCGGAAUUGUAACACCAAAAAGAAACAAUAAUAGAAUGCGACAACUGAGAAUAACCAUAAAUGGGUGCCCCACUCCUAUUCUUUUACCUAAUGGUGAUAAUGACAACAUGUUAUCCCUAUUGUCCGUUUCUCACCCCCGUCCCAUCUGACAUAUUAGUAAUUACUCACUAUCCUUUCAGCCACCUCUAUACCCUAACGCACUUAAUUAGGUCUAUCCUAAGUACAUUCGACGUGACCUCCUCCAAAAAUUGAAAACGUAUCCCAGGUUUUACAUAUGAUAUAACCGUAAUCGAUUCCCAUUAAUGCGGAUACUGAAUCGAUGACCCAUGAAAUCCUCCAAUUAAACAGACCCAUUGAAAAAUCCUUCAAUUACACGAUAUGGCCCAUGCCAACGAACUUGAAAUUUACCCGAAAAAUGAUUAAACCUGCUAUCAUACAACAAUACCAAAUCAUUGGGCAUAAAACUCUUCGGACGCAGUUUACUAUCAUAGUAAUUCUUCCGCCGUUUUUGAGUUGCUUCCAUGUUGAAGAGAGCUCUAGCCCGUAUUUCAUCUAAUUUGUUCAACUCUGCCAAUUGAUAUUGAAGUGAUUCCUUAUCUCGAAGACGUUCAUCCAAUGCAAUGCGCAAACUCUGAACUUCCAAUUCAAUGGGUAAUAUUGUUUCUUGCCCGUAUACCAAUUGGAAUGGUGUGGAAUUGGUAGUAACUUUAUAUGCAGUAUGAUACGCCCACAAUGCCGCAAACAAUUUAGUAUCUCAAUCCGUUCCCACGCCCGAUAUUGUUUUGGUUAAAAUCUUAUAUAGAAUACCAUUGGUCUUUUCCGUCUGCCCAUUGGCCUGAGGAUGAUAUGGUGUUAUUUUCCUGUGCUUGAUUUUGUAUGUGUUCGUCAAGGCUGCUAUAGUAGCAUUUAUGAAAUAGGUGCCACAAUCGCUAACCAAUUCCUUCGGACAUCCAAAUCGAGUAAUAAUAUUCUCGUAUAGAAAUAUGGCCACCGUACUGUCAUUAUCAUUGUGGAUAGCAAUAACCUCCACCCAUUUGGUUACAUAGUCCGUGGCGACUAAAAUAUACCGCUUUUGUCUAUAUCUCGAUGUUGGUGCAAUGGGUCCAACAAAAUCAAUUCCCCAUUUCUCAAAUGGUGCUUAUGCCAAGAUUGGUACUAACGACAUCGUUGAAGUACUAGUGGGUCGACCAAUUCGUUGACAAGGAUCACAACGAUGAACAAAUUGGUGUGCAUCAGAAAACAUUGUGGGCCACCAAUAUCCGGCCAUUAAAGCCUUGCGAGUAGUACUGUCUCCCGCAAAAUGUCCACCACAACUAUCCAAAUGACAUCCUUCCAAAAUUAUAUGAACUUCACUUUGAAAGAUGCAACUGCAUAAAAUUCCAUCCCGCCUUUGUUUGUACAAGGCAUCUCCAAUCAUGGUAUACAGCGCACUUUUUAAAAUCAGAUGCUUCUUUAAUUUUUCAUUAUAAGAAAUGGAAAAAUUCUGAAACGUUAGAUAUUGGAUCAAUUCACCAUAUUCGGGUGUAAUGACAUCCACAGCGAAUAGUUGUGCAUCCGAAAGAGCAUCGUUUAUCGGCUCAUUACCCAGUAUAUUAGAUAACUGGGAUAAGUGAUCCGCAUUGGCAUAUUUCUUAUCGAGUCGAACAUUAAUUGUAAAGUUGAAUUCCUGUAGAAGUAACAUCCAUCGAGUAAUUCGUCCACUCAAUUGAGGUUUAUUUAUCAUGUACUUAAGGACAUCAUAAUCAACGUGGAACACAAAUGAGUAAAUAAGUAGAUAGUGGGAGAAUUUCUGUACAAAGUAGAUCAUUUUGAGGGCCUCUGGCUUGGUAAUAUUAUAAUUUCGUUCUGUAGCAAUGAAUUAUCGGCUCGCAUAAUAUAUGGGAUGAUCUAAUCUUUUUUCAUCCUUUUGAAUGAGAAUAGAUCCAAUGGCAACAUUGGACGCGUCCAUAUAGACAUGAAAUGGUUUUGUCCAAUAAGGUGUUACAAGAAUUGGGGCAGAUACCAAUUUCCGUUUCAAUUCGUCGAAUGUGAAAGUACAGUCUUUAGUCCAUAUUGGGCUAGACCUGUCUGACGAGGGUUUCUUUAAUAAGUGGAUUAACGAUUGAUAGAUAACCGCAAAGGAUUCAAUAAAACACCGAUAGUAGCUGACAUGGCCGAUGAAACCGCGUACGACCGACUCCGUAUCUGGCUUUGGUAAACCCAAUAUACAAGUAACUUUAUUGGGGUCCAUAGCGAUACCUUCAACAGAGACAAUGUGUCUCAAUAGCUUUCUCGAUGGUAUGCCAAAUUGACACUUCUCUGAAUUUAGAGAUAUCCCAUACUUGUCGCAUUGAUUCAAAUAGUUAUCCAGGUAUGCUAGAUGUUUAGCCGUUGUGCUAAAGGUGCAGAAAUCGUCCAGAAAUAUCUCCAUUGAUAAACGUAGGUAAUCUUAAAAUGCUUGUGUCAUUAUCUAUUGAAAAGUAGUCGGGGCAUUACAUAAUCCAAAUGGCAUUACUUUGUAGGUGAAUGUCCCCUAUUCUGUGGUAAACAUAGUCUUCAAUUAGUCUUCUUCGAUAAUUUUAAUUUGAUUAUAUCCCAAAAAUCCGUCCAAAAAUGAGUAACAUUCAUGUCUGGCUACUACGUCCAAAAUACUAUCUGUGAAUGGUAACGGAAAAUAGUCCUUCUUAGUAGCCGCAUUUAACUUUCAAAAAUCUUGACAUAUCCUGAUUUUUCCAUUCUUCUUCGAUACCAUCACGAUUGGCGACAUCCAUGCACUAUGCGGAACAAGAUAAAUAAAAUCCACAUUGAGAAGUUUAUCCAAUUCCUCUUUCAUUAAAAAGAAAUAUUUUGGGUUAAGCCGGUGUUGUCUUUGACGAACUGGCAUAACACCCUGCUCCAGAAUAAUCUGCUGCUCACACACGUCAGCUAGAAUCCCUUUCAAAUCCUCAUAUGACCACGCAAAGGCAGAUUUGUGAUGGACGAAAAAUUGUUUCUAAGCAUCCAAUUCUGUACCGAUAAUACCAGCAUAUAUUUUAAUUAGCUAUGGCAUUUUGUUGGUGCCCAAGUUAAUAGAUAGACACACAAGGUCUUCAACAACCUCUGAUUUAAUUGUCUUCUCCUGAUCUAAAUUUCUUGUAUUAUCCGACAUAUGGGAACCACCCAAAUCUGGUGCCAAUAAGCUGACUCUAUUGACUGCGGAAUUUUUCAUCCAUUCGACAAUAGCAUGAUCCGAGUUAGUCGCAUCCUCCUGAUGUAGUAAAUAUUCGCUGAGACUUCCACAUUGGUAGACUCCUACCUUUGCUGUUCAAGUGUUUUGUCCUACCCCAAAUUGCAGUGAACCUAUAGCAUCGUCAUCUACCUCAAUGGAUUGGUUCUUCUUGUCCGAUAUAAAUUCUGAUUUUGGCAAUUGAGAUUCUCCAUGAUAUUGUACCGGAUACAUCUGUAGAACAAUCUGGUCUCAGCCUUUUCCAAUUGUCAAUGUGCCUCGGCCUCAAUCGUUCUUAGCUUUGGCUUGAGAAAGCCAAGGUCUGCCCAAUAAAAUGGGAUACGAUAACGUAGAACUCUGUAAUCGAAUUACAAUAUAAUCAAUUUUGUAUGUCAAUCCCGCAAUUACAAUGGCAAUAUUGCGUAAGAUUCCCAUUGGCUUUACCCGACUAUGAUCUACCAUUCGCAAGUCCAAUGUCGUAGGUAGCAAUUGCUUUAGAUCCAAGUCCUCUAUUAUAUCCGAGUUCAUUAAAUUCACACUGGAGCCACCAUCGACUUGUUCUCCUGGAAUUAAAAGGCCAUCGAUUGAUACAUCGAUUGUUGAUGCUCCCGGAUAUGGGUUUAAGCUAACUUCAUGAAUUUCUUUAGUGUGGGAUCUUCGUCGUAUUAACGCUGUAUUCAAUGUAGAUCGACAUUUCGAUGCUAUAGCCAAAAGUUGCUUCAUUGUAAUUGAAGGCUAAAUAACAUUCAAAUCCCUCAAAACGUCGUAGAGUUCCAUAUUGAGAGUAAUUUCCAAUGCUCUUUUAUGUUUCAUUGGUUUUGAUUUUACUCCAUUCGACAGCAAUUCCUUCAUGGCGAUUGGGAUUGCCGUUGAUAACUUUACCAAUUUGUUUCCCACUAAAGGUUCCUUUAAUGCGUAAGAUCUUUUAUUGGGCUGUAUAGGUAUUGGUAUUUGGUCAGUUGGGAUUGAUCUUGAUGGUCUCGGUAAAUUGGCAUGUGGGAUCGAAUUGGGUUCCUCAGUCUGUUGAGGUCUCAAUAUUGGGAUACGUCCUGAUAUUGAUAUUGGUUCAUUUAGCCCCAUGGACGGCACUACUUGCUCUCCUGCGAUUGGUUCAUCCAUGUCCUGAAUUGGAUUCUUGUCUUUUUGUUGGCCUCUCGUAAGCACUGUGUUCACUACCUCGACACGAUGUACUGGUGAAUCUCGUUGAACAUGGCCUUUGUCCUCCGUCGGUUGGCUUGUUUGUAUUUGCUGAUUCCGAUAAUUAUUAUGAUUAAACGACGCAUUGCACGACUGAUUAGUGUAACCAGAUUGCUUACAAUUUCCACAUAUUGGAAUAUAGUCAUCACUGGCCCUUGGAUUAGGACAUUCACUUAUAUAAUAUCCGAUUUAUCUGCAAUGAUAGCAAUAAAGUGGUCUCCUGCCAACUCCUUCAGGGAUAAUGGAUGUCUCUACUGGUAUAUAACGGCUAGGUCUAUUCCAUGUCAGAUGAGUAAAGGAUCCUGGUUGAUCCAUUGUUACUGUAGAGUCUGGCAUUGGCUUCGUCAUGGGUGGAUAUUGAUGGUAUCUUGGUUGGUUCAUCGCCAAUCAAUGAGUAUUGGAUAUACCUUCUUGGUAAAAUUCAGAUUUGAGGAAAUUAGAAUAAUUCCUGUUUUGUUUAUUCGCUCGAUUUCCAUUCCAGCCAAACCUAUUAUUCGUCUAUACUUCAUUGACAUCCCACUAAGUUGGUUGAGUCAUUAUCUGGUUACUGAGUUGUUGUUGCUUUCGUAAAUUCCAAUAGUUGGUGAUAAUAUGCUUGCCCCCGUAAAAGAUAUAUUGUACAAUCAUUUGAGGUGGUGAAGGACAUUCUGUUAUUAAAUGACCUUGCCCCUUACAAUUGCUUCAUCAGACAUUGGGACGCAUAUUGGUUGGUUUAUGCCUUUUUUCUUUAUCCUUGGCCAGAUUCACAACCAAUUCAUCCAUUUUUUUCGUCAAUGUUAACAACAAUGACUCAUUGGGAUCCCUUGAUACCAAUGGAUUUGGCAAUUCUUUUAUAGGUAUUGGUUUCUGAUAUGCGGAAUAAGGCGCAUACAGGUGUGAUAAUGAUGGUUGUACAGCUUACAAUGGAACGGCAUCCACUAUUCCCUGUGGAAUUGUACCAUAAUCAUUCCUUCCCAGAUAACUUUCCGAUGCGUCAUUCCAAUUUGUCAUUUGAUAACCUCCUUGAGAUGGAAUCAUCGUGGCUCCAACUGUUAAGUUCUGGUCAUAGUGACAUUCCUCCCAUACUUUUGCUCGCUCAAGAGAUGAUGCAAUGGUGGCUGAUUGGACCUCCUUUACAAACAUUUUCAAUUUUGGUGGAUGUAGUCCAUUAACCAAUAUGGACAACAUAAAUGAUUCCGACAUUUGAUUAUUUGGCCAUUUUUGAAGUAUAUCCGCUACACGACCAUAAUAUGAUUGUACCGCUUCCCCUCGUACCAUUCUGCUGUUCAUUAAUUUUUCUCUAAGACGUUCUUCAAAACCAAUUGGUCGAAAAUGGGCUAAAAAUACAUUUUUCAAUGCCUCUCAAUUGAUAAAUUGUCCCACAGGUUGGCGGUUAUACCACUCAAAUGCUGUGUCUUUCAAUGUUGCUGGCAGCCAUCUCAACCAAAUGUCUUCUUUUCUUCCAUUAUUGGCUACACAUGUCGUCAAGAAUUGAGACAAAUGUUGAUCUGGAUCCGCACCUAGCAAAUCCCAAAAAGUAGGUAAUGGCGUGAUGCUAGUCGUUCGAUCGCCCACUGUACCUAUUUGAAUUGCAAUCGAAACUGCUAGUCCUCCGGACGUCAUUAAAGAUGUCGGUGUUCUACUCAAUUUCUUAUUAAAAUAAAAAUUUUCUUCCACAAAAGUCUUUUUCAGACUUCCAGGCCUUCUCGAUUGAUUAUUAUUAUUCCCAAAUAAUUUUACUGGUUGAAUAUGAGGUGAAAACGACAGGUUUUGAUAUACUCUAAAUUGGUCUUUAUUGGCAAUUGAUUUAUGUCGAUCUUCAGAACUAGUCUUGUUAGGAUCGAACAUAUUUCCAAUUGAGAAGAUACCCAAUGGGGUACCUAAUUCCUCUAUGCCUUCCUCAUUUUUUGUUAACGGCUUCGAGAGGUUUGUUGGACUAUUAGCAGUGCUCCCCGUGAGUGCUCUUGGUAAUUUCUUUAAUGGUAUAUACUUCUGAAAUAUUAGAGGUCGAUCGUCUUCUGGGUAUGAUCGAAUAUGCCAUCAGGCAUGCAACGAUGACUUAAUCCAACUUUCUCGAUGCUUCUUUUUCAAUUUGUGAUCUUGCUCAUUACGUAAUAAAUUUCUUGCUUUUGAUUUCUCUGCUCUUUCCUUUGAUUACUUUAUUCUCUUUGCUGUUAAAUUUUCAUUCUUAAUAACCAUAAUCUUUCAUUAUUUCUACUGAGUUUGCUUCCUAAUCUCCUUUACUGCUUCGACAAUUAAUUCCUAAUACUCAAUAAUGUUGUCAAUCUUUGACAGCGGUGCCAAAAUGUGAUUGCUCGUUUUACUUAUUCCAGAAGAAACUUCCCAAAAUAAACUCGUAUAGGGGGAUUCGAACACAGGGAAUGACCAUGUAUAUGAACUCUAAUUGUUAGGGUCACACAAUUAAUCGCUACUGCUGAAUACUUAUUAUACGGAAGAAUACUUAACUUUUCCUCCUACUGUCCACUCUCUCAUAUCAAUACAAUAACAUCCACGAAAAUGAUUUCAGUACCUUGUGUAAUUCAUGAACACACAAGCAUAUUUCAAACCCUAGAAUGAACAACUUUCAAUCCACAAAAUCUAAUCAAGACAAUUCCUUCAAUUACAAUUCCUCUCCACUAAACUUACAACCUUGCGAUAAAUAGUGACUGGAAACUUUCAUACGUCCUCAAUCUUUCACAACAAUUGAUAAACAGUGAUCCAUAAAUAACUUCGUAAAUCAAAUGUUAAUUUAUUAAAUUGAUUCUCUUCACUAGAAUCAACACUAACACAAAAGAAACAAGAAAACUAAGAAGAAGAGAUAGCACCAAGCUUAUCUCCGGCUCAGUACUAUUGCAGUCUGGCAUUUUCUUCCCCUCUCCCAUCCUCCUUAUACUACCCCAAAAUACCAACUCCUAUACUACAGAUGAUAACUACUUUUCCUGACUAUUCAUUCAUUCUACUUGUUGAACCACUUUUUCAGCAGUUAUCUAUCCCUGUUUAUACUAUACACUAGGUAUCUACAUUUUGAAAAUAACUACUUAUUCUACAGUAGCUUCUUUGUAGUUGUGAUGCUCAAGAGAUGGAGAACCAACAACCAAUGGAUUCGACUCAAGAGCCUUCAUUUGUUGACCUACCGGAUGAGAUAUUACGUUUAUCACAACCUUCAAGACGAUGCAAUCGAGAUGAAGAUCUUCAAGAACAACAUAUUCUUCCUCGAAUAGAUGGCAAGAUACAAUGCAUUUGGUAUCACGAUUUGGAAAGAGACUCUCGAUGUUUGGUGAUUCUACUAGAGGUAGAAACAACUCUUGAUGGUGUUCUAAAUAUUCUAUUCGAAAGAAGUUAUGAAGGCCUCAACAAUGAUCAAAUAAUUGGGUGGUCUUCCCGCCCUCAUAUGGGACACUACCGAUAGUUGAGAGGUCCUAUCAAUCAUCUUCGAAGAGAACAAAGAUCAGAGUAUGUGGCAAAUACAAUUCGUCGCAUCAUAGAUUUCCUCAACAUAUGAUGACCACUUUUCAUGGAACUUGUCCCUAGAAGGAGGAGUAAUGUCAUGGACAUACUCAUGUAAGCUAGUAAUUACAUAUACAAAUAGGUGGAAGUAAGUAAAAAUAGGUAAAAGUAAGUUAAUUCUAUAGUAUUUAAUAUGGAAGCUUCUUAGAAGCUUCAUAGAUGCUGCUUUGACUUCAUAGGUGUCUUUAAUUGACUUUUUGGAUUAGAAACGUGGUCAAUAAGUUGGCCAUGUGCCACACAUGUUGUUAGCUUGAAGAUCAAGCUAAUUAUGUGGCUCACAUGUAGAAAAACUUGCCUUGUAAGUCAAGGCAUGUCUCCUACAAAAUCAACACAUAUUGGAGGUCCUAUAGAACGUCGCCACGUAGCCCCUAGUUAGAUAGUAUAUAUAGAGACAAUAGUGAAGCCUUCUUCACUCUUAUCAACUCCUUUCUUACUUCCAGUCUAGUUUCAAGGGUCUCUAGUUUUCUUGUCAUUUGGCAAUAGCCAUUCCAGUUUUUCUUUCAAUAUAUAUACUUGUUUAUUUAUAUUUUGAUACUUUUCUUUGAGUGAAGGCUCACUUGUCUGAAUUGCUUUUUCAUCGAGUUCUUGUCUUUGACAAUGUGUUAUAAAAAUUAUAGAAGUUUCAUUAGUAUUAUCAUUAAAAAUUCAAAUCUAUUUUAAGAUAAUUUCUUUGUGAAGCUACUACUAAGAUGUUAUAUAUAAAGAAGAGAGUAUGUAUUGCUCAUACCAACCUUAGAAAUUAGUGUAUCUAAUUUAUAAUCCAAUAUAUUAAAUAGGAGAGUGUUUAAAGGGUCUUUAGAUUAUGAAUCUCAAAAUAGAGCUAGAAUUGGAGCUUUUUAUUAUUAUUAUUACUACUAGAUCAACUAUUCGAGUUCUUGCAACCUUCAUAAGAUCAUUCUUGAGAUUAUCUAGACUUUCUCAAGGGUGGAAACACCUAUUCUAUAGUCAAUUCAAAACUUUAAAGAUGAUGCUUGAAUUUUGGUCAUUUUAUUGUAAAUUUGAAAUCAAUGCUCUUUAUGGAAUACAAAGUUAGAAAAAAAAAUAAUGUUAUAAUCAUCCAACAAAAAUAUCUAAAGAAUAUUCUUAGAAUAUUUUAUUAAAUUUUAGAAGAUUUCAAUAGAUUUUAAAGAUAAUUUGAUAAGAGCUUUUAGAAGAUUUUAAAAAUAUUUUAAUAAAAGAUUCUUAAAAGAUUUUUAAAAUAUUUUAAAAAUAUCUAAAAGAUUUUUUAAAAUAUUUCAAAAAAAUUUAGAAAGUUCUAAGAGGAUUAAAGAAAUUGUUUGAGAAGCUUUCUAGGAUUGCUUUGUCUUCAAGCAACAAGAAAACUUCUCAAAAAACUUUUUAGGCUUGCUUUGUCUCUUAACAACAUGAAAACUUUUCAAGAAGCUUCUUAAAAUUGCUUUGUCUUCAAGCAACAUGAAAACUUCUUAAGAAACUUGUUAGAAUUGCUUUGUCUCUAAGCAACAUGAAAACUUCUCAAGAAGCUUUUUAAUACAUAGUAUAUAUUGGAAUUGAGGGUGAGGAGGUUUUUAGUUUGGACAACAUAUCUCUUAAAGCUCUAGUUUAUCACUCUUGGUGUUGAUCUUAUAUUCAUUUAGUUUAAUAAAUUUCUUGCUAGCUUUCUUAUUGAAACUCUUUUAUUUAAUUUCUUGUUCUUUCUUUUAUAUAAUGUAUCCAUGAUAGAUAAUAAGAAUAGGUAGAAAUAGGCAAAAAUAGAUUAAUUUGAUAAUAUCUUCUAGAAAAGGUUUAUAGAUGUGGCUUUCAUUUUAUAUAAGUUUGUAGUUGCUUGAUAGGUUAGAAACUUGGCCAACAAAGUAGAUAUGUAUUACAUGUAUUAGUAGCUUGUGGUAUAAGUUAUCUAUGUGGCAUAUAUAAAAUGAACUUGCCUUGUAAUUUAAGACAUGUAUCUUCUAAGUUAGACACGUGUUGAAGUUCAUAUAAAAUGUUAUUAGUUUUUAGUUAAAUAAUAUAAAUAAAGAUAAGAAUAAAGCCUUCUUCACUAUUGUUAAUACCUUUUUAAUCCUUAGUCUUAUUUCAAGUCUUUUUAAAUUUUUUUUCUUUGAUAAUAGUCAUUUUAGUUUAACAUUAUAUUAUCUUUGAAAGAUUAUUUAGUCUUUUUAUGUGACAUAAGAGUGUAUUGAUCUUUUGAUUAUUUGAGAUUCAUGUUCUUAACAAAUUGUUAUAUUGAUUUAAAAUUUUGUUUGAAGUUUUUUAACCACUAAAAAUAAGUGUAGCAUAAAUAACAAAAGAUGACUCUUCUUUUUCAAUAUGUAUGAAAGCUCUUGCACCUAUAAGUAAAAAUUUGGUUGUAUUAGACCUAUGACUUUUUAUUAGGUUAAUAAAAAUCUUGAAUAUACUAUGAAAAUAAUAUAAUCUAUUUGAUGGUUAUACUUUUUUAGUCACAAUUAAUCUAAAAUGACUAAGUUAGAAUAAGAUCUAAUAAUAUUAAAUAUUAGUAAGAUAUUAUAAUCAUUUUUUGUUAUAUCUACACAAAUAAUUUCAUAAAUAAUGGUUUUUUAAAAAAAUAAACAACCAUCUAUGACUUUUACAUGUAUAGGUUUAAUUUUCUUUACUAAGAAUAUAUUAUAUCUUUUAAUAAAGUCUUUAUUUAAAAAAAAAGCUAAAGUUCUUAAAUCUAAUAAGAUAAAGGCUUUGUGAUUUUUAAGUUUUAAAUAAAUAUUUAAUAUAAAAUAAGUUGAAGGUUUUGAAGAGAGGAUAUGAUCUUCAUUAGAUAUUCUAUAAGAUUUAAGUUGCAUGCUCUUUAUUGUAGCUAAAGAAUUUUGUUUUUCUAAGAUAUUGUCUUUAUUUAAUAUUCUACUUUUCAAUUUAUGGUUGCAUUGCUUCUUUGGAUAAUAUUGAUUAAUAUGCUUAGAUUUUGUACAAUAUAAGUACAAUCUAUCUUAACAACAUUAAAUCUUUUCUUACUUGGUGAAAGGUUUAAAGUAUGUUGCAUCAAUUUGCAUAGGUUCAAAUCUAGAUGAGUAAGUUUUUAGAAACUUAAGAGUUAUUUCCAUGACAUGAUUUGUUCUUUUCUAUCUACAUCUUUGUUUUUGGUGCCUUUUAAAGAGUCAAUUAUUACAUGCAAUAGCUUAAGCAAUAAAUCAUUUUAAUAAAUUAUCUUUUAAUAUUGUUAAUGAUAAAUCUUUAAUAUUAUACUUUAGUUUAUAUUAAAAUUGAUCAAAAAGGGCUUUAUUGUUUCAAUGCACAUUGUAAGGAAGGCUUUGGAAUUUAGCAAUAAAGGUGGUAGUUGAUUGUGAUUCGUAUUGUAAAGAUAAUUUUUUUUUUUGUAAGUAUUUUUUAAUUAUUUUUUCCAAAUAUAGUUAUAAAUAAUUUUAAGAAUAAAUUUGGAUUAUGUAAGAGUUAUGAAUCAUUUUCUAUCAAAGAUAAAAAUUAAAAAAAAAAUACUUCUAAAUAUGAAUGCACUUAUAAAUCCAACUUGAAUAAAUUCAUUAAGAUAUUAAAAAAGAUGUAACUUUAAAUAGAACAUGAUUUAUUAUAAAAGUAUUUAAAAUUUUGAUCUUGUCCCACUAAACUUCUUUGGCAUAUUAAUCUUUGUUUCUUUCAUACUUGUAGCAACAAAACUAUUUGGAUUUAUUUAUAAGAUUGUUUUUCUUACUUCUCUCAACAUCAUAACUUUUUGGUACAGAUAUUGAACUUUAUUCUUGAUUUCUUUCAUAUGUACAAGAAUAAUAUUUCUAUAAUUGAUAUUAGCAUACAAAUUUUUUUCUCUAAAAGUGUUGACAAGCUUGUAAAGAUUUGCAAUAGUUGCAAAUAUAUUUUUAAUUCUAUUAAAUAUAACAUCCAUAUAUUUUUUUCCUUCCUUCUUUAUAAUAGUCAAUCUUAAUAAAUUCAUAAGUCAAUUUAGAAGAGAGUAAUCCACAACCUCUAAUAUCAAAUAAAAAAUUCUACAAAGAAUAUUAAUCUAUUUUAUUAAAAGAAAGAAUAAUAUUAAAAAAAUAAAAAAUAUAUUAAUUUAAAAGUAGAUAGCUUGAAUUUUUAAAAUACAACAAUAAGAAGUAAGAUAAUUCAUUCAUUUCUAAAAUAAGAAUAAAAAAUUAGUAGUCUUAUUAAACUAUGAAGGAUAUGAAUCAUAACAAAACUAUACAAAAAAAAUAUACUUGUAUGAUAUUCAAAAAGAAAGGGUAGAUAAAUAAAAAAAUAAAUAUAAGAUAGACACUAAAAUGACUAUUGCCAAAUACAAGGAGACCUGAAAUUCUUGAGCUUAGAAAGGCAUUGAUAAGAGUGAGGAAGGUCUAUCUUUUGCCUCCAUAUGUAUACUAUCUAAUUAAUGAGUUAUAUGGCAAUGCUCAAUAAGUCAUUUAACAUGUGUCUAACUUAUGAAAUAUAUGUCUAACUAGCAAGGCAAGUUUCUAACAUGUGUAAUGCAUGGCCAACUUGUACAAUAAGUAACCAAAAUGUGUAAUAUGUGGCCAACUUGUUGGCCAAGAUUUUAACCUAUUAAUUACCUAUAAAUAUUUAAAAAUUCAAAUCCAUGUCUAUAAAGCUUUCAAAAAGCUAUUAUAUUAGAUAUUAUCAAAUUUAUUUACUUCUACUUAUUUCUACCUAACUCUUCUUAUCUUUACUAGUGUUGGUGUUUCUAUGACAAGAACAAAGAAUAAAUAUAUAAAUAAGAUCAAACAACUUAUAAUUGGCAUUAUUAGCUAUUAAAAAUAUAUUAAUAUUAGAUUAAUUCAAUAUAAUAAUUAUUUUUUAAGAUUUAAAAUUAAAAAAUAUAAAUCAUAAAAAAAAUUAAUUCUAAUUAUAUUAUUAUGAAAUUAUCUAAGAUUUAAUAGAAUUGUCUAUGUGAAACUAUUAUUAUUAAAAAAAAUAUGUAUGAAACUCUAUUCUAAAGUAAUUUUUAAUUCAAAAAAAUUCAAAUUUAUAUUUAAUUUAUUUAAAUAUUUUUAGUAUAUUUUUUUAUAAAUUAUAUAAUAAAUAUUUUUCUAAUAAAAAAUGAAUUUUAUUUAUAAAUUAAAAUUAAAAUUAGAUGGUAUAUUUGAACAAAAAUAAAAUAAGAGUAAUUACUUGAUAUUAAAAAUAAUAUUUAGAAAUUGACUACAUCAAUUUUUUUAUAUUAGUAAUUAAAUAAAGAACCAUCAAUAUACUAAUUGCAUUAAAAGCCAAUAGGAGUAAAAGUUACAUCAUAUAGAUAUUAACAAUAUAUUUUUUUAAUGUAAAUUUUAAAAUAGUAUCUAUAUCAAAUAAUCUUUGGAUCUAUAAAAAUUGGCUUCAAAUACAUUAUAAGUAAAUUUUAAAAAAUAUUGCAAGAUCUAAAGCAAGUUCCAAAAUUUUAAUAUGACAAGAUUAAUUUAUUCUUAGGAAUACUUGAUUUUAUUAUGGAUAAAGAUAAUUAAAAUUAGUAUAUGUUAAAUAGACUAUCUUGUUUAUUUAUUUAUUUAUUUUUCUAUAUAUUGACUACUUAGUGUUUAUAAGAAAAUAUCUUUUUCAAGUCUAGUGGCUCAAAAGAAAGGUCAUUAAUUAUUUUGAAAUGUUCAAAUUACCUAUAAGAACCAUCACAUUUUAUUCUAAAUAUAAGAUUUUAAAAUACUAAUAAAAAUCAUCUUAUUUUGAUGUAUAAAUAUAUUACAAAUAAUUAAUUAUUUUGAGAUGCUUAAUUUUAUCUUUGUCAAUACUCUAAUAGAAGAUAAUUAAAAGAUUAUAUUAGAUGUGGAAGUUCCAUUUGUUAAUGCCACAAGAUAUCAAAGUAUGGUAGUAAAGCCAAUCAACUUUACUCAAAUUAGUCUCAACAUCUCUUUGGCAAUAAAAAUUGUAUCCAGAUUUAUUUUUUAAAUCAUAAGAACUACACUUUUAAGCUAUUAAGUAUAUUGUUUGUUACAUUUUCUAUAACUAUAACUUAAGUAUUUUCUAUAAGAGUCUUUCUAAUAUAUAAAUAAUUGACUUUGUUGAAAUUCACUUACAAGAAGAUAAAAGAAAAGUAAUCUUAUCAAUCGCAAAUUAUCUAUGGUUUUUUAUAUUUAAUUUUAAUCAAAAAAAUCUUUUUAAAGUAUAUUUUGUUCUUAUUAUAAAAAAUUAGUGAACUAACAAAGUUUCUUGACAAUACACUCUUCAAAAAAAAUUAGCUCUAUUUAAAUGUAAUUUUGUGUAUUCAAAUAGAAAAUUUAAAAAUCCUAAAAAUAUUUAGACUACUAUGUCUAAUCCUUUUUGGAAAUCAAAUACUUUUAUUUACUCUUCUUUGCUACAACCUUAUUUUUUUUUAUUAUUUGCAAAAUAGAGAUUUAUUUAUAGCUUUUGGAAGAUUUAAAACAUCCUAGUAGCUAAAUCUUGAGUAUUCAAUAUCAAAUGUUGGAAAAUAAUCUUCUUCAUAAUAAACUCAAGAUUUCUUUCUAAAAUUUUUUUGUUAAUGCUUCUUAUUUCUUGGCAUAAUAAUAAAAAGAAGAUUAACUAAGCUUCUUUUAUCAUCUCACUCAUGCCUUAUCUUUUGUGACUUUCAAAGACUAACAAAUCCAUCCUUAUUUUUUCAUUUUUAGCACAAGAUACCUCAUACAAUACUUAAAGAUUUCAUCGAUUAAAAAAUAAAGCACAAAUAUGCAAAGAUAGUCACAUGCAAAGUACAAAGUCAGUUGCAUAAAAGGAGAAAUUAUUACCAAAUCCCAAAAAGAGAAUAAAGAAACAAAAUCCCACAACCUCAUCAAGACAUAAAUCUUAUAAACUGACAUUAAAUAAAACUGAGGAAGGAAGGAAAAAAAAAAAAAAAAAAAAAAAAAAAAAACCUUUGUAGCAAAGGAGGGAUAUAGGAGCAAGUCAUCCAUCACUACUUACUCAUUGAUGAAUACCACCAAAUAAAGUUGACUAGAUUCUAUAAACCAGAAACAAAUUGAGUAUGUAUUCCUUGCACUCUACCUGAGCAACAUAGUAGUAAAGCAUGCAUGUCAUUCUUUUAAUCUAGAAUGCUGUAAUGCAUAAUUUCACAGCGAGUUCCUCUUCAUCCUCGAUGGCUGGAUGCAUAUACUUCUAACGGCACGAUGCCAAGUCUGCGACUGCAGCUGUGCUGCUGGAGUUAUACCAAAACUCAUCGCGUUUGAAGCGUGAAGAGCUAGUUUUUUCAAUCAAAUCUUUGCGUUGCACCCUCAUGCGGGCGCAACUCCGCAGCUACAGUUCCCCGUUGUGAGAGUUGGCUUAAGCAGAAGAGGCAUGAUAGUGCUACACAGUUUGAAUCUCUUAGCUGUCACACAAUUCCAGUUCCAUUUACAAAGUUGAUCGCCCAAAAUUGACAUCUACAAGUAGAUCCUGAAAAAAGAGAAAAAGAGAAAAAAAAACAAGAGAGCCCUAUUGAGUCUGAUGGGCAGGAUUUGCGUCCAAUAUUGAGCCUGACUACUCUGUACAUAGCAGCCUCCAGCAAAAGCCAUCGAAGUGGGCAUCUCCUUCCUACACCCCACUCUUCUAUGGUUUCUAACACAUCAAAAGUGCCACCACAAUACGAGCUAAUUCUGCAAAUCACUCGCACCUUCUAUGAACAUAAAUCUGCAGCCAAUUUUCAAACAGCCAACCCCACAGUGAGAGCUUCUCAUCAUCAGUAUCGACUCCCACAAUCACGGUUCUUUCUAAUGUGAAACAUCAGCUAGCAGUCCACCGAACUUUAAGUUGGAGAAUCUCAGGCUGAUUCGACGAACCUCAAAAUUUUUUCUGGGGCUCAAGACUUAUGCCAAGAGUUCCCUCCAAGGCUUUUCCCUCGACAGAAGUCACUUCCACAAAGGCAUUCAAAAGCUCGAAGUGGAUGAUCCUUGUCGUUGAAAUCCAACCCAUAGUCCUGAGACACGGAGAGGUAUUAGCAACCCUACUGCUGGCGGCACACAAACAGCACAAGCUCUAACCCCUACAGAGAACGAAACCCAAAGAGCAUUAACACACCCAUAUGAGCUCUUCAUUUGCUGCUACAUCUUUGCUGGUGAAAAAUGCAAGCUGCACACACAUGGAGUGGAGAAACAUUAUCAGGUUAGCGCACGGACGUUUUGAAAGACUUGUUCUAGUUAUCAAGGACUAACGGUUAGUAAAUUUUUAUCGAUUUUCUUUCAACCAGAACUCCGUGGUGUAAAGCAUGCAAAGCGCAUGACCAGUCCAAGGCUAGACCGUAUCUGACUCGACUCAUUCUCUUGGGCUCGAAUACAUAUGCUUAGUACAAGUCAUGAGGAUGUCUUGGAAGCACAAGAAACCCAGAAGUACAUGAUAGUAGUGAUGGUCUGGGCUCUCAAUCUCAACAGGAACUUCAAGUAGGUUGGUAUCGAAGCAUCUGCGCAACCCACACGGAAUUUAUUUUAAGUCGUAGUGCUUUCACGACCUUACACCAUUAAACGUAGCGAUGACGACCUUUUCCUGAUUUGGGAGGUGAUCAGCUGAACGGCAUCUGGAAAGGUACUCGCUACUGAAAACAAUUUACGAGCAGUUCUUUCCUUCGUGAUGGAUUUAUUAGGACUUAUUGGAAACCAUUUUGCAAGAAGUUUCUGGCACUCUAUUCGGAAAUGAAAUAUGACUUCAACAAACUUUGGAAACUUUUCAUAUGUGGCUCUCCAAGUGCGUCGGAGGAUUCCAUUGAAAUCUGAAAAGGUGGAUACAUCACCAUAUCACCUCCUUUAGCGUGGAUGGAGCUUACCCAUGGUUGAUGAAACGGGCGACAUUCCCAUAGCAAGUACCAUCCAAACAAAGAGCUUCCUCAUCCUUGAGGUAUCGUUCGGAGCACCAAUCCGCGUCCAGAUUCAGGGAGAAGUGAUGUUUGGCUGAUCGGUGGCUCUCGUUGUUGCGAAACCACAUCUCUGUGUUGGUCAGUAUUUCUCCCACGUACUCGCAUACAAACGUGCCAGCCGGUAGAUAAUCCAAUGCUCGCACACCCCAGCCUUUUCCGCCAGUCCAGAAGACCUGACCCAUCCCCGAUUCAAGCUCGACUGGCAUCUUGCAGCACAAAAACACAAAACAGAUGCAUACGCGACUCACAUGAAAGCAAAACCAUCUCGCAGCGUGGUGAUGACCCACACUUCACCUGCAGUCUCGCGGUGAUGCCUCGUUGCACGAUCCGGUUCCCGCAAAGCUGUUUGCACCCACAUUUCUCCCAACACUCCUUGAUGAAGCGUCGUUGAGUGUGGCCUUUGCAAGGCUCGUCGCCCGUUCUCUCGACAGGACAAGUCCCUGGCAGGCAGAACGACAGAAAGCUCAAGUUCCUCUUCCGAUCCAGCUCUUGCUUCAGAAAGUGGGGAUACAGAAGCCCUUCCACUGUGUACGCGAACUCUCCGUCAGUCAGCCUCGCGCACUCGCAGGGAGUGAGCUUGUCGAGACAGUUGCCCACACAGCCACUGCACCUAUCGUCCUCCCCGAUCCUCGCCAUGGAUAUACCCACAUGCGCACUUUGGAACACCACGCUGCUCUUCGUGUAGAAGAAUUCCUCCGGCAAGUCCUCCGCACCGAGAGCGCUAAGCGAGAUGGGGACUCUUUCCUUCCCUCGGGAGAUAUCGUAACGAUCGUGGCGAUGGUCGGGCUUCCUUGCUGCUGCCCCAUUUGGAGGAUGCCCAUCCAACUCGAGCAAAUCUUUACUGAUCAACAUUCUCUUGCGUCCCUUAUCCGACCCACAAACCCCCGAGCCAGAGCUUCCCGAAGAUUUCACUCGUUGCUCUUCCGCCACUGCAAGGUGGGAUAAUUCUACAGGCUUCGCUUUCAAGUUGGACAUGGCCGCUGAGCCGUAGUUUUUCUUGGCCCCUCCACCUGCUUUUCGUAUAGCUUCAUUCUUCAUGAAGGUUGGCCGGCGGUUGUGCUGUUUAACCUCUGCUACCUUUGCUUCAGACUUUUCACAUGUUUUCGAACAAUUUCUAACGUCACGCCCGCCACGGUGAGGUGUAUCGCGGCCAAUUUCUGAAACAAAACAACUGCUGAAACCAUCAGAUGGAAACUUGAGGGAUUCCAGCUUAUGAUGCACUCUUUGAGAUUUUAUGGUGCUGAUCACAACUGGAGUGCGUUUAUAUUGAAAAAAACAAUGUGAGAAGCAUACCGGUAGAAGACUGCCCACAAGCCCUGCGGGCGCCUUGAGGCAGGCCAUUCUUCGCCGAGAGAACAUUAGUUGGGUUAUCGGCAGCUUUGCUGGAAAAGUUCAAUUCCACCUCGACUUUCACCAUCGAAUUUGUAAGCGUAGCAGUCUCCAGAACCUGGGUUGUCUCGUUCAAUGGCACCACAUUGUGCUCAUCUUUCAGUUCCAAAGAUGAGGAAUCAUACGAACGCACUGGCUCCGCAUGUUGAGUCUCAGGGUUUUCCUUCAACCGCACUCGCUCGAUUGGUUGGGAGUCUUCCACUCCCGACUGUGUGGGCAGAAGCGCCAGGAUUAACGGCUUAGACUCCAUCUCUUCGGUCUUAGAUUGUUUGAAUCUCUCCACUGGAGUUUGAAACGCCGGAAGAGCUAGAAGUAAGUUCGAGGUUGGGACUACCGACUGCAGGGGUUCAGGAUUUAAGCAUUGUGGUUCGCUUGUCACGGGAAUCAUCGACCGAUACUCCUCGAGAUUGUCACGAUCCACCAUCUUGGUGCUUCUGUGCAGCACUGGUGAUUGCGGUUCCAAUUUUAUCUUUGAAGCAUCGAAGCGAAGGAUUCGUGAAGAGCGGGGCUUCUCUAACGUGCCCCCUGUUAGACCUGAUUUUUUAGGUACCGCAUUCGGAGUAUUCAGGUUUGCAGUCGGAGUGGGCUGAGCCCUGUCUGCUUUUGUGAUCACUUGGAAACAAUCCGCCUCGGUCUGGGUCUGCUUGUUCUCAACAAUCACUUGACGCACAGAUUGUUUGAUCAAUCGUCGCAAUCCUCCACUCUGAGGGUCUUGGCACUGCGCAUUAAACAUCUUCGUCGACUAAUCAUAAUUCAACCUCUCUUUUUUUGCAAAUUCCGAUUUCCUGGCUCACGAAUGUAUCACGAAAUUUUCAAUGCGGAAGAAAGAGAAAAGUAGACAAUGCAACAAGUUGAAUAGAACUCAUGCCAAAUUUGCUGGAAAUUUUGCAAUCUCCGUGGCGUUCCGCAUUACCGGUACUCUAGAUGUUGAAGCCUCCCGAGCUAGUUUUCCAGGCCCAGAAAACAGGACAAUCGAAGCUUUCCGUUUCCCAACUUGAUCACUUGUGUCUGAUGAUCCACGUCUGCAUCGGCGGAAGUGUUCGUGAGAGUUUAAUGGAUCGUCGGCCUCGUGGUCACUGUCGCCGCUUGGGAAAUGUGCGGGCUCCAACUUCGAGGACAUCACGCGAACCGCCGGGCCCUUCUUCUUCUUCGUCUCCUCCCUCUUUUUCUUGUUCUCCUUGGGAAUCGCGUCCUUUCUACCACGCGAGCAGCCUGGAUUCUGCUCCUUCUCCUAAUCCAUGACAUCACUAAUGGAGCCUUCAAAAAUUGUCCUCACAAUCCAGUCAAAUACUGAAGGAAGAACAUCAGACGAUCGACACAAAAUACCGACACAAUCUCACCAUAACAACAACAACAUCAACAACAAUGUAAGCAAAACGCACCACUGCUUCCUGCUGCUGGAAAAUCAUGUCCGCUAGUAGCCGAUACCCGUCAGCCUCAAUGUGCUCCCAUUUCCCGUCAUAAGCCUGCAGCAGUGUAUGUUAAUUCCACAAAAAGCAUGAAAUAACAGCAAAAGACACAAUCGAUCUACACCCAAGCCCGCAUUGUCCCCCAUUCCCCCUCCUCUGACAACCUUCACCCACCCAUCCACGAGCCCCACAAAUUGAGAUUCUACAAACCUCGAUCAGCUUCAACAGGAUCGGCAUCACGAUCGACGAAGGCAACUGCAGCUCCUUCUUCAUCGCCUCCACGGCCCUGCUCACACGAUAUGCUGCUCUCUCCAAAUCCUCCUCCUCCUCCAAAUCCUCUUCCUUCAUAGCUCAACCCAAUUACCUCCAAAGUCAGUUUUCUCUUACUCAAUAAAACAAGAAUUUCGCAACUACGAGGGUCGCUUCACAGAUUUGCUAACUGCAGGAGCGGAACUGAUUUCUCAUUUGACAGCAAAGUUGAAGGAUCGAAGAGAAGCAAAUCGAGAUAGUCCCAAACACAGUGAGUGAGGACUUGGAUGGAUGAUAUAUUGUAGAUGAAUGACAAAUGGGUGGUGGCGGAUGGGUGGGGUCAACGACGGCGUCAUGAAUGCUGCUCGUUCCACACCCUCUGCUUGUUCCCAUCCCCGCUCGCUGCCGUUCCCUAUCCCAGAUGCUCGCUAUGAGUGACUGGGACGGGGACAGGUUCCCAAUGCCCAUGAUUUGAUUCUGCCCUGCUGAGUUCUUAUUAAUUAUUUCCACAUUUAGUAUUUGACAUCAUUUUCACUCAAGGGAAGGUACGUGAUUAACAUUUAUUUAUAAAUAUAAUUAUAAGAAAAAAUUGAACCAAGCAUCAUGCUGAUUCUUUUUAGUUUAUUUUAUUUUUUCAUUUAGGUUCUAUUCAUAAUUUGAGUUAUUAUAUUUGGUUUUUUCCAACAUGUUUUUUUUAGAAUUUUAUAACUUUUUUCAGAAAUGCGGAAGAAGCCUUUGAUUAGGCUUAGAAGUAACAUCUGAAGAAUGUUAAUGAUGCAUAACAGUACACAAUGUAAUCAAAUUUUAAACAAUUUAUUAUUUUUUAUAUAUUAAUAAUACAAAAUAAAAUAAACACACAUGAUGGAGAAAAUAAAUAAAUAAAUAAAUAUCUCUAGAUUUAUUUUUCCAGUAUUGGAUCAGAUACCAAUAAGAACCAACCACAUUCAUCAUGAUUAUCAUAUUCUUCAUCACGGGUAGGUUAAUUUUGUAAAAAAAUGGGUCUAUUUAACAUUCUUCUAUUAUUAAGACGAAAAGUAAAAAUUAUCAAAAGCACAAUUUAUGAAAAAAGAAAAUUCAUAACUUUAUAAAAUAGUAAAAAGAUAGAAAUACAAAUUAUAACUAGAUGAAUCCUUUGGUUUUUUUUGUCUAUAUUGAACUCCUAAAUUUUGUGUUUAUUCAAAAUAAUUCCCAUAAAAAAUUAAUAAAAGAUUGCUAGUUAUGAUUUCAUUAUAAUUGGUUUAGAAAUAUAUAUAUAUUUUUAAAAUUUUCAUUACAAUUUCUAUAAGAUAUUGUAACAAAAACACUUGUUUGUAGACUUUAUCAUAGCAACAUAUUUACUUACACAUUUAUUAUACAAGUAGGUUGUUAACAAUAUAUUUUGUAUACCAACUUUGGAUUACAAUGAAUAUUUCAUUUUUGAACGAAAUUGGAGUAAAUUAUUAUCAUUUUUUUUAAUACAAUAACCAUACUGUAUAGAUACAAUUAGGACUACUUUGAUUAACAAAAUUCAUUUUUUUUUCAUCAAUUGGCUUAAAAAAGAAAAUUAGUACCUGUUUGAUUUAUUUUGACCAUUCAAAUUCUAUAAUUAUUUUUUCGGAAUUUCAGAAGUAAAGUGUUUCUUUUUGAGGAAGUAUAUUAAUCUUGUUUUAUCAUCAAAUAAUUCAUAUCUUGUAAGAUACAUAUAAAACUAAAAUAUUACUUUACAAUUAGAUAAUAAAUUUUUUAAAUAAUUUUAAUUUGAUUGUCAAUACAUAUUUUGAAGUCUUCAUUUUCUUCUCUUAAGAUUAUUUCAUAAAAUAAAAAUUCAACACGAUCUUAAAACUGAUUUAUUGUUAAAAAGAAAACUGGUCCAUAAAAUUUUCUUAAAAAUCAUUACUAUUUUCUUAAAAAAGAAGAAAAAAUCAUUACUAUUUAGAAACUCAAUGCUUUUCAUAUAAAGGUCAUAGACAAAUGCGUUUAUACUUCUAGAGAAAUUACUAGGUUUUUUUUAAUUUAUUUUUUAGUUCACAUAUACUAAGAUUCAAUAAUCAAAUCUCACUUGCACCCUUCUUCUUUAUUUAUUUAUUUAUUUUUUGUCUAUUUGUAUCUGACAGUUGACGUCAACUCUUCAGGUUUAUACUUAUUCUUACCUGUCUUUGAACUCAUUAAAAUAAAGAAAAAUAAAAAUAAAAAUGGGAUUCAAUACUUGUGGUUGAUAAUCCAACCCACACUGAAACAAAGCUCCUCAAAUGCAACUCUACCACCGAAAUGUAGGAGCUAUAAUGUGAUCACAUAAUCAGUGCCAAUACAAGAUCACACACCAAUAUGGGAUUGCCUAACGCAAAAACGUGAAUAAAUAAAACAAAGCCAAUCAAUGAAACAAGGCAAAAGGGUGUUCCCAGAAGGAUCUCAACUAAGAACCGCUCAGGGGCGUGUUUCUCAACAGGGUGACGGUGUGAGGGCAAUGACAGGAAAAAAAAAAAAAAAAAAAAGAAAAAAAAAGAAGAAGGAUUCAAGCAAAAACAGAGCGUCUAUAUUUCAUUAACUAAACCAGCUAAAUGGAAAAGUUCAAUAAAUCAGUUCUGUGGACAAAACACUAGUCUCCUAAGUUCGGGGGUGCUUUUUCUGACAAGACGAGGCGAGCUGUUGGGAUCCACUGUGGGACUUAUCAUCUCCGAGAGUCCGUUUUCUGGUCAAUGAGUUCUCUGCCACAAAAAAGCAGAAAAAAAGGGACAUGACCAGGAUAAUUCUGAAUUGUGGUGAGGAAGGCUCACGAAGGAAUCGGAAAGAUAGGAGGAUGGUCCGGAGGCAUGCUUCCGAACCAUGUCUCCGCAUUCCCUUGCGGUACAUAAUCACUUCAGUUUCCGCUCGACGUUAUCUUAGUGAUAUCCAUUGCACGCAGUGCCUGCCCAUCGGCUCUCGCUCGUGCUCUCCAGUGCGCUCUCCAAGUUUAGGGAGUCCGUAGCAAUGGCGUCUGCAGUGGCAUCGACGGUUGUGGCCCCAGUUGCCUUGGGUGGAGCCUCGUCCUGUGUGGGUGCCCCCUCUGAAUCCUCCUCUGUGAAGGCCUUCUCUGGUCUGAAGUCGGCGACCUUGUUCUCUGGCAAGACCCAGAAGUUGAGCUCCGUCCAGAAUGGCAGCCGCGUGCAAUGCAUGCAGGUAUACCAAUCUCAUCCUGAGCUUGUGUUUAUCUUCGGUCUCCACCUCUGAUUGUAUGCUCAAUCGGGGUUAUAACUGCACAACAGUGCUGUUUCUAAUGUUUGUGGGUGGAAAAGAUGAGGGAUUGUAAUCUAAACUUUCUCUUGAUCGGAAAAUCGGCACAUGUGUAGGUGUGGAACCCGAUCGGGCAGCCCAAGUUCGAGACCUUCUCGUACUUGCCCCCUUUGACCGAUGACCAGAUCGCCAAGCAGGUGGACUACAUGAUCCAGCAGAACCUGAUUCCCUGCAUCGAAUUCGACACUGUAAGUGCAUGCUCUACUUACCCGCCAUGUGCAAGGUCUAUUCUUUACAAUAGAUCAUCGAGCAUGGGCUCUUCCCUAGAUUGACUCUGCCAUGAUAAAAAUUAUCCCCAUGCCCUCAGCACAAACUCGGCAGCUCGUGUUUCGGAGAAGAGUGAGUUAACAACACGGAGAGUCUUGCUAAUGUGUGGCGCAUUGGUGUGUUGGGUCAGGUUGGAUCCGUGAGCCGCACCAACUUCUCCGGCGCGGGUUCCUCGGGUUACUACGAUGGGCGCUACUGGACCAUGUGGAAGCUGCCCAUGUUCGGGUGCACCGACUCUUCGCAGGUGCUGAGGGAGAUCCAGGAGUGCAAGUCGCAGUUCCCCAGCUGCUGGGUCCGCGUCUUGGGCUUCGACAGCAAGAAGCAGGUCCAGAUCUGCGGGUUCUUGGUCUCCAGGCCCAACUAGAUUAAUUGGCCGGUGGCCUAGGUAGCACUUGGUUCUUUUCAGUAGCGACAAGGUAGUCGUGUUUAUGUCUAACUAGUCGCAAUGUUGAGGAGGCUUGUACAGCGACUUGUUUAAUCCAAAGAAUCCCAGGGGCAACAUCUUGACAUCACAUGCUUCUGCAACCACGAAUGCUGUCAGUCAGUCUGUUAGCCACGCGACUUAGGAAGAGUUGGAUGUAUCGUUCAAGCGAUCUGUAGAUUGCGGAAACCCGAGUGGCACCAAAGCCUGGGGCUGCUGCUGUAGCAAAGCAGCGAUGCCCUAUUUCGUCACAACACUCUUCACACAACUCACACGACACAAACUGUGAAGUGAGCUUUGAGUUAUCCCUGCACAGAACACUUGCCAAAAGCAUUGGUACAGCAGCUCUAUGCGUAAACAGUGUGACGAUUUAUUUACGGUGACUGUCAUGACUCGAUCGCAGAGGAUGGUUGUAUACCGCUUCUGGUCAGCACUCCGUAGCAACUCCAUAUCAGCAUCUAGGUCCGUAUGGAGCAGCGCAUGAGAAGCUCAUGAGAAACUGUGUCGCAGCGUGUUCAUUGUCUUCACAAAUCAACAAAUCAGAAGUGCAAGAACUGAAAUUGGAGAAAGUAUCCAGCGAACCCACGUUUAUCCCAUUCGCAGAACUCGUACAGUCCAGUGACAAGACCCCCAACAACAAAUGCCACAAACAACGUCUAUGGUAAACUUCGAAGACCGUGGUCGCUCCAAAGCGGGGACUGACUGCCUGUUCUUCAGGAGGUUGUCUGCUUCGACUUGUCUCCCCGUGGUUUUGUACACAACGGUUAUUUCAAAGUUGUAGAGGUGAUGAAUUUGCAACAGGAGGAGCCAGUUUCUACCUGCAUUGUGAAUCAAUUAUCUAGAGUGAGAGUCUUGCUCCCUCCCUCUUCCUGGUAUUAUUUUCUGUUAAGUAACUCAAUGUUGACAAACGGCUCCAAUUGGAAGAAGCAGGUCUAAAUUUGCGGGUUCUUGGUCUCCUAGCGCAUCUAGAUUUAUUUGCCAGCUCAUGAAUGGUGGCUUGGGUAGCAGUUGGUUCUUUUUAGUAGCGACUAGAUAGUCGUUUUUAUAUCUAAUUAGUCGCAGUGUUUAGGAGGCUUGUGCAGCGAAUUGUUUAAUCCCAGUGAUCCCACGGGCAUCAUUAUGAUAUCUUCAUAUACUUCUGCAUCCACGAAUGUUCUCAGUCAGUUUGUUAGCCACUCUACUUAGGAAGUGGUCGUAUCGUUCAAGCGACCGGUAAAUUAUGGGAGCCAGGAGGUUUCCUCCAACACAUAGCAGACAACAGAAGAUCCAACAGUUGAUUAUCUUUUCUUUGCUUCGCUUUCGUCUAUCACCUUUCAAUUGACCACUGUGCGACGAUGUAGAAUUACACAAGUUGCACUCGAUUUUCCCACUGUUAGGUUUCGAUGCAGCUGAAAUUCUCUGAUUCGUGACUGUACAUCUGCAUUUGACAGGUCCAAGUUAAUUUUCUAAGCUUUAAUGACAGUUAGCAAUUGAUAAUUGUUCAAUUCCGAUGUCUUACAUUUUGCACCACUCACGACUUAUCUGACACUGUCUGGCUCACAUUUCAGUGUCAACUAGACGCAUUUCUAGCAACCGUUCAAAUUCACUAAGAACACCAACUCUUCACGAAAAAGACACCUCCACAAUUUACGCAACCGCCCGCGCAAAUUGUGGAGGUGUCUAGCUUGUUGCUUGCCCAUGAAUAGAUCCGCCCGCCCGCGCACCCGCCUGCCCGAGGUGAGGCUAGGUAAACGCCUGAGCGAACCAGCUUAGAGCUGCAGCCUGCGUUUUCUGAAUCCUGGCAAACCAUCGCGUCGUCGAUGUCCAAUGGCACUUCGCAAAUACCUCGACCCCGAUGCCGAGGGUGGAGCCAAAAGUGGCGGUAGAGAUCUGCGCGCCUUGAUGUGUGCCUGCAACGCUGAAAUGGCCGCUGCAUUACCACCGCUCACAAGCAGAAGCUAGAUGCUCUAUUCAUGGGGAAGUGUUUGUUGCCCAACUGCAUGCAUGCACUGCAAUGUGCUUUUGUGAACGUGCUGCCAAAUGGAUUUGAAGGAUUGGUGGACAUGGUGUUCACCGCAAGAGUAGCGAUCCGAGGUGAAUGGAGAGCCACUGAGUUUGAGGUUCUGGGAUCCUUACUCUCUUGUCCAUCCUGCGGUGGUGCCAGUGGGGACAAAACUUCAUGCGGCUUUCCAUCCACUGCCUGUGUUCUUCGUGAACUUCAGCAACCAAAGCAUUUGUGGCCGGAGAGGAACAGGUGUUGAGCUCGUAUCAUCGUAAUAUGUUUCAUCUUCGAUGAGUUUAUUUUGUGCAAUCAUAGAUUAUAUUUUUAUGUGCUUGCUCUUGCCCGGGCCCCCAAAAUUUAAAUUUUAUUCCGUGGAGAGCAGAGAACAAGGCGGACUUGGGCGAGACUAAGUAAUAAGGGCAAAGGCUAAGGGCACUAAGAUGAGGGGUCAAAACAUUAAUAGAACAUAUCUUGCUUAUCUCGUAGGUGGUUGGGUUUACACUUGAGACUUGCCUACAUCUACAAGAAUCCUGAUCCACUACCACCAACCAUCUUGCUGCUAACCUUGGGUCAAAAUCUUUAUCAUUAAUAUUAAUAUGAAUAUUAGCGCAGCUCACUGCAUGUUUGCUGCCCAUUAAGAAUGGGCAAGCAACAAGCUAGACAAAAAGUAGAUUGGUAUCACGGAUGAAUAAAAUCCAUGUGCAAGGAUGAAGCAAGGUAUGAAUUGGGCACCUAUCCCUUAAAAUUGAGCAUUUGUAGAUGCUAAAGUGAAUAAUGUAAUCUAUUAAACCUUAUUAUAAAAUCAACACAUUAACUUGCAUUAGUAAUAAUACCAAUAUAUGAUAAUUACUAAAUGUGCAAUUGAUAUUCUAAAUGAAAAUAGACUUAAUUUCAGUGACAAAUUUGUUUCAUUUAAUAUUGAUUUUGAAGUUGGAACAAGAUUAUAGGCACUUUUUGUGCGACUUUGUUUGUUCAUUAUUAAUUUAAAUUAACUCAACUUUUCUUUUUAUCCAUUUUUUCCCAUUUAAGCAUAUUAUUGUUUUAAAAUAAGUAUCUUAUGUAAGUAUGAUUUCUAACACAUAAUGACUUGGUUUUUAAAUAAUCAUAUUAAAGAAAACACCUUAUUAACCUGUUUAGAUUUUAUUAUAAAAAUUUGAAAAUAAAUAAAAGUUGUAUAAAAGUAAUAUUUAAAUUUUAAGACAUAUAAAAAUUUUAAUCAAAAAUAAUAAUAGCAUCUAAAAGCUUAAAUAUACUAUAUUGUAUUUUUUUUGAAUUUAACCCACAUAAUAAGCUAGUAGAAACGUUUUUUAAAUUUUUAAAAUCAACUAAAGAUACAAUGAGAUUUUUUGAAGUUGUAAAGUAUAAUAUGUAAAAUACUAAUGAGGUGUACAAAAUUUUAAUAGACAUAGAUAAGAAAAAUAUGUUGUAAUUUUCUAAAUAUUGUUCUUUUGUGAUUCUUGUAUAUUUUAGAUAUUUAGUACAAUUAAAAAAAGUCAAAUUUUAAAAAAUGAAAUAAAAGAAUCAUUGUAAGAUGUGUGUAUAGUAUAUGAAAUAAAAAUUAUAAUAUACAAAUAAAGAUAAUUAACAAGAUUCAUAAAAAAUAUUUUUAGUUUUUAAUUUAUAUAUUAUUUUAAUUAUACUUGAUUUUUUUUAAAAUAAUAAUUUAAUUAUAAUAGAAAAGACUUUUUUUCAUAAUAUUUUUUAACAAUCCAUUAAUGCCUUUAAUAUAAAGAUUUUUUUAUUUUGAUAGGAUAUACAAUGCAUUAUUUUGGAUUAAGACUAAUUUUUUUUUGGAAUUUAAUUAGAAGAGCAUAGUUCUAAUAAAAAGAUAUUGGAUUAUAUCAAAAAAACUAAUAUUACAUAAUUUGUUCCAAAAAUUAAGUAUGUGCUAUCAAAAAGUCAAACUAAAUAUUUUUCAUAAGUAAUUUGUGUUGAUAUGUUAUUAUUUAUUUUAGAAUAUAAAAAUUAAGUUGAAAUCCUUAUAAUGAUAAUAUUUCUUAAGUUAUGUGAUACAACAAUUAUGAUUUAUUUAUCAAGUAUUAUAAUGCACCAUAAUUUGUAUAAACGACUAAUAUAAUAUGUAAUUUCAAAUAUUUUCAAUAAUAUAUUAUUAUAGAUAUAUAUAUAUUGAAACUAAUAGUUACUAUGUUAAAAAUAAUUGAAUGGAAGCAAUUAAAAGUAUAUAAAUUUGAUAAUAUUAUGUAAAAAAGCUUUUUAGGAGCUUCAUAGAUUUGGAUUUGACUUUAUAAGUAUUUGUAGGUAAUUAAUAGGUUGAAAGCUUGGCCAACAAGUUGGCCAUGUAGCACACAUAUUAUAAUUUUUUUUUAUAAGUUACAUAUGUCUUCUACAAUUUGGACAUGUGUUGAGUGACCUAUAGGUUAUUGCUAUGUAAUUUCUUAGUUAGAUAGUAUAUAUAGAAGUAAGAGUGAGGCCUUUAUCACUCUUGUAAAUGCCUUUCUUGUUUUUAGCCUUGUUUCAAGUAUAUCUAUACUUCUUGUGUUUAAUAGUAGCUAUUCUAGUUUCAAUAUUAUAACUAACUUUCAUUGAAUAUUUAGUCUUUUUUAGUGACACAAGAGUGUAUUGAUUCUUUGAUUGAUUUUUGAUUCAUGUCCUUGUCAAAUUAACAAGAGUAUACUUACAAUAUCAAAGAUUUUUCUUUUCUUGAUAAGAAAAUGAAUUACUUCUUUUUAUUGAUAAUACUUAAGCAUAUAGAGAAAUUUUAAAUUAUCUACUUUUAAUUUUUUUUUUUUUUUAGAAUUUUCUUUGCUUUUGUUUUUUUUCUUUUUUUAUUUAUCACAAGUAAUAUUUUGUAUCUUUAUUUCUAUUAUUUUAUUAUGAAAAUAAUCAUUAAAAUAAAAAAUAAAAUAAUAUAAAUAUAGGAAUAAAUAAAAAAAGUUAAUACUUGCAAUACAUCUACUUAAUUCACUACUACAAGAAACAUAAAGAUUGGUUGGAAGAAAAGAUACAAAAAUGAUUGAAGUUGUUUUAUCAUCUAUAUUAAAUCAUAUUACUUUUUUUUAUGAUAAAACAUUAUUUAAACAUCACAAUAUGUAUUAGAGAACUAAAAAAUGCCUUGUUUUAAAAUUUUAAUGGUACAUGAUCAAAGUUUUGAAAAUAUAUCACGUAAAUACAAUUGGUGAUUAAGCUUCAAUCUCAAAGUUAUCUAACUUAAUAAUUACAAGUCAAGUUAAUUAAAAUAUUACAUUUAAGUUCAAUUUUGUUAUGAUUUUUAUCUUUUUUUGAACAAUAUGAUCUAAUAUUGAAUAAUAUAGAGGUUUUUUAUGUGGAAUAUAAAUCCAUGUAUGAAAAAAAUAUUAAAAUUUAUAUUGCAACUAAUAAGAUUCUUAUUUUAAAUCAAUGAAAUUGUUAAAUAUCAUUAAAUGCUUUAGAAUUUUUACAACUUGCAACUAAUAUUAAGUGAGUUGAUGAUGCACUCAUCAAUCAAUUUUUUUAUGGAUUGCAACAUGAGAUAAAGAAAUUGAUGCUAAAUUUAUAUAAUCUUCAUACAUUGGAUCUAAUAAUUAAUUUUGUUGUAAAAUGUGGCAAUAUAUUUUUUAAAUUUUUAAUCUAAGAACUAUACAAGUAUGCCUCAAUGUCUUUAUAAUUUAGUGGCAAUACAAAUGUCUUGUUAAAACAUACAUUUGGAAGUAAAGGAGAUGCAAAUUAAUGUAGUAUGUUUUAAACUUCUCAAUGAGCAAAAAAAUAUUCAACAUUGUCAAGAAAGAUUGUGCUUAUAUUAUAAGAAACUUAAGUACAAUACUCAAUAUUAUCUAAAGAAGUGACAUAACCACAAAGUAAAGAGCAUGGUUGUCAAAGUUGACAAUAUGUUGAAAAAUGAAUUUGUCUAACUAUAAUUUAGAUUGAGCAGCUAGAAUAUUUUGUAAUACCUAGUGAAGGUCUUAUUAUUUCUUUAAAAUCCUUAUAUUUAUUCUUAAUAGAUGUUUGUUUAGGACCUAAAAAUUAAAAUUCCUUUUUCUUAUUAGAUUUUUAAGCUUAAUUAAUUAAUUAUUUUUUAUUUUUAUUUUUGAAAUGAAUACUUUAUUAAAAUAUAUAAAAUAUUUUUAUUGAAGAAAAUUAAGUCCAUACAUAUAGAAGUCAUAAAUUUUUGUUUUUCUUUUGUUUUGUUUUUUUUUUUAUUUAUUUAUUUAUUUUUUUUAUUUUGAAGAUAUUUUAAUAAAAUUAUUCUUAUAAAUAAAGCAACUAAUGGUCAAACUAGAUUAAUAAUAUAUAAAAUUAUAAAAACUCCUUCUUAUAUAGUUAUUUUAAAUUUAUUGUACUUAAAAAAUUAUGACUUUUAUAAAGCUUGGAUUCUUUAUAAUCUUAAUUUUUUUUGUAGUACAACUAAGACUAUAGACUUUUUUUUAAUAUUUUUCUUAUUAUAAUUACCAAUUACAACUACGAUUAUUUUUAAAUUAUAUAGCUAUAUUAAUUCAUAAAAAUAUAAAUAAUCUAUUUUACAUUGAAAUUUAUCUAUCUUUUACAUAUUUUGGAUCUUUUUCACUGUAUCAUUUUUUCUAAGUAGCCUCUUUUGACUUCCAUGCUAAUUUUAUUUUUAUUAAAAGUUGCAUCAGUAAUUAUUCUAUUUGAUAGUCUUCUCAUCCUUCAAAGAAGAAGUCUUGGUCUUGAUAAGAAUGAAACUUUUUUUAUCUUCAUCACAUCCUUGAGCUAAUUCUUCUAAUGUGAUACUAUUAUAAAGAAUGUCAAAUUAUCAUUCAAAGAUAGAGAGAGGCUUGAAUUUCUUAAUUCUAUACUAUAUUCAAUACAACCUCCCCGUAAUCUUUUAAAAGGUUUUUUUUUUUUUUUUUUUUUUUUUUUUUUUUUCUGUAUUGGAAUUCUCUCCUUUCAAUAAUAAUACUUUAAAUCUCUAUUAUAGUUCUUAUUGUGUGUUAAUAUUAACAAAGUGGAGAAUUUAGAAGAAGAUUUUUAUCAGAUCUUUAAUUAAUUUCUUAAAUUUUUUUUAUGCAUUAACUAUAUUCUUCACAAAAUUAGUUGUGGUCUUUAUUAUAGGAUUUAUUGAUAUAAGUUCUAAGUGAUUUAUGGUCUAAUCUCAAAGUUACACUUUAGUAAUUAACUUUGGAUUGAUAAUAUAAAAAAUACUUACUUCUUCAAUUAAAAUUGCAUGUGCACUAAUGAAAGUGGCUUAAAAGUUGGAUUGUUAAUCCAUAUAGUAGAUUUUAUGCAUUGAUGUUCUCUUUCUUCUUUAAAUUAUACAUGUGCAUUACAAAUGAGAGGUUAGUCAAAUUUGGAUUGCUUUAGAUUGUAUCUUUAAUUUUAAGAGGCACUUCUCUUAAUGCAAAUUUGCCAAUCAUAUUAUCUUUCAAAACCACAAAGGCAUCUUUUAAAAAUGACCACAUCCUUAUGCAAUUAAGUCUUCAUGUAAUAUUUUCUUCUUUGCAUUGUUAUUUGAAUUAGUAUUAAGGACAAAAACUUGAUAAAAGUAAAUAAAUAAGUGAGACUUUUUCAAAGAAGUAUAACAAAAUAGAAAUAAAGAAGUACAUUUAUUAAAAAGAAACUUGAAUGGAUAUUGCCAAAAGAUAAAAAAAUUAGAGACUUCUUGAAAUUAGAGUAGAAGUCAGCAAAGAAUUGACAAGAGUGAAGAAAGCUUCAUUCUUACCUCUAUAUAUACUAUUUACCUAGGAGCUAGAAGGCAAUGUUCUAUAAGACCUUCAAAAUAUAUUGAUUUUAUACAAUGCAUAUCUUAACUUGCAAAGCAAGUUUUCUAUAUGGAUACUAUAUAGUUAACUUAUUCUACAAGCUAUCAACAUAUAUGGUAUAUAACUAAUUUGUUGAUCAAGUUUUUAACCUACCAAUAAACCAUAAAGACAUGUAAAAUCAAAGCAGCUUCUAUGAAGCUUCUAAGAAGCUUUUCAAGAAGAUAUUAUGAAAUUAAUCUAUUUUUAUCUACUUCUAUCUAUUCAUAUAAUAUAAAUAAUAAUUACAAUAAAUAUAUAUCCAUGAAAUUAUUCCCUUUUUUAGAGACGAAUUCCACAAGGAGCAAUGAUUACAUGUUGAAGAAGUCUAAGAUAUGGUAAAUUGCAAUUUCCAGGUGCUUUGAUUUUUUUUUUUUAUUAAGGUAGUUCAUAGGUCCUCUCACCCAUCAAUAAUGUCCCAUUCCAAGGCAAGAAGAUCAUCUUAUUAUUUGAUCAUUGUUGAGACCUUUGUAACUUCUUUCAAACAAAAUAUUUGUAUCACUAUCAAGAGUUGUCUCUACCUCCAAUAAAAACACCAAACAUUGAAAUUCUUUUCUCAGGUUGUAAUAUCAAAUGUGUUGUAUCUCGCCAUUUAUUUAAAGAAGAAUAUAUUACUUUUGAAGCAUAUAAUAUUACAAAUUGAUUUAUUAUUACAAAAUAUAGAUCUUCUUUGUUGCAACACAAAUUGCAUCAUUUUUUUAUACAUAGAUCAAAAUUCCACUGAGAGAGAUUUCAAAUUAUCUAAUAGUAGAUUACAUUAGUCAAGAAAAGAUAAAAACUAUGAUUAUGCAGAACCAAAAAGUAACAUUCCAAUAAACCUUAUUUGUGAUCUUAAAGUUGUAUAGCUUUGGAGUUUAAGUUCAAUUGCUAGUUGUACUUGAUUGAUAAAUCCAUGAAACUUUAAUCUUGUACCAUUGAAUUUCUUAGAUUAAGAAAUUCUUGAUUUUUUAGGACUUGAAAGAUAUUCCAUGAUAAAAAAAGAGAUAAGAUUUAAUACAAAUGUUGAAGCAGCUUCAAUCAUCUCUAUAUCUCUACUUUCUAUCAUUCUUGUUCCUCCUUGUGGAGAUAAAUUGAGUUGAUACAUUGCAAGCAUUAACUUCCUCAAUUAUUUUUGAAUUUGUGCCAUUACACUCUUCAAUUCAACAAGCUCUACCAUAAUAACACUUAAAAGAAAAGAGAUAUCUAAUAUCAUUUAAAAUAAGUAAAAAAAAAAGAACUUAAAAAUAAAAAAAAAAUACUAAAAAAAAUAUCAAUUUAAACGAGGAUAAUUUACAACUUCUAAUAUGCUUAUGUCUUAUCUAGAAAAAAAAAUAAUCUAUUCUUAAUCAUGAAAAGACAAAGCUUUGAUAUUGUAAGUAUACUCUUGUCAAUUUAUUAAAGACAAGAAUUUGAUGAAAGCAAAUAAACAAGUGAAACUUGCUCAAAGAAGUAUAACAAAAUAAAAAUAAAGAAGUAUAUAUAUUGAAAAGAAAUUGAAAUUGCUAUUGCAAAAAAAUAAGAAAACUAGAGACUUCUUAAAACUAGACUAGAAGCAAGAAAAAAGUUGAUAAGAGUGAAAAAUGCUUCAUUUUUGCCUUUAAAUAUACUAUCUAUCUAGAAGCUAUGUGAUAACGUUCUAUAGGACCUCCAAAAUAUGUUAAUUUUGUACAACAUGUUGUAUUAUGUGUGUUCUUGCUUAAAAAUGAACCAAGCACCUACCUGUAAAAAGUAAGUAGAAAUGCAACAACAAUCCUAUCCAGUCUAAUAGAAUCUUAAAUAAACUUUAAAUAAGCUUUAAUAAUCUUAAUUUAAUUUUGACCACUCUAAAAUAAAUUUAAAAGUAGUUAUAAAAGAAACAUAAAGAAGUCUCAAAUUAAUCUCAAAGAAAAAUAAUAAUAAAUCUUAAAGAAAUAUAAAAAUAAAUCUUUCAAAAAAUAAAAAUAAUCUUAAAGAAAUAUUAGAAAUAGAAAUCUUAAAAAAGAAUCCUAAAGAAAUAUUAAAAAUAAAAGCCUUAAUUAAAUCUUGAUCAACUUUUAAGUCAAAUCUUAUUUAAAAUCUUAAUUGAAUCUUAACCAAAUCUUAGGUCAAAUUUUAAUAAAAUCCUAAUAAAAUCUUAAAUCCUAGAAAUUUUUUAGAUAAAUCCUAAUCAAUUUCUAAUCAAGUUCUAAACCAAAUUCCAUGCAAAUCUUAAUCCUAACUAAAUCCUACACCAAAUCCUAAAUCUUAUCCAAACCAUUGAUAAAUCCUAAACCAAAUCCUACAACAAAAUGGAACUUCAACAACUAAUAAUCAAAUUAUUAAUAUUAAUUCAAAAUUUGUAUUCUUUUUAAUAACUUAGUUGAGAACAAGCAUAAGAAGAAUGAAAUUGAUCACACAUACUAAUUGAAAAAAAUACAAGAUAAUCCAAUCGGAUAUUGAGAGAUCUCCUAUUCCAACUUGAAUGUUGAACUUCUAGCACCAAUAUUUCCUUCUUAAAUUAUUGAAUUGCUUUUAAAUCUCACCUAAACAUUGGAAAUUGAUUCUAGUAUUCACAAAAAAAUAUUUUUUUUAAUCCAAAUGAUAAAUUCUUAAAGAUCUUGAAAACACUCACUAACUCUCAAACUCAUUUUUCAAUCUAAUUAUUUGAUUGAUUUCAAAAUUUGCAUACACAUUUAUAACUAAUACACCAAUACACUAUCUGAGAUUCAUUUAUACAUAUACUACAAAACUUGAAAAAUCCUCAAAUUUAUGAAUAUGUUUUUUUUUUUUUUUUUUUUUUUAAAGUCUAAAUCAAUUAAAAAUAUUAUUAACUUUUGAAAAUACUUCAAAAACUAAAUAUUGAUUUAAUUGAUAUAACAGUAAUGCUUAAAAAUCUCUUCUCAAGUUUGAUCUCAAAUCUUACUCUUUGAUUUACCAAAAAAUACCAAAAUCACUGUAUGGAUAUAAUUUUAUGCCUCAAGGUCUAAUUUUGAUCCAAGUUGAUAACCGGUCCUUUUUGGAUAUCAAUUUUUAAUAAUUUGAAGUAAUUUUUACUUUAUUCUAUUAUUAAUUCAUUUUUAAACAUGCUUAUAUCAAUUUUUUACCUCAUUCAUUUUGAUUUGGCUCAUUUAUACUUCUACAGAGUAAAUAAAAGUCUCUUCUACAAAAAGGUAGUAUUAAGACUAAAUCUUUUACUACCUUUCUAUCAUUUAUCUUUAUUUUUCUAUUACAUCUCUCUCCUAGGAUCUUUUAUAAUAACAUCUAUAUUUUUAUUUUUCACUAUAUAGUUGUGUUACUACAUGGCUAUGUAUCUUAACUUAUAAGGCAAGUUUUUUAUAUGGACACCACAUAAUUUGCUUCUUCCACAAGCUACCAACAUGUGUGAUAUAUAAUUAACUUAUUAACUAAGUUUUCAAUCUAUCAAUCAACUAUAAAGACAUGUAACAUCAAAGCAACAUCUAUAAAGCUUUUAGAAAGCUUUUUUAGAAGAUAUUAUGAAAUUAAUUUACUUUAAUCUACUUCUAUCUAUUGAUAUCAUCUAGAUAAUAUUUACAUUAAAUAUAUACCCAUGACAAUAAGUAGAAUUGAAUUUCUUCAGUUUGACUUGGAUUAAUAUCUUUAUCACCUUUUUUCAUCAAACCUUCAUAUUUUUCUACUUGAAUUAUUUUUUCAACUUAUAUCUAUUCAAUUAUGAAUUAAGUUUUAAUUUUUUAUGUUAAUCCUUUAUAAUUAACUAAUCUUAAUAAAUUAUAAUUUUUAAAGAUCUUUUAUAUAAUUUUAUCUUCAACUUAGUUAUGAUUCGUGAUCUUAUUUUUCUUUUUUAAAAAAACAUCUUAAAAAAUGGAUGUGGCUUUGAUAAUACCACCUUUGUCCACUGUCUUAAUUAAGUCAUGUUUUAAAUUCAAUUGCUCCUUGAGCUAGUUAUAUGUUGUUGUGAUAUAACACAACUAAUAAGUGAAAAGAAUGAAGAAAUUAUUAUAUUAAAGAAGAUUUUACUUCAAAUAUUGUAGCAAAUUAUCUUAGAAAAUAGACAAUAGUCCAAGAGAAAGUAAAACUAAAGAUAUAAAUGCUAUCUUUUUACAAAGUAGGCUUCUAUUUACUUUGUAAGGCCAAAAAUAGAAUAAAAUAAGAUAGAUUAGAAAAAUAAAGUAUAUAAGCAUAUGUAAAAAAGAAUUGGGAGUUGAUUUUAAUAAAACUUAAAUAAAAAUAGUAAAAUUUAAUAUCCAAAGAGGACUAGUUAUUAAUAAUCAAAAUAUUGAACUUCUAGUACCAAUAUUUCUUUUUUAAACUAUUCAAUUAUUUUUAAAUUUCACAUUUAUAUAGUAAAUCGAGUCUUUUAUUCUCACACAUAAAUUUCACUCCAAUCCAAGUAGUACAUUGCUGAAGAUCUUAGAAAUCCUAAGUGACUUUUAAAGUCUAAUUUUUGAGACCUCAACCUAUUUGAAAUUCAAUAAUCUUCAAUUCAACUAUUUGAUCAAGUUCAAACUUACAAUAUACAUUUUAGACAACUAUUCAUAUAAGUUCUUAAAAUUUUAACUAUAGAUCUACUAUCAAACUUAUGAAAUUCUCCAAAACAUAAUAUCCUUUUUGUUUCACAAAUUUAAGAAUCAUCCAAAAGAAUUGUAACUUUGCAAAGCUCUUACAAAGUCAUUACAUACUUAAAUUACUAAAAAUAAUUGCUCAAAGUAAUUUUAUAAUUUUUUUCUCAAAUCUUGCUCUUUGAUUUGUAAAAGUACCCUUGAAGUUGUUAUAGGUGCCUAGUUUGUGCCUCGGGGUCUAAUUUCAAUCCAUGUUGAUAAUUAGUCUUCUUUGGAUAUUAAAUUUUAUUCUUUUGAGUUAAAUUUUCUUCUUACAUAUGCUUAUAUGCUUUAUUUUUCUAAUCUAUCUUAUUUUGCCUUAUUUAUGGCCUUACAAAGUAAAUGGAAGCUUAUUUUGUAAAAAAUUAAUAUUUAUACUUUUAGUUUUAUUUUCUUUUGGACUAUUGUCUAUUUUCUAAGAUAAUUUGCUAUAAUAUUUGAAGUAAGAUCUUCUUUAAUAUAAUAUUUUCUUCACUCUUUUCAUCAAUUAAUCAUGUUAUAUCUUAACAUCUAUCCCUCCUAAAGUUGUGCAUGCUUUGACAUGCACCAAUAAUUCUUUAAUAUAUUGAUAUAGAGUAUUCUUUGCCUUGAUUAGAUUUUCAAUCUUCAAUCUUCUCUUCUUCUCCCAUCUCAAUAUCUUACAAUAGAUUUUGUUCUUCAUCAAAACUAAUUUUUAUACUUUUUUGUUUAAAUAACUUGAUUUUCUUCCUUGCUAUAGGUAUCUUUAAUUUUAUACCAUCAAAUUUUCAUAAUAAGUAUGUUCUAUUGUCAUAUAUUUGUUUGAUAAUAUAAGGUCCAAACCAUCUCUUUGCAAAUUUCUUUGCCAAGCUAUAUUGGUUGUCCAAACUACUAUCAUAAACUAAUAUCCAAUCACCAUUUUGAAUUAAUUUUGGAUGCAAUUGAUGCUUUUUGUCAAACCUCUCUUUGUUUUUCUCCUUUGUUUCUUUUAACUUUCUUAUAGCUACUUCAAUGUCCUUGGAUCUUCUUUCAAGCUGUCAAAUUCAUAAUGCUAUUAAUUCUUCUCUUGUUAAACUAUCUUCUCAAGAUAAUAUAUUCCAUGUUGGUACAACCUCUUCUAUUGGCAUCAUUGGUUUUUGUUCAUACAUCAAUUUUGCUAGCAUAUAUCCUAUAACUAUACUAAAAGUUGUGCAAUCUAUCUAUAAUGCAAAUAGUAAUACCUUACGCCAAUCACCUAUCUUACCUUUAUAUGCAUUAAUCAAUACUUUAAUAAUUAAAAAGUACCUACAUUCACUCUUGUUAUUUCUUUCUGGAUUAUAAGCAAUUAUUAAUACAAGUCUAAUACCUAUCCUCCUAAAGAACUCUCAUGCUUCAUUUGCAUUUAAUUUUCCUCUAAUAGUACUGAUUUUUCUAAUACAACUAUAUUGGCAAAUAAUUUCUUCUAAUAUAAACUCACAUAUUCCUUCCAUAAUCUUUGUUUAAAGCAUUCUUCCCUCUACUUCAUUUGUCAAAUUCUCUCAAGUAAGUAUCAAAUAUUUCUUGUGUCCAAAUCCAAUUAAUAUUGCAACUAAAUCAACCAUCUAUUUGUAGUCAAUUGCUAAUGGGUAUAUUGAGUGCAAUCUAUCUUGAUGACAAAUGUUUGAAUAUAUUUGACAAAUUUUACAAGAUUCUAAAAAAUCUGCCACAUCUUUUUAUAUGUCUUUCUACCAAUAUUUUUCUUUUACCUUUAUAGACAUUGUUCAAAUGCCUCAAUGUCUAAUCCACUAACUUUGAUGAAAUUCUUUAAUGAUAUUUUGUUGAGUGCCAUAGUCACAUACAACUUUUUGUGGCACUCAAUCCCUUUACUUUGGAUGCUUCCAUAUAAAUCCAUCUUGAAAAAAAUAUCCAUAGGCCUUUUUUUGAAUUCUUUUAAACUCAUAAUUUGUCGAAUUUUCUUACUCUUUUAAUGCACUUAAGUAUUUCCUUAUAUACAACUAUUUACCAUCAUAUAACUCUUCUGAGAAUAAUUCAAGUGGUGUAGUUAAAUGCAACCCAUCUCUUCUUGUCCACAAAGUCAAAUAAAAGUUCAUAUUGAUAUUUUUUUCAUUAUAAACUAUAUCAUCUUCAUCAUCAUACUGUGCUCUUAACAAUAUAUUUGCAACCACAUUGUCUUUUUUAAAAAUAUACUUGAAUUUUAGAUUCAUAGACUUUAUAUAUACAAUCCAUCUUAGUAUUGCUAUAUCUUGUAUAAAAAAACUAGUAAUCAUGCUUAAUAAGGAUAAAUAAUCUGUUUCUAUAACUAUUGAUGUAUCAAUCAAGUACUCUUUUUCAUUUUUCAUAGCCAUUACUAUAUUCCAUAAUUAUCUUUUAACUUUGUGUAGAUGCCUUCUACCUAGUAUUCAAAACCUUUGUCCCAAAUAUUACUACCUAUCUAUUUUUUUGUUUAUUAUCAUGUCCAACUGUCCAACCUAUUCUAAUUGGAUUCGCAUCAAUUAUUAUCAUCACUGAUCUUCCACAUUCAUAAUUUACUUUCUUCAAAGUUGGAGGUAAAAAAAGAAAUUCUUUCAAUUUUUUCAUAGUUUUUUUUUUUUUUUUUUUUUUUUUUUUCCUUUCCUUUCCAAAUAAAAUUUCUAAUUCUUUAGUAAUAACUUAUACAAUAGAUCUGCUACAUAUACAAAAUGAAGUAUCCAUAUAUGAUAGAAAAUACAUGUUCCUAUAAAUCUUUGAACUUCUAUUGUAUUUACACAUUCUUUCAUCUUUUUAAUAAUAUCAACAUUUUUCAUACUUAGCUUACGUCCAUAUGAUCUACACAUGUGUCCUACCACCAAAACUUCUUUUAUUCCAAACAUUGAUUUUGUCUCUAAUAAGAUUAAAUGAACUUCUUCUAAUCUUACCAAAAUCUUCUCACAAUCAUUAAUAUGAUUUGCCACAAACUUCUUACAUCCCUUAGCAUCCAAUAUCUCAUCUUUUCUUUCUUCUUUACAUCCUUUAAUUGGCACAUCAUUUAAAAAAAGGCAUUGUCAUACUUCAAAUAAAUUCUCUUAAUACCUUAUGCAUUCCAUUCAUCAUGUUUUUCACAAAAUUUAUAGCCCCUUGUAGUAAUGUAUACAUUUUGAUCAAUCCUAAUAGUGUCUCCAUAGUUGUCAAAUCUUUAUUUUUUAUUACUAAUUAAAAUUGAUCAUAUCCUAAAUAAAGAUUACAUAUAGAAUAAAUUACUUUUCUUACAAAUGUCUUUACAAAUCCAUCUAAUAUUGGAUUAAAAUCCAUAUUUCUAAUAGUUACUUUAUUUAUCAAUUGCAUAUCUUGAAUAAACCUCAAUGUUCCAUUUUUCUAAGGUACUAUGAACCACUCAUUAAAAUAUGUUACAAUAGAUAGUUCUAAAAUUCCCAUCUUAAACUUUUCAUUGAGUAAUUCAAUAAGCUUAGAUAAAUAAGUCUUUGAAAUUGGAAUUGGCCUUAAAUUCCAUGGAUCAUGUGGAAUCGUGAAAAUAACCUUAGAUGCCACCAUAUUUGGAUCUACACAUCUUAUUUUAUUUUGUUCAAAUACAAAUGCCUUGCUGUAUCAAAAAAUCAUCUUUUUGAAACAUCUUUCUUCAUCUUUUGUCAAAAAGUCCUCACAUCCAAACUUCAAUCCAUUUAAUGUCAAAUUAUCUUUAAAUUCAUGCCCUAUUUUCUUUGGAUCUCUCAAAUUGAGUUGCAUAGAAGCCCUUUCAAUCAUUUUCUCACAAUCCAAUGGUAGUUGCAAUGCCACUAAUUUAACCUUCUUGAAAACAAUCUUGUACUUAAUUUCUACCUUUACAUCAUAUCUAUCAACAUAUUCUUUCACCUUAUUAUAAAUUUCUUUAGAUUGCAUAUUUGCUACCUUAUCAUUACCUUCAAAAUCCAAAUCCAAUAAUACUUGCAAUUCAUCCAUGUUAUCAUCAAAGCCACUUUUUAACAUUCUCAAUAUGCAUUCAUCUUCAUCAAGCACUCCAAAUUUCUUCAAUUCAUAUUGUAUAUUUUUGAAGUUUUUCUUCUCUAUUCUUUUAUAAUUAUUUAUAUUUUUUAAUGGAAUAUAUCUAUUCCAUGAUAAUGCAACAAUGGCUUCAUCUCUUUUAAUAAGUGGGAAGCCAUCACCUCUUUUACCAUUGCAACCUCACUUUUCAAUGGCAUGUGGUGAAAAUCCCUCACAUCCUCAUUUCUAAAUUCUCUAGUAACCUUUGACAAAGGUUGCUCUCUCAAACUCCUACGAUUUCUCUCAUGAUUAGCUUAUACCAUCAAAAAUUAUAUCAUUCCUAGUCCAUCUUGAUUCCUAAUUUAAACAUAUACUAAUCCAUUAUUCAUAAUUUUUGUUUCAAUGUGAAAAGCUGUAAUAUAGGAUUGUCUUAGAAUAAUAGGAUAAGUAGACAUAUCUUGUACAAAGAAGUUUUGUUCAUCAUUAACAUCUCCUAUUGUAACCUUCAUAUUUGGACAUGCCUGAUAUAAUUCUCUUUGUGAAUUAUUUGCUAUUCAAAUCAUCCAACCAUUCUUGAUAUUAAUAGGCUAAUUUUUUCUUUCAUAUAGCUCUUUUGACAUCAAAUUGAUUUCUUAACGAUAAUCAAUUAAUGCCACAAUAGGUUCCUCAAAAUUUUUCAACUUCACCAUUAUCUCUGUUGUUUCUCUUGCUUAAUAACUACAAGAAUAAUGAUUCAAAGUUUGGAUUUCUUCUUCUUCUUCUUCUUCUUCUUCCAUAAUCCUUAUAUGUGAAACAUCUCCAUAUGCAUAAUUAUUGUCCUCUUCAUCUAUCAUCAUUCUUGUCCUAUGUGCAUUUGAAGCCAUAUUUUCAUCCAAAAUUUACCGUUUCUUUUAAAUAAUAUCCAUAAUGACAUCAUAGAAUUUUUUCUUUGCUAUUUCAAGAACUUCUUUCAAUGUAAAUUCUACCUUGUUAUUUAAAAUAUGGUCUUCUAAAAUCUUCUUCAAAACCAUUGUUGUCUCAAUAUGUGAUUACAAUUUAUAAGUAAGUGCCUUUAUUUUUUUUAUUUUUUUACGAUUCUCUUUUCUUUUAUAGAAAUAUUUUUUGUUAUUUUUUCAUGUAGAGGAUUCUUUUGUUGUCAUAUUUUCUCUCUUCUUGUAGUUCUUUUUGAUGGUCCUUCAUUAUUUUCAUCUCUCUUUUGUUUUUUGUUUUUUUUAUUAAUACUUUAGAUUGACUCAUUGCAACAUAUACAUGUAUAGAUAGAUUAUCAAUCAAAUCAUUCCAAUCCAUGAUUUUUAAAAAUGACUUAUCCACAUUAACUAAUAUAUUUCUAGCAACCUUCUCAUUUGUCAUACACUUUAUUGCACUUAGCUACAAUAAACUUAUAUAAUCCAGUACUUGAAUGCUUAUGCCCACACAAUCUCGAAUAAGUCCAAUUCUAUAUAACUUUGCUUCUAUUGCAUGAACCAUUAAUGCUUUCAUAUCUCCUUUUCCAAAGUUUCUUUCCAAUUUUUCUCCACUUUCUUUUAGGUGUAUCAUAUCAACUUUGAAAAAAACAAUCCCUUUAUAUAGUGCAUCUAUAAAAUCUUCACAUUCUCUUCUUAAAUGAUCUAUAUUAUUAUACUACAUGCACCUAUUGUCAAGGACAAAAAUAUGAUAAAAAUAAAUAAACAAGUGAGACUUCUCUCAAAGAAGAUGAAAAAAUAGAAAUAACUUGAUAUGUAUAUUAAGAAAGAAACUAAAAUUGCUAUUGCCAAAAGCCAAGAAAACUAGAGACCCUUGAAACUAGACUGGAAGCAAGAAAGGAAUUGACAAGAGUGAAGAAAGCUUCAAUCUUGUUUCUAUAUAUACUAUCUAACUAAGAACUACAUGGAAAUAUUUUAUAGGACCUCCAAUAUGUGUUGACUUUGUAGGAUACAUGCCUUAACUUACAAGGUAAGUUUUUCUACGUAUAGGCCACAUAGUUAGCUUGGUCUUCAAGCUAACAACAUGUGUGGUACAUGGCCAACUUGUUGACCACAUUUCUAAUCCAAAAAAUCAAUUAAAGACACCUAUAAAGUCAAAGCAGUGUCUAUGAAACUUUUAGGAAGCUUCAAUAGCAAAUAUUAUAGAAUUAACUUACUUUUACCUAUUUUUACUUACUUCUACCUAUUUAUAUAUGUAAUUAUUAGCUUACAUGCAUAUAUCCGUGACAUUACUUCUCCUUUUAGGGACGAGUUCUAUGAAGAGCGAUCAUCAUAUGUUGAAGAAAUCUAUGAUGUGACGAAUUGUAUUCACCACAUACUUUGAUCUUCAUUCUCUUCAAAGAUGAUUGAUAGGACCUCUCAACCAUCAAUAGUGUCCCAUACCAGGGCGAGAAGACCACCUAGUUAUUUGAUCGUUGUUGAGGCCUUCAUAACUUCCUUUGAAUAAAAUAUUUGAAACACCUUCAGGAGUUGUUUCUACCUCUAGUAAAAUCACCAAACAUUGGAAGUCCCUUCCAAAGUCGUGAUACCAUAUGCAUUGUAUCUUGCAAUCUAUUUGUGGAAGAAUAUGUCGUUCUUGAAGAUCUUCAUCUCAAUUACAUUGUCUUAAAGGUUAUGACAAUCGUAAUGUUUUGUCCGGUAGCUCAGCAAACGAAGGCUCUUGAGUCAAAUCCACUAGUUGUUGGUUCUCCAUCUUCUCAGCGUCACAACUACAAAGAAGCUACAAACAAGGAUUGAAAGUAGAAUGUUAUCUUACUUAAAUCUUGUUUCUUUUAUAAGGAAGGUUUUUAUCUUGAUUUUGAUAGAUGUCGCCAAUGAAAAGCCUCGACCGCCUUUGCUACAUUUGCAAGAUUCUUUACUGGCUCCCAUAUGUCUUCACUAAUAUCAUAUCAGUAGUUGAAGUAGAGAGAGUUUGCCACAAGAAAGUGCUAAGCUUUUGGCUGCCACUAAAUAUUCAAUCAAGUCUAAGAUAUAAAAAUACCAAGUUAUAUAUAUAAUAUUUUUCUUUUUCAGACAAUUACAUCAAAAUACAAGCCCAAGUACCAAAAAAACAUCCAAAUGCAUGAUAAAGAUCUUAAAACCUUAUAUAUCCUUCUGAGAGAUGUUUUCCAAAAUUCAACAGCUCAUAUCUCACGAUUGAACUAUCCAAACAAUCCUAAAUUUUACAUAAAGUAUUAAUAUACUUUCAAAAACUUCCACAAAAAAAUCCAAUUGUAAAUUCAAUAUGGAUCUUGAGAUAUUGUCAAAACCCUAACAGUAGCUUUAAAUCCUAGCUUACAUAUACCUAUGUGCUAAUUUCUUCAUAUCUCACAAAAUAAGUACUCAAAUAAUAUGAAACUUUGAUUUAUAGCUUUUCAACAUAAUAAUUCAUAUUUUUGGAAAGUUUGAACUAAAAAUUCAUCCAGAAAUUCAAGAUAUAGCUCCAACCAUUACUAUCAACAAAAUGACUCACUUACUGCCUUUGAAUUACAAAUGUUGUCUUCAAAUGUCUAUAACUUCUUUAUCUAGACUUGAAAUUUAUCAAACAAUAUAUGUAAAGUAUUGCCAAGAAAGUUUCCUCUCCAAUUCUAGUCGCCGAUCUUUCAUUGCUCUUUGUAUGCAUAUGUUAUGCUUCAAAGAGUGAUAGUAGGUACAAAUUUAACACCUUAACUUUGAACAUCUAUAUCUCCUUCAUAAAAACUCAAAAUCACACAAACUCUUUACCCAAAUUAUACAAAAACACCCUGAACUUGCUGACCCUAGCCUUGAAAGCUCAAAUGACUUUGAAAGAGAAACCCUAAUCCUUAAUAAAGCCUCGAAGAGCCUCCUUGAAGCCCAUUGGACAUGGCCUUCGACCAAUAGGAAUGAAGAUCUCCAUUCUUUGUCUUCAUUCAACCAUGCUUUGCUUUCAUCCCUUCCAAUAAGCCUCCUAUUAGUUAAGAUUUUUUUCUUUAGGCUCUAAUCUCCUCUCAAGGCUUUAUACUAAAUAUUUAGGUCUUACGAAUUUUUUUAAUUCUAUAAUAAAAAAAGAUAAAAUUCAAAAUAAAGUUUCUUAAAUCUACUCUCUUUAAAUUAAUCUAUUAAUCAUUCUAACAUAUAUCUAGAUUUAUUAAUAUAUAGUAUAUUUUAACUAAUUUUUACACAUUGUAAGCUUUCACAAUACGACACCGCUGUCGUGUUGUAAUACGAGUGUACCAUGAAAAUAUAAAGAAAGGGGACUUUUAUUAAUAUUCAGUUACCUCAAAUAUUGUGAGCAAUGAUCGAUUCUAGUGCCAAUAUUCAGGGGCCAGUUCAGACAUCCCAUCACAGUCGGUCAGGGCAUACUUACUAGUAACAAAAUGCUCCAUUCGAAGCCAAUAGUGGGAGUCAAUAGAAUCGAAAGGACUAAAUUGAUGACUGAGUGAGCUUGACGUGAAGGACCAAUUUGACCCAAUUACGAAAACAUCUAGGUCUUACUACGGGCCUCUUAGCCAAUAUGAGACCUGAUUUAGUCGGGCGACUCAAUGUGGUCCUAAUUACGGGGGUUUUGAUUCCGUUUCAGGCUGUCUUGUUCUUUGUGCCGUUUUAGGGAACGUUGUUUCCAAAAAAAGAACCUUUUAAAAGGCAAAAAAUAGAGGAGAAAGCUCUGACGAUGGAAGCCAAUUCCGGAUCCAAGAUGGAAGAUUGAAGAAAUUCAGAGGCUAGGGUUUGAGAGGGGGAGAAUUAGGAUUCUAAGAGUGAACAGCUAACUUCAUGCUUCGAAAGAAAAAAGACAGAGAAUUGGGAUUUUUUUUUUUUCUUCUUCAUAGGGUUUUGGGAAGACUGAGGCAAUCGUUGCUGAAAGUCAGUGUUGUACUGGUGAAUCGGGGUUUUAAUGAAGUGGGUGUGAUUACUCUUGAUUAUUGUGUGAAAUCAAAGUUACGACUAUAAUUGAAGAAUUAAAAGAGAGUCUAUAGGAUUGAGUAUGCGGAGUGAAUGAAAUUUAUUGGGUUAAUCUAAUGAGACAAUUAGUGGAUACAAGGUCGUGAGUAUAAAGCGGUAUCGAAGAUUAGCAGUUUGAAUUGUUCGAGGUUCUCUGUAACGUCAAGAGACCUACCAGCCGAGGCAAAAAGGAUUUCGGCGAGUAGUCAAAGGGCAUCCAUAUAGAUUUACGGUAUGUUCUUGUAGUUGUUUAUAUUCCAAUAGUCAAAAACCCAUAGACUGCUUGAAUACUAGUAAAACACCAUACUACCUCCUAUAGCCACACGCUCGGUACAUUCUCAAGCAAGAUAGCACGUAAUAUGACAUAAGUGGUGAACUCAAUGUAAAAGCUUGAGAUAGAAGGUAUUGGAUUUCGUUUGAUUUUAUUUUUAUUUUUACGGAGAACAAAAAUAAAAAAUUUGAAGGAUCUUUGGAAGGAGUUUCUGGUAGGGGUUCUUUUAAAGGACAAGGUAUGCACAUGGAUCCGUCUAUUGCUAGUAUGUUUCAAGCCUUCUCAUUAUCAAUGUAGCAACAGCAAAGCAAUGAUCGAAAAGAAGCUUUGGCAACCAAAGCAUUGCAAGCAAUGGUCAAUAAAAUUGAUCAAUUUGAUGGAAGGAAUAUUUCAAGGUAUUUAAGAUGUUAUGUUCAUGAAAUGGAAUUAAAUCGGGUUUUUGAGAAGAAAAUGGUUGAAUUAUUUGGACUUGCCAUGAUACCGGAGAUAAGAGACCAUAUUACAUCGAUUACGGAUCAUUAUGGGAAUUCAUGGGAGGUUUUUUCACAUGCAUUGAAAGACAAAUAUUUCUUGGAAGAUGCUGAUCGCAUUAUUAAGAAGCUGUUUCUUGAAUGGAUUGAACGACCUAAUAAGAAUUUGGAAGCAACAGAGCUACUAAGGGAAUUUGAGAGGCAAUACUCUCAAUUAUCGAAGGUAGAAAAAUUGACAUUGGAGCCGAACAAAGUUGAUCUAUUUCUUCAAGCUGCUGAUCAAGAAUUGUAAGAAAAAUUGGAACUCCUUCUUGAAGACAAAGAGGAAGAUGAAGGAUUGACAAUAAAGUGGAAGAAUGUUGAAGAUGCGGUGGGGUUGCUUGCAAAAAGAGAAAAGAGGAAGGAUAGGAGAAAUAUUCCAAAAACAGUACAAGCACCCAAAGCUCCAGUACGUACAACACCACCAACAAUGCCUAUAGUUCAACCUUCGACAUCCUUAUCAAAGAAAGCAGAUAUGGAGAUGGAAGAAAUUACACGAGAAAUACGAGAUCUUCAAAUCAAAUUGGCAAGACUUGAAGAGAAUACUUUUACAAAUAAUUUGAAGAAUGUUUCGAAACAAGAAUAUGUACAAAGAUGCAUUUAGUGUGAUAAUGCUUCACACACUAGAAAAGAUUGCAAUGAAUUUAAUAAUAUGAUAUGGCAAGGAAUUAUUUGCUGGAAAGAUGGAAAGAUAGCAUUAAAAGAUAGGAAGGAUCUUCUUCAAACCAAUUUUGGCAAGGGAGGAAUGAGAGCAUUGGUUCAAGAUUACUUAAAAGAGCAUGAAACAGCAAAACGAGAAAGUGCAAGUUAUGGUGCUAGAGUAGAUGAUGACCUUGGUGGAAGAACGGAAACUAGUGAGUUUUGGGCUUCUUCCAUUUCUACAAUGUAAGAAGGGAAAUUACCUCGAGAAGCAUUAUUGUGGACUGCAGCUACAAUACGAGGUGCAAUAGGUUGGGAGGAUCCUGUUGAGUCUCUUUCAAUUCAUGCAUAUAUUGCUAAGAGCCAACAUAAAGCUUUGAUGGAAGAAAAGAGACGAGGAAAUUUUGAUGAUACGAGAGAAGGAAAUUCUUCUAAGAAGCAAACUCGAGGAGACAAGGCUCGGGAGGCAACUUCACAAGAAUUGCCUGUAAAAGAUACCUCAGCAUCAUUGGAAGAAAAAACAAGGGAGACAAAAGAUAAGGGAAAAUCAAUUGCUUAUAAGCUACUUUCUGACAUUGAAGCGGCAACAAAUUUGAAAGGGGUGUUGGAAGAACGUAUAUUAAAUGCUAAGGUGGAAUUCACAUUGAAAGAAGUCUUGGGAAUUGCAAAGAAGGAGUUUCAUGAUGUUAUCAUUGAUAGUAUUAAUCGAAAGAGGCAAUUAAUGGGUGAAACUGGAAUGAGUCAUGCUAUUGAUACAAGAAUAUAUAAAGAUGAAGAAGAGGUUGAUAUUGGUUACAAGCAACCAACAAAUGAAAAGAAUGGAUAUAAUCAACGAGUACGUUUCGAAGAUUAUAGUGAUAAGAAAAUGGAAACUUUGAGCCAUUAUACUCGAAAGCAUUGGACAAGGGCAACUACUGAGGUAUUAGUGAAAGUAGGAGAUAUAGAAGAACCAAUUGUUGCUUUAGUCGACCAUGGUUCUGAAAUAAAUCUCAUGUCUAAAGAUCUUUAUAAGAAGCAAAAAUGGCCAAUUAAUAUGGAACAUGGAUGGACAAUACGAGCAGCUAAUAACACAUGGGGCGAAUUAUAUGGAACUUGUCCAGAUGUCAAAAUUUGGAUUGGAGAUGUUGCGAUGGAGCAACAUUUCUUUGUUCAAGAUACAAUGUCUUAUCCAUUGAUUUUAGGACAACCUUAUAUUACGGCAACACGGAUGGAAACAAAAGUACUUGACGAUGGUUCUGCUUAUGCAAGGGUAUGUAGCAAAGAUGGGAGGAAAGUUGUACAAUUUCUAAUUGUACCUCUUAACCAUGAACAGAAUCGAGAUAGAUUGAGAGAGAAACCAUUGCCAAAGAUUGUUGAAGGAUUUAAGGAUUUUGGAGAGGUACUACUGUAAAGCGAGAUUAUGGAGGUACAAAAGAGGAGGUACUCUCAUGAGAUGAAGGUACCUUUGAUGCGAGUUUUAUUGGUAUUUUGGAGAAUGGAAAUAUUAUGUAUAAGAAAGUUAAUGAUUUUAAAAGGAAAGAAAGAAAAAGAUUAUAUAAAAUUGAAGGAGAAUUACGCAAGUUAGGUACAUUGCAAGAUGAUGAGAGGAUUUUAGGUGUUUAUGAAGAAAAUGGACUGGAAGAUUCAUUGGAAUUGAUUACAUCUAUUGGGUUAGGGGAUAAUGAUAAGAUUGUUGAGAUUCAUUCAAGAGAGGUUUAUACCAUACUUGAAUCUUUUCAAGCACCAGAAGUCACUGUAGAGACGAGAUAUAAAAUGGCAGAUAAGAAGGUAAAGCCUGUUGUCGGACCAUUACUAGAAGAUUCUAAAGAACAAACGGGAGAAGCAUCAAAAGAAGCAAGUUUAAGAGAUCCAAUGAGUAUUGGACAUCAGUUUACUAAAGAGGCUUUUGAAGAAUUGAAGAUUGGUUCUGAUGGUUCUUUAUUGCCAGAGGAAAUUACUUGCUUCAAAAAGAUGUUGGCUAAACAAGGUAGAUCGUUUGCCUUCGAAUCUCAUGAAAUUGGGUGUGUGGAUCCAAAUAUUAUAACACCUAUAGUUAUCUUCAUUGUACUGCAUGUACUUUAGAAUCUAAGACCGAUUCCAGUACCGAGGGCACAUUUACCUAAAUUAGUGGAACUAUUAAAAGAAAAGAUGAAGGUAAAAAUAUUGGAACCGUCAUUUGCACCGUAUUCUAGUCGAUGGUUUACGGUACCUAAGAAGAAUGGAUCACUACGGUUUAUUCAAGAUAUGCAACCGGUGAAUGCAGUAAUUGUCAGGAAUGCAGAAAUUGGACCUAUUGUAGAUGAAUUUGCUGAGGCGUUUGUUGGAAGGGUGAUCUAUUCAAUGGGUGACUUGUAUUCAGGUUAUGAUCAAUUUCAACUUGCCGAAGGAAGUAGAGAUAUGACGACAAUGAGGACACCACUUGAAUUGGUUAGAAUGUGCACUCUUCCUCAAGGCGCGACCAACUCAGUUGCGCAUAUGAUGAAUGGGAUGAAUAAGUUAUUGAGAGAUUUUAUUCCGGAGAAGACUAUGCCUUUUCUGGAUGAUGUUCCUAUAAAAGGGUAGAGAGAAGGAGACAAGGAUGAAACUUUAGAUAAGAGGGGGUGUCGCAAAUAUGUUGUUGAUCAUAUACAAGAUUGUGAAAAGAUUUUAACUCGGCUUGGAGAAGUUCAUCUUACAUUAUCGGGUAUGAAGUCCGUAUUUGGAGUACGAGAGGUUGUGAUUGUUGGACAUUUAUGUGGAUCUUACGGAAGAAAACCAGAUCCGACUAAAGUUGAUGCAAUUGGAAGGAUGAAAGAGGAUUGUGAUUCUUUAACAGAGGUUUGCAGGUUUUUAGGUGCAUGUGUAUUUUAUCGAAUCUGGAUCCCUCGUUUUGCUCACAUAGCGGACCCAUUAUAUGAACUGUUAUGCAAGGGCUACUGUUUUAAAUGGAAAGAAAGGCAUAUUCAGGCAAUGCAAAGAUUGAAGAAAUUAUUGAUGUCACCUCCAAUAUUGAGGAAGGUUGAUUAUAAGUGCAAUAGACUAGUGAUUCUUACUGUGGACGCUAGUCCAAUUGCCAUUGGAUGGACUGUGGGUCAAGAUGAUUCAAGUGGGAAUAGAUUUGCAGUUCGAUUUGGAGCUAAAGUUUUAAGUAUUCGUCAGCGUGUAUACUCGCAAGUCAAAAGAAAACUUUGGGGAGUUGUUUCGGCUAUGAAAGCUGAAAAGGAAUAUUUGAUUGGGGCAGUAGUAGUAAUUGAAAUAGAUUGCUUGCCAUUGCUUGGAAUGAUUACUAACUGUUCAAUGCCAGAUAUUGUAAUGUUGAGAUGGAUUGCUUAUAUUAAGUCACUAAAUUUAGAAUUUAAGCAUGUUACUGGGAAGGACAAUUUAGUAGUAGACAUGCUAUCUCGAGCAAGAUAUGAGAGGGAGGACAAAAUGGUUGAAGACAUUGAUGACGUCGGAUUGAAAUUCUAUUCAAUAUCAAAUCUCAACAGAGAAGAUAAGCUAUUUCUUGAAGAAUCUUAUGAAGGAGAAUUAUUGGAUAUUGGUCAUUACUUGAAUACCUUGACUAAGCAGGGAAAUUGGUCUACAAAAAAAUUCAAACAAAUAAGAAAAAAAUCAUAUGGAUUUUUGCUUCGAGAUGGAUUCUUAUGGAAGAGACCAAAGAAAGGAAUUGGAAUACUACAACGAGUGAUAGGCAAAAAGGAAGAAAAACUAAAAUUAUUAAAGAAGUUCCAUGAUAGUUUAUGGGCAAGGCAUAGAGGAAUCUGGGCUACUUUUGCUAAACUCAAGGAACGAUAUUGGUCAAAAAAUAUGUAUCGAGAUGUGCUUUUAUUUGUAGAGUCAUGUGAAAUCUGUCAAUUGUAUUCUAAUAUCCGACAUCGAGAUGGUCUUCAUCCUACGUAUCCUCUGGCUAUUCAUUUUAAAUGGGUUGUUGAUUUGGUUAUCAUGCCAGUUGGGUUAUGGCAGAUGAGAUAUUUAGUUUUAGUUCGUGAAGAUUUAUCAAAUCAAGUAGAAGGAAGAGCAUUGAGGACAAAAUCUAUAGAGGGAAUUUGUAGGUUUUUUCUUGAAGAUGUCAUUUGCCGCUACGGAUGCGUAGGAAAAAUCACUGCAGAUCAUGGAGAACUAAAUGCACAAGAAGCUCGUAAGUUCUUUGAAAGAUAUGGAGUUAAACUAUCACUGACUACUACUUAUAAUCCAGAAGGGAAUGCAAAAAGCGAACGUGGUCACCCAUCGAUUGUGAAAGCAUUAGUUAAAGUUUGUAAUGGAAAAGUUAGAGAGUAGCCACGGCUUUUGUCAUUUGCAUUAUGGGCUGAUCGAACAACACAUAGUUCGGUGACAUGAUAUAUGCCAGUAGAACUUAUGACAGGUUGAAAACCAAUUAUGCCGAUUGAAGAAAGGGUACUUAUUUGGAGGAUGCUACCAUGGGAAGAUGGAUUGACAAGAGAAGAACUUUUGACUAUUAGGAUUCGACAAUUGGAGCAAAGAGCGAAAGAUGUGCAAAUAGCAUUGGAAAGGUUAAAAAGAGCAAGGUUAUAAAUCAAGGUGCGAUUUGAUAAGCAACAUCGAUUGAGACCUAAAGCAAUCGAGGAAGGUGACUGGGUACUUGUUUAUGAUAAUAGUCUGGAUAAUCAACAUAGUACUUUGCGAAAAUUUUUAAAACGUUGGUUUGGACUAUAUGUAGUAACAACUGUUCAUGAUAAUGCGACUUACUUAUUAGGGGAAUUAGAUGGUACAAAAUUGAAAAUACCAAUUACACAAAAGGAAGUAAAAAUAUUUAAACGAAGAUGGGCAGAGGUGAAUAUGGAAGACCUUAAUGAAGGUAUAGAGAUUUCGCAGCAAGAGAUUGAAAGUGAUUUGGAUAAUGAAGGUGACGAAGACGAACUGGACAAAGACGUAGAGAAUAUAUUCUUAAUCAAACAACAAUUGGGAAAAUUAGUGCAUACCAGAUGAUGUACAGGUUUAGAGGGGGUGGAUGUCGUAUUGUAAUACGAGUAUUCCGUGAAAAUAGAAAGAAAGAGGACUUUUAUUAAUGUUGAGUUACCUCGAAUAUUGGGAGCAGCGACCAAUUCUAGUGUAAAUAUUGAGAGGCCAGGGUCAGUUACCGCGUAACAGUUAGUCGGAGCAUACUGAAAUACUCCAUUCGAUUCCAAUAACGGGAGUCAGCAGAAAAGGGAAGGACCAAUUCACACGACGAGUGAGCCUGAUUGGAAGAGCCAAUUGGAUCGAAUUUCAAGACAUCCAAUCCAGGUCCUCUUAUCCAAUAUGAGACCUGACUUGGUCACGCAACCCAAUGCGGUCUAACUAUGAAAACAUCCAGGUUUUACUAUGGACAUCUUAGCCAAUAUAAGACCUGAAUUGGUCGAGCGACUCAAGGUGGUCCUAAUUACGAAGGUUUCGAUUCCGUUUCAGGCUGUUCCAUCUUUUGUGCCAUUCCGAGAACGUCCUUUCGGUAAAAGGAUCUCUUAAAGGUAAAAACAGGGAAGAAGCUCUGACGGCGGAGCCAUGUCUGAAUCCAAAACGGAAGAUUGAAGAAAUUUCGAGACUAAGGUUUGAAAGAUGGGAGAAUAAGGAUUAAAGGGGAGGAUAGGUUAAGAAAUGAGGGGGGAGAAUAGGGUUUUUUGAGAAGGAUCAGGGAGGGAGCUUCAUGCUACGGGACGGAGAAAAUAGAGAGAGAAUUGGUUUUCUUUCUUCAUAGGAUUUUGGGAAGACUUAGGCAAUCGUUGCUGAAGUCAGUGUUGUAUUGGUGAAUCGGGAUUUUAAUGAAGUGGGUAUGAUUACUCUUGACUGUUUUGUGAAAUCGAGUUACGUUUGUGAUGAAGAAUUAAAAGGGUGUCUAUAGGAUUGAGUAUGCGAAGUGAAUGAAAUUUAUUGGAUUAAUCUAACAAGACAGUCAGUGGAUACAAGAUCGUGAGUAUAAGCGUUAUGAAAGAUUAGUAGUUCGGGUUAUUCGGGUUCUAUGUAACGUCAAGAGACCUACCAGCUAGGGCAAAAAGGAUUUCGGCAAGUAGUCAAAGGACAUCCGUAUAGAUUUACGGUAUAUUCUUGUAGUUGUUUAUAUUCCAAUAGUCAAAAACUGAUAGACAGCUUGAAUAUUAGCGAAUCUCCAUACUACCUUCUAUACCUAGACGUCCGGUGCGUUCUUGAGUAGGAAAGCACGUAAUAUGACACCAUAAUGAAUAAGUCGCAUUAUCAUGAACAGUUGUUACUACAUAUAGUCCAAACCAACGUUUUAAAAAUUUCCGCAAAGUACUAUGUUGAUUAUCCAGACUAUUAUCAUAAACAAGUACCCAGUCACCUUCCUCGAUUGCUUUAGGUCUCAAUCGAUGUUGCUUAUCAAAUCGCACCUUGAUUUAUAACCUUGCUCUUUUUAACCUUUCCAAUGCUAUUUGCACAUCUUUCGCUCUUUGCUCCAAUUGUCGAAUCCUAAUAGUCAAAAGUUCUUCUCUUGUCAAUCCAUCUUCCCAUGGUAGCAUCCUCCAAAUAAGUACCCUUUCUUCAAUCGGCAUAAUUGGUUUUCAACCUGUCAUAAGUUCUACUGGCAUAUAUCAUGUCACCGAACUAUGUGUUGUUCGAUCAGCCCAUAAUGCAAAUGACAAAAGCCGUGGCUACUCUCUAACUUUUCCAUUACAAACUUUAACUAAUGCUUUCACAAUCGAUGGGUGACCACGUUCGCUUUUUGCAUUCCCUUCUGGAUUAUAAGUAGUAGUCAGUGAUAGUUUAACUCCAUAUCUUUCAAAGAACUUACGAGCUUCUUGUGCAUUUAGUUCUCCAUGAUCUGCAGUGAUUUUUCCUACGCAUCCGUAGCGGCAAAUGACAUCUUCAAGAAAAAACCUACAAAUUCCCUCUAUAGAUUUUGUCCUCAAUGCUCUUCCUUCUACUUGAUUUGAUAAAUCUUCACGAACUAAAACUAAAUAUCUCAUCUGCCAUAACCCAACUGGCAUGAUAACCAAAUCAACAACCCAUUUAAAAUGAAUAGCCAGAGGAUACGUAGGAUGAAGACCAUCUCGAUGUCGGAUAUUAGAAUACAAUUGACAGAUUUCACAUGACUCUACAAAUAAAAGCACAUCUCGAUACAUAUUUUUUGACCAAUAUCGUUCCUUGAGUUUAGCAAAAGUAGCCCAGAUUCCUCUAUGCCUUGCCCAUAAACUAUCAUGGAACUUCUUUAAUAAUUUUAGUUUUUCUUCCUUUUUGCCUAUCACUCGUUGUAGUAUUCCAAUUCCUUUCUUUGGUCUCUUCCAUAAGAAUCCAUCUCGAAGCAAAAAUCCAUAUGAUUUUUUUCUUAUUUGUUUGAAUUUUUUUGUAGACCAAUUUCCCUGCUUAGUCAAGGUAUUCAAGUAAUGACCAAUAUCCAAUAAUUCUCCUUCAUAAGAUUCUUCAAGAAAUAGCUUAUCUUCUCUGUUGAGAUUUGAUAUUGAAUAGAAUUUCAAUCCGACGUCAUCAAUGUCUUCAACCAUUUUGUCCUCCCUCUCAUAUCUUGCUCGAGAUAGCAUGUCUACUACUAAAUUGUCCUUCCCAGUAACAUGCUUAAAUUCUAAAUUUAGUGACUUAAUAUAAGCAAUCCAUCUCAACAUUACAAUAUCUGGCAUUGAACAGUUAGUAAUCAUUCCAAGCAAUGGCAAGCAAUCUAUUUCAAUUACUACUACUGCCCCAAUCAAAUAUUCCUUUUCAGCUUUCAUAGCCGAAACAACUCCCCAAAGUUUUCUUUUGACUUGCGAGUAUACACGCUGACGAAUACUUAAAACUUUAGCUCCAAAUCGAACUGCAAAUCUAUUCCCACUUGAAUCAUCUUGACCCACAGUCCAUCCAAUGGCAAUUGGACUAGCGUCCACAGUAAGAAUCACUAGUCUAUUGCACUUAUAAUCAACCUUCCUCAAUAUUGGAGGUGACAUCAAUAAUUUCUUCAAUCUUUGCAUUGCCUGAAUAUGCCUUUCUUUCCAUUUAAAACAGUAGCCCUUGCAUAACAGUUCAUAUAAUGGGUCCGCUAUGUGAGCAAAACGAGGGAUCCAGAUUCGAUAAAAUACACAUGCACCUAAAAACCUGCAAACCUCUGUUAAAGAAUCACAAUCCUCUUUCAUCCUUCCAAUUGCAUCAACUUUAGUCGGAUCUGGUUUUCUUCCGUAAGAUCCACAUAAAUGUCCAACAAUCACAACCUCUCGUACUCCAAAUACGGACUUCAUACCCGAUAAUGUAAGAUGAACUUCUCCAAGCCGAGUUAAAAUCUUUUCACAAUCUUGUAUAUGAUCAACAACAUAUUUGCGACACCCCCUCUUAUCUAAAGUUUCAUCCUUGUCUCCUUCUCUCUACCCUUUUAUAGGAACAUCAUCCAGAAAAGGCAUAGUCUUCUCCGGAAUAAAAUCUCUCAAUAACUUAUUCAUCCCAUUCAUCAUAUGCGCAACUGAGUUGGUCGCGCCUUGAGGAAGAGUGCACAUUCUAACCAAUUCAAGUGGUGUCCUCAUUGUCGUCAUAUCUCUACUUCCUUCGGCAAGUUGAAAUUGAUCAUAACCUGAAUACAAGUCACCCAUUGAAUAGAUCACCCUUCCAACAAACGCCUCAGCAAAUUCAUCUACAAUAGGUCCAAUUUCUGCAUUCCUGACAAUUACUGCAUUCACCGGUUGCAUAUCUUGAAUAAACCGUAGUGAUCCAUUCUUCUUAGGUACCGUAAACCAUCGACUAGAAUACGGUGCAAAUGACGGUUCCAAUAUUUUUACCUUCAUCUUUUCUUUUAAUAGUUCCACUAAUUUAGGUAAAUGUGCCCUCGGUACUGGAAUCGGUCUUAGAUUCUAAAGUACAUGCAGUACAAUGAAGAUAACUAUAGGUGUUAUAAUAUUUGGAUCCACACACCCAAUUUCAUGAGAUUCGAAGGCAAACGAUCUACCUUGUUUAGCCAACAUCUUUUUGAAGCAAGUAAUUUCCUCUGGCAAUAAAGAACCAUCAGAACCAAUCUUCAAUUCUUCAAAAGCCUCUUUAGUAAACUGAUGUCCAAUACUCAUUGGAUCUCUUAAACUUGCUUCUUUUGAUGCUUCUCCCGUUUGUUCUUUAGAAUCUUCUAGUAAUGGUCCGACAACAGGCUUUACCUUCUUAUCUGCCAUUUUAUAUCUCGUCUCUACAGUGACUUCUGGUGCUUGAAAAGAUUCAAGUAUGGUAUAAACCUCUCUUGAAUGAAUCUCAACAAUCUUAUCAUUAUCCCCUAACCCAAUAGAUGUAAUCAAUUCCAAUGAAUCUUCCAGUCCAUUUUCUUCAUAAACACCUAAAAUCCUCUCAUCAUCUUGCAAUGUACCUAACUUGCGUAAUUCUCCUUCAAUUUUAUAUAAUCUUUUUCUUUCUUUCCUUUUAAAAUCAUUAACUUUCUUAUACAUAAUAUUUCCAUUCUCCAAAAUACCAAUAAAACUCGCAUCAAAGGUACCUUCAUCUCAUGAGAGUACCUCCUCUUUUGUACCUCCAUAAUCUCGCUUUACAGUAGUACCUCUCCAAAAUCCUUAAAUCCUUCAACAAUCUUUGGCAAUGGUUUCUCUCUCAAUCUAUCUCGAUUCUGUUCAUGGUUAAGAGGUACAAUUAGAAAUUGUACAACUUUCCUCCCAUCUUUGCUACAUACCCUUGCAUAAGCAGAACCAUCGUCAAGUACUUUUGUUUCCAUCCGUGUUGCCGUAAUAUAAGGUUGUCCUAAAAUCAAUGGAUAAGACAUUGUAUCUUGAACAAAGAAAUGUUGCUCCAUCGCAACAUCUCCAAUCCAAAUUUUGACAUCUGGACAAGUUCCAUAUAAUUCGCCCCAUGUGUUAUUAGCUGCUCGUAUUGUCCAUCCAUGUUCCAUAUUAAUUGGCCAUUUUUGCUUCUUAUAAAGAUCUUUAGACAUGAGAUUUAUUUCAGAACCAUGGUCGACUAAAGCAACAAUUGGUUCUUCUAUAUCUCCUACUUUCACUAAUACCUCAGUAGUUGCCCUUGUCCAAUGCUUUCGAGUAUAAUGGCUCAAAGUUUCCAUUUUCUUAUCACUAUAAUCUUCGAAACGUACUCGUUGAUUAUAUCCAUUCUUUUCAUUUGUUGGUUGCUUGUAACCAAUAUCAACCUCUUCUUCAUCUUUAUAUAUUCUUGUAUCAAUAGCAUGACUCAUUCCAGUUUCACCCAUUAAUUGCCUCUUUCGAUUAAUACUAUCAAUGAUAACAUCAUGAAACUNNNNNNNNNNNNNNNNNNNNNNNNNNNNNNNNNNNNNNNNNNNNNNNNNNNNNNNNNNNNNNNNNNNNNNNNNNNNNNNNNNNNNNNNNNNNNNNNNNNNCCAAGACUUCUUUCAAUGUGAAUUCCACCUUAGCAUUAAUAUACGUUCUUCAACACCCCUUUCAAAUUUGUUGCCGCUUCAAUGUCAGAAAGUAGCUUAUAAGCAAUUGAUUUUCCCUUAUCUUUUGUCUCCCUUGUUUUGUCUUCCAAUGAUGCUGAGGUAUCUUUUACAGGCAAUUCUUGUGAAGUUGCCUCCCGAGCCUUGUCUCCUCGAGUUUGCUUCUUAGAAGAAUUUCCUUCUCUCGUAUCAUCAAAAUUUCCUCGUCUCUUUUCUUCCAUCAAAGCUUUAUGUUGGCUCUUAGCAAUAUAUGCAUGAAUUGAAAGAGACUCAACAGGAUCCUCCCAACCUAUUGCACCUCGUAUUGUAGCUGCAGUCCACAAUAAUGCUUCUCGAGGUAAUUUCCCUUCUUACAUUGUAGAAAUGGAAGAAGCCCAAAACUCACUAGUUUCCGUUCUUCCACCAAGGUCAUCAUCUACUCUAGCACCAUAACUUGCACUUUCUCGUGUUGCUGUUUCAUGCUCUUUUAAGUAAUCUUGAACCAAUGCUCUCAUUCCUCCUUUGCCAAAAUUGGUUUGAAGAAGAUCCUUCCUAUCUUUUAAUGCUAUCUUCCCAUCUUUCCAGCAAAUAAUUCCUUGCCAUAUCAUAUUAUUAAAUUCAUUGCAAUCUUUUCUAGUGUGUGAAGCAUUAUCACACUAAAUGCAUCUUUGUACAUAUCCUUGUUUCGAAACAUUCUUCAAAUUAUUUGUAAAAGUAUUCUCUUCAAGUCUUGCCAAUUUGAUUUGAAGAUCUCGUAUUUCUCGUGUAAUUUCUUCCAUCUCCAUAUCUGCUUUCUUUGAUAAGGAUGUCGAAGGUUGAACUAUAGGCAUUGUUGGUGGUGUUGUACGUACUGGAGCUUUGGGUGCUUGUACUGUUUUUGGAAUAUUUCUCCUAUCCUUCCUCUUUUCUCUUUUUGCAAGCAACCCCACCGCAUCUUCAACAUUCUUCCACUUUAUUGUCAAUCCUUCAUCUUCCUCUUUGUCUUCAAGAAGGAGUUCCAAUUUUUCUUACAAUUCUUGAUCAGCAGCUUGAAGAAAUAGAUCAACUUUGUUCGGCUCCAAUGUCAAUUUUUCUACCUUCGAUAAUUGAGAGUAUUGCCUCUCAAAUUUCCUUAGUAGCUCUGUUGCUUCCAAAUUCUUAUUAGGUCGUUCAAUCCAUUCCAGAAACAGCUUCUUAAUAAUACGAUCAGCAUCUUCCAAGAAAUAUUUGUCUUUCAAUGCAUGUGAAAAAACCUCCCAUGAAUUCCCAUAAUGAUCCGUAAUCGAUGUAAUAUGGUCUCUUAUCUCCGGUAUCAUGGCAAGUCCAAAUAAUUCAACCAUUUUCUUCUCAAAAACCCGAUUUAAUUCCAUUUCAUGAACAUAACAUCUUAAAUACCUUGAAAUAUUCCUUCCAUCAAAUUGAUCAAUUUUAUUGACCAUUGCUUACAAUGCUUUGGUUGCCAAAGCUUCUUUUCGAUCAUUGCUUUGCUGUUGCUACAUUGAUAAUGAGAAGGCUUGAAACAUACUAGCAAUAGACGGAUCCAUGUGCAUACCUUGUCCUUUAAAAGAACCCCUACCAGAAACUCCUUCCAAAGAUCCUUCAAAUUUUUUAUUUUUGUUCUCCGUAAAAAUAAAAAUAAAAUCAAACGAAAUCCAAUACCUUCUAUCUCAAGCUUUUACGUUGAGUUCACCACUUAUGUCAUAUUACGUGCUAUCUUGCUUGAGAACGUACCGGGCGUCUGGCUAUAGGAGGUAGUAUGGUGUUUCGCUAGUAUUCAAGCAGUCUAUCGGUUUUUGACUAUUAGAAUAUAAACAACUACAAGAAUAUACCGUAAAUCUAUACGGAUGCCCUUUGACUACUCACCAAAAUCCUUUUUGCCUUGGGUGGUAGGUCUCUUGACGUUACAAUGAACCUCGAACAACUCAAACUGCUAAUCUUUGAUACCGCUUUAUAUUCACGACCUUGUAUCCAGUAACUGUCUCGUUAGAUUAACUCAAUAAAUUUCAUUCACUCCGCAUACUCAAUCCUAUAGACACCUUUUUAAUUCUUCAUCACAAACGUAACUUGAUUUCACAAAAUAGUCAAGAGUAAUCAUACCCACUUUAUUAAAAUCCCGAUUCAGUAGUACAACACUGACUUGAGCAACGAUUGCCUCAGUCUUUGCAAAAUCCUAUGAAGAAAAAAAACCCAAUUCUCUGUCUUUUUUCUCUGCCCCGAAGCAUGAAGCUCUCUCCUUGAUUCUUCUCAAAAAACCCUAUUCUUUCCAUUCAUUUCUUAACCUAUCGUCCUCUUUAACUCUAAUUCUCCCUUCUUUCAAAUCCUAGCCUCUGAAUUUCUUCAAUCGUCCAUCUUGGAUCUGGAAUUGGCUCCGCCGUCAGAGCUUCUCCUCCAUUUUUAUCUUUAAGAGAUCUUUUUACCGAAAGGACCUUCCCGGAACGGCAGAAAGGAUGGAACAACCUGAAACGGAAUCGAAAUCCUCGUAAUCGGGACUACAUUGAGUCGUCCGACCAAUUCAGGUUUCAUAUUGGCUAAGAUGCCCGUUGUAAGACCUGGAUGUUCCCGUAGUAAAACCGCAUUGGGUUGCCCGAUCAAGUCAGGUCUCAUAUUGGGUAAGAGGACCUGGAUUGGAUGUCUUGAAAUUGGAUCCAAUUGGCUCUUCGAACUAGGCUUACCCGUCGUUGAAUUAGUCCUUUCCCUUUUUGCUGACUCCCAUUAUUGGAAUCGAACGGAGCAUUUCAGUAUGCCCCGGCUGACUGUAAUGGGGUGACUGACCUUGGCCUCUCAGUAUUUGUACUGGAUUUGGUCAUUGCUCACAAUAUUUGAGGUAACUGAAUAUUAAUAAAAGUCCUCUUUCUUUAUAUUUUCAUAGUAUACUCGUGUUACAACAUGACAAUGGGAGUUAAAUGGUACAAAUUGAAAAUACCAAUUGCAGGGAAGCGAGUAAAAAUAUUUAAACGAAGACACACGGAGAUGAAUAUGGAAGACCUUAAUGAAGGUAUAGAGAUUCCGCAGCAAGAAGAUGAAAGUGAUUUGGAUAAUGAAGGUGAUAAAGACGAACUAGACAAAGAUGUAGAGAAUAUAUUAUAAAUCAAAUAGCAAUUGGGUAAAUUGGUGCAUAUCGAAGGAUGCACAGAUUCAGAGGGUGGAUGUCGUGUUGUAACUUGAGUAUACUGCAAAAAUAUAAAGAAAAGAGACUUUUAUUAAUAUUCAGUUAUCUCGAAUAUUGGGAGCAACAACCGAUUCCAGUGCCAAUAUUGAGGGACUAGUUCAGACACCCCAUCAUAGUCGGUCAAGACAUACUUACCAAUAACGAAAUGCUCUGUUCGAGUCCAAUGGUAGGAGUCAACAGAAUUGAAAGGACUAAAUCGAUGACUGAGCAAGCCUGACGUGAAGGACCAAUUUGACCCAAUUACGAAAACAUCUAGGUCUUACUACGGGCCUCUUAGCCAAUAUGAGACCUGAUUUGGUCGAGUGACUCAAUGUGGUUCCGAUUACGAGGGUUUUGAUUCUAUUUCAGGCUGUCCUGUUCUCUGUGACGUUUCAGGGAACAUUGUUUCUGAAAAAAGAACCUUUUAAAAGGCAAAAAAUGGAGGAGAAAGCUCUGACGACGAGAACCAAUUUUGGAUCCAAGACGAAAGAUUGAAGAAAUUUAAAGGCAAGGGUUUGAGUGGGGGAGAAUUAGGGUUUUAAGGGAGAAGAGCUAGCUUCAUGCUUCGGGAGAAAAAAGACAGAGAAUUGGGGUUUUUUCUUUUUUUUUUCCUUCAUAGGGUUUUGGAAAGACUGAGGCAAUCGUUGCUGAAAGUCAGUGUUGUACUGGUGAAUUGAGGUUUUAAUGAAGUGGGUGUGAUUACUCUUGAAGCAUAACUGUUUUAUGAAAUCGAAGUUACGUCUGUGAUUGAAGAAUUAAAAGGAUGUCUAUAGGAUUGAGUAUGCGGAGUGAAUGAAAAUUUUUGGAUUAAUCUAACAAGACAAUCAAUGGAUACAAGGUCGUGAGUAUAAAGCGAUAUCGGAGAUUAGUAGAUUGGGUUGUUCGGGGUUCUCUGUAAUGCCUAGAGACUUACUGGCUAGGGCAAAAAAAAUUUCGGCGAGCAGUCGAAGGACAUCCAUAUAGAUUUACGAUAUAUUCUUGCAGUCAUUUAUAUUCCAAUAAUCAAAAACCGAUAGACUGCUUGAAUAUUAAUAAAUCUCCAUACUACCUUCUAUAGCCAGACGCUCAAUGCGCUCUCGAGUAGGAAAGCAUAUAAUACGACACCGCACUAAUUGACAAGAUAUUCUAAUUUAUUUCAGCGCCGCCUUGAAUUUAACACUUCUUCUUCUUCAAACUCUUUAUUAUUGUCCACUUCUAUAGGAGGAGGUGGAGCUUAUCUUCUUCUUGAUAUAUCUACUAUCUUGUAUGGUUUAAGAAGAGACAUGUGAAAUAUUAGAUGGAUUUUCAUUGACUUCGGUAUAUGUAAACAAUAUGCAAUUAGAUUAAUUUGUGCAGAAAUAGAAAAUGGUCCAAGCUUUCGAUAAUCCAACUUAUCAUAAGAACAAGUGGUCUUGAUAUUGCAACAAAGUAACCAUACCUUAUCACCCAUGUGGAAUGGUGGUUGUUUCUUUUGAUAGACAUCCACAUUGACCUUUUAUUGUUCUUGAGCUUCUUUUAACUAUAUCUUCAUCGUUGCAUGUAGCUCUAACAAAUGAAUUGCCAAAUAUUUUGUAGUAAGAUUAUCAACUUUUGAAAAGUCAAAAGUAUCAAGUCGUGGAUGAUAACCAUAAUUGGAAAAAAAAGGUGUUUGUUUUGUAGAAGAAUAUAUCGUGUUAUUGUAAACAAACUCUGCCAAUGGCAAAAGAGUUGUCUAAUCAUCUUGUUGGUAGUUAAUGGUACAUCUUAUAUACUGCUCCAAAACUUGAUUAACAUGCUCCGUUUGUCCAUCAGUUUGAUCAUGGAAUGCGGAAGAUAGUUUUAUAUCUACUUUUAGAAUCUUAAAAAGAGUCUGCCAAAAACUUGAUACAAAUUGAGUUCUUCUAUUUGAUAUAAUAUCCUUGGAUAAUCUAUAAUAGCAAUAGAUAUUGUCAAGAAAGAGCUUAGCUGUUUCUUCACUUGUUGUAGAUUUUGUAUAUGAUACAAAAUGUGUUAUCUUGAUAAAACGAUCUACUAUUACAAAUAUAGAAUCAUAAGAACCUGAAAUUGGAAGAUCCGUAAUGAAACCUAUAGAAACAGAAGACCAUGGUUGUUUUGAAAUGAGUAAUGGCUGAAGAAGUACAUAAGGUCAAUGACAAGGAGUUUUUGAUUUCAAGCAAACAUCACAAGAUUGUACAAAAUCUUUGAUUGUUUUCCACAUUUGGAGCCACCAAAAGUCCUUGAAUAUUAGUUCUAAAGUUUUAUUGUACUGAAAAUGUCCUGUUGCUGAAAAGUCAUGACGAGCUUGAAGAAAACGUAAUCGAGCUUCACCUUCUGGAACAUAUAGGCAUCCCUCAAAAUAUAAUAGAUUCUUCUUGAAUUCAAACUUGGAAGUAUCAUGAGACUUUGUGGAUUUUCUUUAAUAUCAUAAAUGAGAGGAUCAGAAGACAUACUUGACUAAACUUGCUUAAUGAAAGUUGAAUCAAUAAUUAGUAUUGAUUUUAUUGCUCAAAGAUGAAGAUAUUCUAGCUUCAAGAGAAUUAUUUGUUGUUGUUUGAAAGCAGCAUCUCCUUCUUUUGGUGCAAGAGAAGAUCAUCUAGAGAGUGCAUCCGACAAGCCUUGUUAUUUUCUUCGUUGAUAAGUAAUCUUGAAUUCGAAUCUUGACAAAGAUAUACUCGAACUGGCUUGGCAACAAUUCAAAACACAUGCUGAUAUAAAAUAUUUAAGGUUCUUGUGAUCCGUAUACAUUGUGACUCAGCUAGAAGCACCUUCUAAAUAAUGGUGCCAUUCUUGAAAUGAAUCCAUGAUUGUAAAAAGUUCUUUGUCGUGGAUCUCGUAGUUGAUCUCAGCUAUUAAAUUUUUUUUGGAAUGAAAAACUAUUGGAUGAAGUUUAUCAUAUGUCCCCAUUUCUGACAAUACAACAUCCAAAAUAAAGUCUGAUAUGUCUGUUUCCAUAAAAAAUGGCUUAGAAAAAUCAACACGAUACAAGAUUGGUGCAGAAAAAAAGGUUGUCUUCAAAGCUUCAAAUGCUACUUCCGCUUCUUGAUUCCAUUGAAGUUUGUCUUUACAAGUUAAACGUGAAAGUAGAGCUACAACUUGAGAGAAGACUUUGAUGAAGAUCCAAUAGUACUUGGCAAAUCCCAAAAAGUAUUGGAUAUCUCUUAUCGUUUUUGGGAUCUUCCAAUCCAUAAUAGUUUGAACUUUCUUAGGAUCCAUCAUAAGUCCAUCAUUUGAAAUGAUAUAUCCUAAGAAGUCAACUUGAGUAGUGUGAAAUACUCACUUUUCUAUCUUGGCAUAGAGUCCCCUAUCUCUUAAUUUUUGUAAUAUAUAACGAACAUAAAUUUCAUAUUCUUUUAUGUUCUUAGAAUAGAUCAUGAUGUCUUCUAGGUAACAGACAAUAAAAACAUCUAAAAACUCUCAAAAGACAUCAUUCAUUAGAUGUUGAAAUGCUGCUGGUGCAUUUGUAAGUCCAAAAGGCAUGAUGUUGUAUUCAAAAUAUCCAUACCUUGUUCGUAACAUUGUCUUCCAUUCAUCUCUUUCUUUGAUGCGUACCAGAUUGUAUGCUCCUCGUAGAUUUAUUUUUGUAUAGAUCUUAGUAUUAUUCAACUGAUUAAAGAGUCCAAAUAUUAAAGGUAGGGAGGUACUUGUAUUUUAUAGUGAUUCUGUUGAGUCCUUGAUAAUCGACACACAUCUACAAUGAGUCGUCUUUUUUCUUCACAAAUAAAAUUGAAGCUCCUACUGGAGAUUUGGAAUGGCAUUUAAAGUUCUUGGCCAAAUUCUCUUCAAUAUACUCCUUGAAUUCAGCUAAUUCAUUUUGAGAUAAAUUGUAGAUUGGUCCAAAUGACAGUUGUACUCAUUCUUGAAGGUCAAUUAAGCAAUCAUAGGAACGAUGUUCUAGAAGAGUAUCCGCAUUCUUCUUCUCAAAUACAUUUUAAAAAUCUUGAUAUUGAUUUGGAAUACCACUUGAAGUCUUUCCACUAGUAGAAACAUGUGUGAUAUAAAUGACAUAAGGUGAUCCUUCUUUUGCAGCAUGCAAGAAAGCUCUUGCACCUAUAAAUAUAGAUUUAAUUAUACUGGACUUAUGACUUUCUACUUGAUUAACUACGCUCUUAAUUAUGCUUUCAAAAAAUUCAAGACUAUGAGAAGUUCAAUCUAUUUUAGGAUUAUAUUUUUCUAGCUAUGAUAAACCUAAAAUGACUAGAUUAGAAGGAGAUUUAAUGAUAUUAAAUAUUAUAAAGCUACUAUGACCAUUAGUUACUAUUUCUAUAGGAAAGGUUUUAUGAAUAACAUCUCCUGAAGAUAACAAACGACUAUCUAUGACUUCUACAUGAACAGGUUUAAUUUUCUUCACUAAAAAUAUGCUAUGUCUUUUAACAAAUUCUUCAUCUAAGAAAUAUGCUGAGGCUCUUGAAUCUAGCAAGGCAGAGGUUUUGUGAUGUUUAGGUCCUAGAAUAACAUUUAUCGUAAAACAUGGAGAGGGUUCUGAGUAGAGGAUAGGACCUUCACUAGGUGUUAUACAAGGUUCCAACCGCACGGUUCCUAUUGUAGCUGAACAAAUUUGUUUUUUGACAUGUUAUAUUUUUUGAUCGCCGUACUCCUCAUUUUAUGGUUGCGUUGUUUUUUUGGAUAAUUUUGAGUAGUGUGCUUAGGUUCUCCAUAAUAUAAGCACAAUCCUUUCUAAUGAUGACGAGUCUUUUUUUGCUUAGUAAGAAGUUUGAAAUGUACUACAUUAAUUUGUAUAUCCUCUACUUUCGAAUGUAUGUGUUGAAGAGAUGUUGGUGGUGCCAUUGAAUUAUAGUAAUAUUAAGAUCCACUUAUACGGUUCUCAGAUCGAAAUUAAAAAAGACAAUUGUCGCACUUAACAACAAAGUCAAUUGCUUGAUUCAAUGUUUGAGGAUCAAGUGAGUUGAGUAAUAAUUUUUUUACCUCAUAUUGUAAUCCAUAGAAAAAUUGGCUAAUAAGUGCAGCAUCAUCCCACUUGAUAUCAAUUACAAGUUGUCAAAAUUAUAAAGCAUACAAUGUUACUGAUCGAUUGUCUCGUCGCAAAAUAUGGAUCUUAUUGGUUGUAAUACGAAUUGCAUCAUGUUCUCCAUACAUGGAUCAAGACUCCACCAAAAAAGCCUCUAGUUAAUCCAAUAUUGGAUCUCGUCAUUCAAAAAAAGAUGAAAACCAUGAUAAUUCUGAACCUGAAAGAAGCAUACCAAUGAAUCUAACUUGCGAUUCUGGAGUUGAAUAGCUUUGGGAUUGAAGUUCAAUCACAAGUUAUAUUUGAUUGAUAAAUCGUCUAAACUUUGAUCUGGUGCCAUCAAACUUCUCGAGUAGGGCAAUUCUUAGUUCUCUAACAUUGGAAGGGCAUUCUUCCAUAGGAAAAAGGAUAUGAUUUAAUACAGAUGUUGAAGCAGCUCCAAUCAUUUCUAUAUCUUCACUUCUUGCCAAUCUUAUUGCUCCUUGUGGUGGUAAAUUGAGUUGAUGCAUCGUAAGCAUUAACUUCCUCAAUUGCUCUUGGAUUUAUGCCAUUGCAUUCUUUAUUUCAGCAAGUUCUACCAUAAUAACACUCAAAAAAAAGAAGAUGUAUAACAUCACUCAAGAAAAAUAGAAGAAAGGGCUUGAGAAUAAAGAAAAUACUAAGGAUAAUAUCAAUUUAGAAGAAGGUAAUCCGCAACUUCUAAUAUGCUUAUGUCUUAUCAAGAGAAAGGAGUAAUCCACUCUUAAUCAAGAUUAGACAAAGCUCUAAUAUUGUAAGUGUACUCUUGUCAAUCUGUCAAGGAUAAGAACAUGAUAAAAAUAAAUAAACAAGUGAGACUUCUCUCAAAGAAGAUGACAAAAUAGAAAUAACUUGAUAUGUAUAUUAAGAAAGAAAUCGGAAUAGCUAAUGCCUAAAGCCAAGAAAACUAGAGACCAUUGAAACUAGAUUGGAAGCAAGAAAGGAGUUGAUAAGAGUAAAGAAGGCUUCACUUUUGUCUCUAUAUAUACUAUCUAAUUAGGGGCUACGUGGCAAUAUUCUAUAGGACCUCCAAUAUGUGUUGAAUUUUUAGGACACAUGCCUUGACUUACAAGGCAAGUUUUUCUACGUGUAGGCUACAUAGUUAACUUGGUCUUCAAGCUAACAACAUGUAUGGCACAUGGCCAACUUCUUGACCACCGUUUCGAAUCCAAAAAGUCAAUUAAAGACACCUAUAAAGUCAAAGAAGUAUCUAUAAAGCUUCUAAGAAGCUUCCAUAGCAAAUAUUAUAGAAUUAACUUACUUUUACUUACUUUUACUUACUUCUACUUAUUUAUACAUGUAAUUAUUGGCUUACAUGUGUAUGUCCACAAUACCUAUGUACUACACCUUCUAUUGAUCCUAACCUUUGUUUUAUUGAUACUCUUGAUGAUUGCCCAUUUUCUUUAAAUUUUGAAAAUUUUAUUUAUAAAUCUCUCAUCUUUUGUAUAAUUUCAUUAAUGUCCAUUUCUUUUUUCUUUGAUGUAACCAUUGAAGAUUGAAUCAUAGAUGUAAGAUUGAUAAUGGACAUUUUUACUUGAGAUACUUAUAAUGGUCUUUGAAUAUCCAUCCUAUCUUUUCUCUUUUUUCUUUUUGCAAUCAAUCCUACUGCUUCUUUUGCUUUCUUCUAAUUUGUUGUUAAUCUUUCAUCUUUUUCUUUAUCUUCAAGCAAGAUUUUCAACUUCUAUUGCAACUCUUUGUCAUUUGCUUGAAGAAAAAGUUCUAUUUUACUUGGAUCUAAUAAUUAUUUUUUUCUUUAAUAAAUAAGAAUAUUACUUUUUAAAUUAUCUUAAUAACUCUGUUGCUAGAAGAUCCUUCUUUGGCCUUUUAAUCCAUUCAAAAAAUGACUUAUUUGUAACUUUGUUACUAUCUUCCAAGAAAACUCAUUCUUCAAUGCUUGAAAACAUUUCUCCCAUAAAUCUCCAAAAUGUCCUAUAAGGGACUUUACUUGAUUUCUUAUCUUUAAUUUAGUAGUUAGUUCAAAUAAUUGAACCAUCUCCCUUUUUGAAUCAUGCUUCAAGUCCAUUUUUUUUACCUAGCAUCUUAAAUACUUUGUAACGUUUUUUUUUUUUUUUUUUUUUUUUAAAUUAAUGAAUCUUAUCCAUGAUUGCCUGUAAUGCUUUAUUUGCCAUACUUUCUUUGCAAUCUUUAACUUGUUGUUGUUGCAUUAAUAAGAUAAAAGCCUAAAACAUACUUACGGAGUUAGAAUCAAAAUAUAUACCUUGUUGUCUACUAAUAUCUCUACCUGUAGCUCCAAUUGAAGCAUCAUCCAUGCUCCUCCUUCAACUCUCUUGCCUUCCUUCUCUAUAAUUUAAAUAAUGCAAGAAUACCAAAUACCUUCUACCUCAAGCUUUUCAUGUUGGAUUUACCAAAUAUGUUGGAUUUACCAAAUAUAUUGUAUUACAUGUAGUCUUUCUCAAGAAUGUACUUGGCACCUAGUUGUGGAAGAUAGAAUUAAAAUUGCAACAACAAAAUCCUAAUUCUAAUAGAAUACUAAAUAAACUUUAAUUAAAACUUAACAAUGCUGAACAUGCUUUAAUCAAAUUUAAAAGAAACCUUAAAGAAAUUACAAAUCAAACAAUAAGAAAUCUUAAAGAACUUCAAAAGAAAUCUACAAUAAAACUGAAAAGAAAUCCUAAAAAAUCUAAAAGAAAUAUUAGAAUAAUCACAAAUAUAUCUAAAAUAAAUCUCAAUCAAGUCCUAAUUUAAUCCUAGUUGAAAUCCUAUUAGACUUCAAUCAAACCCUAGGCCAAAUUCUACAUCCUUAGCAAACCCUAAAUCCUAAGUAAACUCUAAAUCAUAAAUCCUAAGCAAAUCCUAAAUCCUAAAUCCUAAACAAUAUCUUCUUUUAAAAUUGGACUGAUUAUCUGUAAAAUACAUGAUUUAUAUAUAUCUUUAUUUUAUUUUUAGAAUAUAUAUAUAUAUUUAGAGUAGAUAUAUUUAUCAUAUAUAUAUAUAUGAUAAAAAAAGAUAUUAUAUAAAUUAUAGAAUAUAUUUAUUUAAUUAUAUGUAUAUAUAUAUAUAUAUAUAUAUAUAUUAAUACAAGAAAGUUAUGUAUAAUAAUAUUCCAUGUAUGUGUAACUUUGUCUUUACACUUCUAAUUUAAUUGAGUUAAAAUAAUUAUAUAAUUACAGAUGUGUAUUAUUAUUAGUUUUUUUAUUUAACCAUUAUCUACUGAAACUUAUCUUGUGAUAAUAUAAGUGCAUGUAAGCUUUAUUAUAUAAUAUCUAAAAAUUUCCAUAAUAAAAAAAUUAGAUUUUACAGUUUGAAGAUAGUAUUCUAAAUAAAUAAACACACAAUUGAUUGCACCACAUUAUAGUCCAUUGUUUUAGUGCUCUCUGUGAACAAAUAAAAAGAAAAUAGAACAAAAAAGAAAAAAAGAACAAGUUCUUAUAGAAAUGGCAUGUAAGUACAUUUUUUCUAUUUCUUUUUCUUUUUUUCUUUUUCUGGUUUUUUAUUUAUUGUUUACUACACUUAUGUUAUCGCCUGUCCAACCUUAAUUUGAUUAAUAGCACCCCAGACUGAGUACAAUAAAUUUCGACAUGUAAUCUGAAAUUAUUGGAAGUUACUAAGCUCUCUGAGACACAACAAAACAACGACUGGACACUCUCACGAUUUCUAACAAUCUACACAAAGACGAGAAAAUUUAGGAACUCAAAUGAACAACCAUAAACACUACAGCACACUUGAACAAUCUAGUAAAAGUUUACACUACAAUUCCACCACUUCCCUCUGUGGUGAGCUGCCUCCAGUGACGGCGGGUCAGUCCGUGGACAAAAAUUCGUUAACUAUGUUGAUUUCCUGACUGGGAUCCACUGUGGGACUUAUCAUCUCCGAGAGUCCGUUUUCUGGUCAAUGAGUUCUCUGCCACAAAAAAGCAGAAAAAAAGGGACAUGACCAGGAUAAUUCUGAAUUGUGGUGAGGAAGGCUCACGAAGGAAUCGGAAAGAUAGGAGGAUGGUCCGGAGGCAUGCUUCCGAACCAUGUCUCCGCAUUCCCUUGCGGUACAUAAUCACUUCAGUUUCCGCUCGACGUUAUCUUAGUGAUAUCCAUUGCACGCAGUGCCUGCCCAUCGGCUCUCGCUCGUGCUCUCCAGUGCGCUCUCCAAGUUUAGGGAGUCCGUAGCAAUGGCGUCUGCAGUGGCAUCGACGGUUGUGGCCCCAGUUGCCUUGGGUGGAGCCUCGUCCUGUGUGGGUGCCCCCUCUGAAUCCUCCUCUGUGAAGGCCUUCUCUGGUCUGAAGUCGGCGACCUUGUUCUCUGGCAAGACCCAGAAGUUGAGCUCCGUCCAGAAUGGCAGCCGCGUGCAAUGCAUGCAGGUAUACCAAUCUCAUCCUGAGCUUGUGUUUAUCUUCGGUCUCCACCUCUGAUUGUAUGCUCAAUCGGGGUUAUAACUGCACAACAGUGCUGUUUCUAAUGUUUGUGGGUGGAAAAGAUGAGGGAUUGUAAUCUAAACUUUCUCUUGAUCGGAAAAUCGGCACAUGUGUAGGUGUGGAACCCGAUCGGGCAGCCCAAGUUCGAGACCUUCUCGUACUUGCCCCCUUUGACCGAUGACCAGAUCGCCAAGCAGGUGGACUACAUGAUCCAGCAGAACCUGAUUCCCUGCAUCGAAUUCGACACUGUAAGUGCAUGCUCUACUUACCCGCCAUGUGCAAGGUCUAUUCUUUACAAUAGAUCAUCGAGCAUGGGCUCUUCCCUAGAUUGACUCUGCCAUGAUAAAAAUUAUCCCCAUGCCCUCAGCACAAACUCGGCAGCUCGUGUUUCGGAGAAGAGUGAGUUAACAACACGGAGAGUCUUGCUAAUGUGUGGCGCAUUGGUGUGUUGGGUCAGGUUGGAUCCGUGAGCCGCACCAACUUCUCCGGCGCGGGUUCCUCGGGUUACUACGAUGGGCGCUACUGGACCAUGUGGAAGCUGCCCAUGUUCGGGUGCACCGACUCUUCGCAGGUGCUGAGGGAGAUCCAGGAGUGCAAGUCGCAGUUCCCCAGCUGCUGGGUCCGCGUCUUGGGCUUCGACAGCAAGAAGCAGGUCCAGAUCUGCGGGUUCUUGGUCUCCAGGCCCAACUAGAUUAAUUGGCCGGUGGCCUAGGUAGCACUUGGUUCUUUUCAGUAGCGACAAGGUAGUCGUGUUUAUGUCUAACUAGUCGCAAUGUUGAGGAGGCUUGUACAGCGACUUGUUUAAUCCAAAGAAUCCCAGGGGCAACAUCUUGACAUCACAUGCUUCUGCAACCACGAAUGCUGUCAGUCAGUCUGUUAGCCACGCGACUUAGGAAGAGUUGGAUGUAUCGUUCAAGCGAUCUGUAGAUUGCGGAAACCCGAGUGGCACCAAAGCCUGGGGCUGCUGCUGUAGCAAAGCAGCGAUGCCCUAUUUCGUCACAACACUCUUCACACAACUCACACGACACAAACUGUGAAGUGAGCUUUGAGUUAUCCCUGCACAGAACACUUGCCAAAAGCAUUGGUACAGCAGCUCUAUGCGUAAACAGUGUGACGAUUUAUUUACGGUGACUGUCAUGACUCGAUCGUAGAGGAUGGUUGUAUACCGCUUCUGGUCAGCACUCCGUAGCAACUCCAUAUCAGCAUCUAGGUCCGUAUGGGGCAGCGCAUGAGAAGCUCAUGAGAAACUGUGUCGCAGCGUGUUCAUUGUCUUCACAAAUCAACAAAUCAGAAGUGCAAGAACUGAAAUUGGAGAAAGUAUCCAGAGAACCCACGUUUAUCCCAUUCGCAGAACUCGUACAGUCCAGUGACAAGACCCCCAACAACAAAUGCCACAAACAACGUCUAUGGUAAACUUCAUAGACCGUGGUCGCUCCAAAGCGGGGACUG